UUCAGUCAGCGUCACGACAUAAUCAAAAGGAGGGAGUGACACUUUGGUUACCGGCGAACGCUUCCAAAGGCGCCCCUCUCGAGUUUCCGGCUGUUUCCUAGAUUGAAGUAGCCUUUCGUCGCCCUACCAAACGAAAGAAGUCACUAUCAAACAGCUCGCCCUACUGAAGUACCAAAGGUGCGCUCCGCCCGGUGACUAAGAAAGAAAUUGGUUUGCGCUUAAAUUGAAGUGAUGAGGUCGCAAAGAGGGAAGUGGGGCUCCUUUUGACUAAAGGUUGGUUCUUCGGGUUCCUUUAGAAUGAAAGUAGCUAUGAAGCCCCUAUUACUUACUUUCUUUGAUUCAAAAGGCGAACAGCCCCCCCAACUAGUCGUAUGGGGUGGGGUGCUUGUGGUAAGCUGCCUUGGAUGUGAGGAAUUCCUAAAAAAAAAGGCAAAGUCUGGUAUUUGACGAAGAUCUUCCUAUCAAUAGAUAGGAAUUAGUGUUCGAUAUAGGGGAUAGGAUCCAUCUGCUCUUUCUCUCUCCAUUUUUUUUUUAGAGAAAAAAAGAUAUCUCGUUCAUCUAUCUUUUGUCUAUCUAUCAUUGAUUCUAUCUAUGAAUCAAGUCGAAAGACUUCGUUUUUGGGUUCCCCGAAUGGAUUGGAUCGUUUCCGCUAACGAAAUGAACGCGGAGCCCGUUCCGAAUGCUUCUCCGAUCCGGAAGUUCUCGCGAAGAGAAUAUUACAUAUUACCUCUGUCUUUUCUCGCUUUGCUAAUCUUCCCCUCUAACGCGGGCCAGGCGGCGGCGGGCGCGGGAGGAAGAACCCUAAGAGAGGUUAUUUUAUUUCCUUCUUUUUUCAGUGCAACACAGGAAAGCGCCCUCUUUUUGUCAUCCCUGCAGCUUUCUAGAUUUUGUAUUGAACGCAUGGCGUAGCUAGGACCUUCACCUCAAAUCAUGUUUGAGCCUAUGUUCAAACCAAACCCAUCCCCCUAUUUGAUUGAAUAAGGCUGGAAAGAAUGCCCGCUAAGUUCAGAUAAGGGAAUGCUUCCCCCAACCAUUAAAUAAAGUAAAGGCUCGACGAAGGGAGGGAGAUGCGGCGGGGGAAGGAAAACGCUUUCGGAGAUCGAGAGAUUUUAUUUGUUUUUCAUCGAAAACGAAGAAGGCCGAGGAUGGCCUACGGUGCGUGUUAUCUGAAGGGAACACGCUUUUUCGACCGCGGUGGUAUGAUUGCCGAGGCCUCUCCUCGUUCCGCCCGCUGGGCUAUUGGGAUAGCAGCCUUCGGGCUUUGCCUGCCCUUUCUAAUUAGAAUAUAGAAUUCCGGCUCGGCCCGGGAAAGCGCUGGCAACAACAGAAAGGAAGGGGUCCAUGUAGCUGCUGCGCCCGCCCCCUUCUUAGUCAAUGGGGCAGCAGGUUCGGCAUCUACUAGAAAAGAAAGAAUCCACUUCAGAUAACCACGCCUCUGCUAGGCAGCGUGUGGAAUGGCCGGGAGCGGACCUUUUUGGAUAUAUAAUCCAAGUCGAGAGUGGAGUUACGGGAACAGCCGUCUGAUGGAAAACUACUUUCACGUUCGGUUCAGAGAGCACUUUUUUCGUUGAGAAUUCCUCGUUCCCUUUCGUGUGAAUUCCCCAGCGGCGAAUUCUAAACUUGUGGGGCCCUAUCUAUUUAUUCCAUCUCUCGAGCCCCGAAGAAAACCCCCCUCCCUUUCGGGCUCCAUAUCUCUUUUGACUCUAUAUAUGUGGGCACCUGAUAUCUAUGAGGGUUCACCCACCCCGGUUACAGCAUUCCUUUCUAUUGCGCCUAAAAUAUCUAUUUCUGCUAAUAUUUCACGUGUUUUUAUUUAUGGUUCCUAUGGAGCUACAUUGCAACAAAUCUUCUUUUUCUGCAGCAUUGCUUCUAUGAUCUUAGGAGCACUGGCCGCCAUGGCCCAAACGAAAGUAAAAAGACUUCUAGCUCAUAGUUCAAUUGGACAUGUAGGUUAUAUUCGUACUGGUUUCUCAUGUGGAACCAUAGAAGGAAUUCAAUCACUACUAAUUGGUAUCUUUAUUUAUGCAUUAAUGACGAUAGAUGCAUUCGCCAUAGUUUUAGCAUUACGGCAAACCCGUGUCAAAUAUAUAGCGGAUUUGGGCGCUCUAGCCAAAACGAAUCCUAUUUCGGCUAUUACCUUCUCCAUUACUAUGUUCUCAUACGCGGGAAUACCCCCGUUAGCCGGCUUUUGUAGCAAAUUCUAUUUGUUCUUCGCCGCUUUGGGUUGUGGGGCUUACUUCCUAGCCCCAGUGGGAGUAGUGACUAGCGUUAUAGGUCGUUGGGCGGCCGGAAGGUUGCCACGAGUAAGUCAGUUUGGGGGACCGAAGGCAGUUCUCCGUGCACCGGACACGUAGUUUACCAAAUCAGUUGCGACACGGAUGGGAAUGCAUGCUACGAAAGAUAGGGUAGAGUCUGAUACAUCAACCGUCUACUCAAUAUCCUUGUACGAGUCCACAAUCACUACACGAGAUGAACCUUGGUUUGGUGAAUUGAAGUUGGCCUUAGGUGUAAUAGGACUCCCAGUUACUGCGCGCGAUCGUAUACUGAGGUGCUCCCCGCCGAUUGUUGAAACGACGCAAGCCGGGCCCGGGCCGGGCCUCGAUUCAGAAAGAUGAAGGGCCCAAAAGUCUAAAUAGGGGGUUACAAAUCCCCCAUCUCAUUGGGGGCGGAAAACGAAUCGACAUCUCGAUGUGAGACAGCCUUUUCUAUUUUAGUUGGGAAAGAACGGCGAAGUCCAUCCGAACCGUCCAAUGAAGAAUAAGAGGAGAGCAAAGCGCCAAUGGCGCGCGAAGCGCAUGCGGAACGGGCACGGAGAAAAAUCAGUGUGGAGGAGAAGCAGCCGAGCUCAUUCCCUUCGCUUCCUGGGCCAAAGCAGUGCAGUCUUUCCUGGCCAAAUCAAGGAUUUGGGGCUUCUUGCUACACCUACGCUACUUAACUAUCUAUAGAAAUCCAUUUUGGAUUAGUAAUAUAUAUAUAUAAAUAGAAAGAUAGAUCCAUCCAUCUAUCCUAUCCGAUUUCUAUUUUGAUAUCUAAAAAAAAAAAGAAUCUAUUUCAUUCAACGUUUGAUUCAAAGAACUGCGCUUAGCCCCCCCGCUCAUGAAACGGCUCUGCUGCAAUGGAUGGCAGAGGGUCCGUAGUACCCAAAGCACUGGAGUGAUCCAGUAGCCGGGAAGGGGCCUAGAAGUGCCUACUACUACACCACACUACACUUGGCUCUACACAUUUACCGAGCUAAUCCCUGUCCAGUGCCUGGCAGAGCUAAGUAAGCAAGCUUCCUUAUUCCUUAUCCCCCAGGCUAACGGGUCCUUACUUUUUCAGGGGGGAGGGCCUGGGCCUCAAGAAGCACUGUUGAGAGGAAGAUCCUUGGCCCCUCUUCAUUCUCUACAGGGUUAGGGUUCCAAACCUUUCUUCAACAUAGGUGACAACGAGCGGGUGGGUCAGAGAUGGAAGAGAUCGAACACGGGAAUAACAAGCAAGCUUGCCUUCCUUUUUGAUCAUUUUGAUAGAGGGGGAUGGAGAAAGUAUACAAAAAAGACUCGCAUUUCCCAGUCGAAAAGAUGGGUUCCUUUUUCGUCUCGCAUUUCUCAUCGCGGGAAAAGAAUCAUAUUGAAAACGUUCCUAACCCCUUCGUAGAGCUGUGUAUUGUAAGUGAUCCGAACCUGCCCGGAGCGAGCCUCCCAUAGAGGCAAGUUAAGUUGGUGAGCCGUAUGAUGGGCAACUAUCUCCUGCGGUUCGGAGAGGACUCAGCUCUUAGUUAGUACCCCCUUGGUUUCGGGGUGGACCCUUUCACUCUAUUUUAUUAUAUACGCUUAGCGAAAAGAAUGUUUUUUGAUACACCUAGGACAUGGAUUCUAUAUGAACCAAUGGAUCGUAACAAGUCGUUACUACUAGCAAUGACUUCCUCUUUCAUUACUUCAUUCUUUCUAUAUCCCUCUCCCUUGUUCUCAGUUACUCAUCAAAUGGCACUCAGUUCAUAUCUUUAAGUUCGAUCAUUGACAAGGUUCAAAGAAAGGGUGGGCCGCAGAUCUAUUCUUCAAGAAUGUUGUAAAGUACUGGAGAAUACCGGCUGAUGUGGUGAGUGAUCGGGAUGCUCGGUUCACAGGACGUUUUUGGACGUCUUUGUUUGAGGGAACUAAACUCAACUUCUUUACGACUAACCGGGCAGACAGAACGUGUGAAUGGUUUCUUAGAAGAAUAUUUGAGACAUUUGAUUGCGGCCAAUCAACAAAUUGGGUUGAUCUUUUGGAUAUUGCCAAAUUCUGUUAUAACCUUAAACUGAGUUUUUCUACUGGAGCUAGCCUUUUCGAGUUGGCAAUAGGUCAGCAACCUUUAACUCCAAACGAGUUAGCAUAUGAUAUAAUUGUAUUGUCAGGGCCCUUACCGUUCAGAUUGAAGAAAGACAUAUUAAGUUAAGAAAUUUUCAAGUAAUCUCUGGCGCAGUAGGAGCUUUCUUUGCUGUCCUUCUGCUAUCGCGCAGUCUUUCUAUUCCUUGUAGGAGGCUUCUUCUUAACCCGAAAUGGCUGAGUAGAGGAUGGACAUACGAAGAGCCCUCGGCGAGAGCUUCCUUUGAUAGAAGGACUCGGUGAGCGUCCUUCAAUGCUUGCUUUGUUAGUUGUUUAGCCUAUUUCAUAGGUGUUGAGUGGUGGCAGGAUUCUUUUCUCAUAGACCGUAACCGUCAUGGAUUCUCCUUCUGGUAAAGACAGAGAAGCUGCGAGACUGGCUAGGGCGUCUGCCUUUGUGUUCUGUCUCCUUGGCACAUGUUCAAUGUUGAAAUAUGCGAAGGUGCGUGCUAAUUCGCUCGCUGCUGUAUGAUAGGGUAAGAGAUCUGGUUUUCUAACUUCAUAGACGCCGUUCAUUUGGUUAAUUACCAACUUUUAGUUACCUCGAACUUCCAGUUGAUGUACUUUGAUGUCACGAGCUAGUUCCAUUCCCAUAAUCAGCGCCGUGUAUUCUGACACGUUGUUGGAACAUGACUCCGACAAAGUGAAGGAAUGCGGGAUCAUGUUGCCUUUGGGAGUAAUAAUAAAGACGAUUCCGACCCCUGAUUUUAGACGUCCUUUCUCGUCUGUUUUUGAGGCGCAGUCAAAAUACAUCUCCCAGGCUUUUGAUGUGGGUCUUGAUGCGACUUCAGCGCAGUAGACUGCUUCGUCAGGCAAUUCUUUUUGCAAUUUAGAAUUCUCCUGUAGAGGAUGUGCUCCCACUCCCAAUAAAUCCGUCAGUGCCUGUCCUUUCAUUCUAUUCGAAAAAAGAGGUGAACGAGACGAAUGGUAGGGUCAGAAAGGGCAGUCCGACGAGUCAGUCAGUGGAAAGGCGAACUUUGGCCGAUCAACGCUUCCCUCAAUUCAAAAAAAACUUCUUUUUUUAUCUCACGAUGUCGCCCCAAUCUUCCUCCCAUACUGAAAAGGAAGACGACAAGAAGAGCUUCUUGAAUGACCAAGGAAACCUACUUGCCCCGUGGCGGGGGUCAAAGUAGUCAAAACAGUCCAUUCGGGGUAGGAAGGUUAUUUUAUUUCCUCGACCAGUGGAUAUCGGACUCUUCUCUCCACGCGCAAGCAAAGUCCUCUCGAGCCUCCUUGGAAAGGUCGCGGAGAAUUCCAAUUCCAGGCAGGCGAUGAUGCAAGUUCCAAGCACUCGCAAAGGGCUUUCGUCGAUAAGUUUCUCAAUCAAAAUCAAAAUAUUGGUGAGUGAAUUUUAUUUUAUAUAUUACCUCUCCUCCAUAAAUAAGGUUCUUGUGCCUCAGCAUUAAGUCCGCUGGCAAAUCCGACCCGGAGCUUGAACUUUACUUUGUUGGUACUAAACCCGCACCUGAUGGACAGGUUGAGAGCGAAGCGGACAGAUCUAUGAAUUCAAAAGCCUUAUCCUGACGCGCCGUGCGCCAUCUUUUCUUUUCUUUCUCUUAGCCUUAACCUAUGAGAUCUCUGUUAAUCUUUGCACAUCCACUGCUUGCUUAACCACCGAGUCAAACUAAGACCAGGAUAGACUCAAUAGGACUCUUCUACUGCCUAUGAUGUGAACAAGAUGAGACUUUCAUUUUAGAAUGGUAAGCCGGGUCAAGCAAGUACUUUUUUUUUCUAUUAGCGGUGAUAGCCUGUUUAGAUAAGUUAAGAUAGGUAAAGUGAAACACUCUUUUCGGGUGUAAGACCUAGCCUUGUGAGUAUAAAUAGAAAACCACUUCUUUUCCGGGAAGCGCUAGUUAAUAGUUAAAGUGAAGGAAGUUAGGGUGCGACACAACGAGAAUGUCUUGUUCUAGGCGCUUAGGCGAGUAGCGGUAAGUGAAGUAAGUUAAGAAAGUCAAAAAGUGCAAGUGGUUGAUUGACAAACUAUUCUGGUAAGCACAGGUUCUUAUUGUUCCUAAAGCUCUGGAUCUCGAAGCCCCUAUCACGUAAGGCGUUUGAUCGGGCGCCUACUCCUCGAACUUCCAUUUCAAUGUGUCUUUCCCAAAAUCUUUGGUAUGCCUUUUCCUGGUAAGAAGUAAUGGGAAAGUAGAUAGGGAAAUCUAGGGUUCAAUGUCCCCUAUGUUGAAGAAAGGUUUGGAACCCUCUAACCCGGUCUUUCAUAGAUAAGGGUAUAGUCUCUCUAUCGAGGGGUUUUCCCUCUCUUUGAAUUUAGCUUUCUGCUUCAAGUUCGUCAGCGAUGGAAAUCUUUCUCGACUCACAGAUAAGGGAUGUAUGAUUCCCGAACCUUAACAAAAAGGAUUGAGCUCCGCUCAUCCCUUGAUCUCUGCCUAACCCGGGCUAGUUUCAGUGUUUGGUUCCUGACUUGAUGGGAUGGGAGUCACAAGGCUUUAAAGAAGCCCGAGGAGCUGGGUUGAACGAGAUUCGCUUUGGUUUUUAUGAUUUGACCUUGCUCAUAUAUCAAGGCUGAGUCUAACUCCUUAUGUCUCGGAAAGACAGAUUUUCUGAUACACUGGACUAAGGUGACUAACCCACAGGACCUGAGAUGAGACAGAGACUGAGACAACGAUUUGUCGAAGACACUGUGCCCGAAUCAAGGAAAGCUACUGCGCCUGAGAAGAAAGAAAGAGAUAUUUAUUAAGAACAGCCUUUAAGAGAUAGGGGGUGCCACAAGCCUAGGUCCCCAACAGAGAUAUUUGAUAUUGGUUUGGUGGACAGAGCCUGGGUCGCCAAGCCCAAGCCCCCCGACAGAGAGUAUGGAUCACUAUGUCUCAAAAAUGCGUCUUGCUUAGGUUGAAGCAAAUGCCAGUAUAGUUGCUGUUCUUAUGCCGCUAUUAGUAGAUCAAACGCUCUUCUUUCUCUGAUCUUUCGGAGUCCUUAGUCGAGUCAGAUCCGCACCGCAGGUUAAUCUCUCGUUUUUUGGAGCUUUACUUUAGGCUCGCUGCCCCUAUAUGCUUUCAAGCUUAUGGACACUUCAAGCUCGUAUCUUCGCAUCUUGUCUUUAGGUUUUAUCGCCUUGCAUGCUGAUGAGCUCUUUCCCUCGGGUUCUGUGACUCGAGUAACAGGAGCUCUACGCUAGAGCACAAAAGAACGGCAUCUCUCUAUCGGAUUGCCUUAGCCCUUUGGUAUCCCAUUGGCUUACCCCGACGGUAUUUGUAUCGGUAUCUCGUUCGAAUAAACUUGCUUGCGCAUCUUGUCUUUGGUUUGAUAUACUUUUAUUAUAGUCCAGUGGCAAGAUUAAUGUCUUUUAUUGGCUUCUCUGCCCCUGGAACAAGAUAUCCUCUUUUCUGUCUCUGUCUUUUUCAAAUAAAGACCUCUUGCCUUGCCCCCUUAUCUACUACGGGUGAAUCUCUUCGAUCCGGAAUUUCACUAUCUCUAAAAAAAAGGUUUUGCUGCUGCUAGCUCCGCCACUGGGCCAACUUAAACUACUGCCAUAGGUCCCUAUCCGGGUCCUCACCCUCUACCGGAACUCCUGCGGGUUAGAGAGAUGGAACUACUGAAGCUGCUCCCUCUGCUUCUGGAACUGUCAAAGGGUUGGGGGGCAAUCACUUUUUAGAUCAUGGCUUGUAAUUCAGGAGCCUUUCCCUUGACAACCGAGCUUGCCUAAGGACGGCGUAGAAGAGAAAAAGUCUAGGAUUGAGAUCUGAGCAGAAAUUUCUCCCAGGUGAGUGGCUACAUUUUAGGGUGGUAAUUUGUUGCUUGGUCGAGCAGCUGCCCUUGGCAAGGAAGGCUUUGGAAAACCAUAGCAUCAGGGGCCUAGGCCCUGUUCUGGUUACUACAAUUAGUGUAGUGUAGCACCUUUAUUUUCAGGGCUUACUUCGGAUAGUACCGCUGCUAUUGUUUGAGUAUAAUCCUGGUAUCUUUCUACAAUCGUCUUUGUGGCUCCUGUUGUUGCGGAGCCUCUGUGCUGUUGGUUUUACCCUGCCCGGUAACGGGUCCUUGAAUAUUCUCAGGUGGAGAUUGUCGACAAAAAAACCAGCUAAGUGAUUUUUUCUUUCGGGUAAGGCAAUAAGUUUUGCAAAGUCCAACAGGCAUUAGUAGCAUGCCCGUGGUACCUGUGGAAUCAACUGUAUGCGUUUGGGUGAAAAUUCGUGGGUUUGGUGUAGUGAAAGAGAAAAAGAAAAAGUUGCUUCAGUUUCUGAACAGGGCAAGCAUACCUAGGAAAUCGAGAUUGGGAUCCCAUUCAUCCAGCGGAAGCAACGGCUAGGGCAUGGACAAUAACAGAUCCUUUUCCCUAGCCGGGGUCCGGAGGUUUGUCGUAGCUUCUGCGGCUACGACAUGGGCAUUGCUAGGUGUUGGCUUAAGUAUUGGUGAAAGUACCUGAACCAGUGGUGACAUCGGCAGGAGAGGCUCCAGCACUGGUAGGUAAGGGCGAAGUCAUCAUAAGUGUAAGUGGUUGACUGGGCCUAGGAACGACCAUCGGUCGGGAGCUUUUAAGGCUAAGGCAAAUUCAUCGUUUUUCGCUCGUCUUUCAUGCGUGCGAAUUGCAUAAGUAAUUGUGUUUUGGCGGUGGAGAAGUACAGAAGUGAACAGUGUGUUAGUUUUUUAGUUGUGCGAAGCGUUGUUGACAAGACUUACUCAACUCACUACUUUCACCUGUUUCCGAUGACAACUACCACUCUCUUAUGAAUGGGAGGGUAGAGUACCAAGACGGGUUGGCCCGCGAAGGCGGUUUAUUUAGUACCAGAUAUACGUGUUUAUUUCGAAUUCUUUUCAGGGCAGUUCAAAGGCACGAGAGAUAAGGAAAACUGAAAAGCUUCUCAAACCAGAGUAGGAAUUCGAUCAAUCGCUAUCAAUGCCAGGAGGCAAUUCAUGGGAACGAUAACCUUUUCCGAGAAGAGUAAAGCGAGGGAUAGGAUAGAUGAAUAGGUUUAAGCCCUUAUCCGCUUGGAGGGAUGAAUUUUCAAUUUCUAAGGCUUCGUUUUUCUCCGGCAAGCUGCUAGGGAAGCAUUUAUUCCCAAGCGAUAGGGCUUGGAGUUCAGAUUGAUGCCUUAGUCCACUCCGAGAUAGAAAGAUACUAAUAAUGGAAAAAUUUAUGCUCUUGAACCCGAACAGUAAGUUGAUCAGUUACUAUCGGUAGGGACGGGAGACAAAACUGCCACUUAUGGGAAAGCGAUAAGAAGCCUGAAAGCGAUUCUGACACAAGAUACGAUGACAGGGAGGGAGUUCGAUCAGGAAUAGACAGAAAAACUCAACUACGUCGACCCUUUCUUUCUCAUGGGAGGGAUUUGAAUCCAACCCUUAUCGAUACCCCUCGCUAGGACAAAAAAGUGAGUCGGGUUUUGAUCUGGUUCCGAAAUGAGUGGGUGUUACCAAUGACUCGAUACCCUGCUGCUACCGAAUGAAGUUCGUCUUUCCCCCCUUUCCCUAUAAUAAAGUGCAGGCCCCCGUAGAUAGAUAUCCCAUAUAGCCCCUCCUCUAUGGGUUCGGGAACGAAAGCUUUCUAAUGUGGGUCAGGAUCGACCAUAACUUCAGGAUCCUCUGGUUCGACAUUCGUAUUUCAUUUUCUUUUUCCAAGCCCUUCUUAGAACUUAGAAAUAGAAAGCACUCAUUGAGUUACUUACGGAAUCUCAAAUCUCUCUCGACGCCGAGAAUUGGAUUUUUAUUACUCCAUCUUUUGAGAGGUAGCCGCAUCUCGGCCAAUUCCAGGGUUCACGGCAUUCCUACCUUUGGGUGGCUUACUGCCGUAGUUGGAGCGAGUCACAGUUCCGAUUCCAUUUGAACGAGCAUUCCUACCAAUUCAUUCAAUUUGGAGGGGUAGCAGUAGAUCCUGUCGAUUAACUCGGUCCAGCAACUGUUCCGGGUCCAGCACCGACAUCAGUAGCACUACCAUGAGUUGACUAAGCCAAUGUUGCACCAGUAGACCAGAUCGGGAUCAAAAUCCAUACCCACUUCUUUUGGAUUGGAAUCCCGGGAUUGAGAGACAGAUAUUCGCCUGGUCCGAUAUUGGAUCGUCGCUCACUCGCUUCUUUCUGCACUGGAUCGAACCAAGCAAUCGGUCUAUGUUCUUACGUAUGAUAAUACAAUGGAUCCUGAUCCCAGGAAUCAAAAACCUAGUAAGCGGGGUCACAGUGGAUUGUGAACCCCCGAUACCGUAGUUUAGAGAGGUGGCGCGGUCUGGUCCCAUCCUACAUAAAAAGGUUUUCAAAACAAAAGAAAGGGAUAGGAGUAAGCGCCUCAAGGUAAUGGAUGUGAAUAAAGGGGGGGGAGCGAGGCCUUUAGGCCCUAUACCUUCCGGUGAGAUUAUGCCUUGUGUUUUUAUGAUGGUUUGCCUGGUCAUAACGUGCUUUUGCCUUGUUUUGUCUCUUCUCUUCUCAUUGGAUGCAGUGGCAUAGGCGGGUUGUCCCUCCCUCUUCUGAAGGUGGGGGUUAUUCUUCUUGCUGGAAGUGGGCUAUCCUUAUGACUGGGUCCGUUACAGCGGCUAGUCAGAAGGUGGUCUGUCUGAAUGCGAUGCGAUCCCUCCACUCGAGGACGGGGGUACACUCCACUGCUUGGGAGGGCACUUCUAAGGAAGGAGACUUCAGACUUCACUCGCAAGCGGGGUGGUUUCUGGAUCAAGAAGUCCUCUCUCGAGCUUUCCGGAUAUAAAGGGCAGCGUCUUGGUAGGGAGCUGUCGAGGGAUAUAUUCCUCUCGAAGGGAGCUUCAAAAUGAGGGAGGCCGAUCUUUAAUCUGAUAUUCCUUGAUUUCUGGCUCCUGAUCCUUUAGAUCUUCGUUGUCUGUGACUUUAGGUUUCUGACUUCAGGUAUGUGACUUCUGGCUUCGGGCGUCUGACUUCGGGUUCUCUGACUGACGAUUUCUGAUCUCCGAUCUGAUCUAUAACCAGAGGGCGACUCUGCAGACCAGGAAUAUAAAAACCUUACCCAUUGUCCUAACUGGAAUGGGGACGCGACUAGCGGGGUGUUCUUGUAAUCCCCAACCCAUAUGUACUGAGGAAUCCCGGGAGGCAUGGUAGGUACUGGUUAGGAUCCCGGCCCGAAAGACCCGCUUGAGUUGAUCACACCCUUGUGAAGGUGUAAUGUAAAAUCCGGCAGUUAGUCAGCCUGGUUAACGAUCAAUGAGUAAUGGAACGGCUUUGCAGGUUCCCAUUUUAAGGUGUUCGAUCCGACAAGCAAGCAAGAUUUGUGCUAUUUGUUUAUUCAUUUUGUUUAGUAGUGAUAGUUCCAUCGAGUCAAGUAAGUAAACCGCACCAAGGAGGUGCCGGUUGGAUCGUAUCACUAGAUAGAUGCCACGGUAGUGCUUUUGGUCAAGCACCACCCCCCUUAAGUUAAGGUCGGGCUCUUUCAGAUCCUUCCUUCCGAACUCUGAUCGAAGUGCCUUACUCUCUAUUUGAAACAAGUUACAUCUUCCCGAGUCUUUCGGUAGCAUCUGGCCAUAAACCCUCUCCUUGCCGGCCGAGUAACUCCGUACCUGACCUUAUUUUCUAUUGAAUUCACUCUGUUCCCCGGUCACAGCCUUGCUGGCUGCUAGUCUUCUUCCAAAUCUAUCUCCCCGUCUUUCAAACCUGUUCACUUCGUUGUUACUUACAAUGAUUAUUGGUGCACUUUCCUCUAUCUGUUCGGUCGAGUAGCUCCUGUUUCCUUUCUUUCACAAAGAGAGAUGAGCGAGCUACUGAAAGAGAAUGCUACUUAGAUAUGCACCCUCUACCAUGAGUUGUAGAGCUUAAUAAAUCUUCCUUGCCCCCUUCCCUUGGCUGGUCCCAUCACCCGAGAUUGCGUUGCUCGGAGCAACACUAGCUGACACCAAAGAAGGUGAUUCGGCUAUCAAUCAAACCUAGGUUAAAAUUCCCGCCCUGAAGAAGCCAAAGCCGCGCGAGCAUCCAGGUCCGCAUCCACUGACCCAGGGUAAGUAGUUUACGCCCUUCUUAUCUUAUGAUGCUUAAUAUGUGCCUCGAUCUAAAAAAUGAAUCUGAUUGAUGAAUUGCGAAUACCACGAAGUAGUCAAAGGCGCUGGCUCAGCUCAACAAUACAGGUUUCGCUUCCUCUCCCCUGCGGUCGAGCCUGCUCUCGAUCCGGAACUAUACCUUGGUCUUGUGAUCCAGCUUCAGAUCGAACGGUAAGGAUCCCCUCUCCGGGGUUUGCCAUAUCUAUGCCAGGGCGGAAGAGAUAUACCUAAUUCCAUUCUAAGCCUACUAGCUCGACGAACCCACUUCACUACUCCCUCGUAUCGUCCGUCCCGCUACUACAUCGCCAAUGAGUCUUUCUCCCAGAGCUCCCGUCUCAGUUACAGAUCUUGGCAGUCCCCGAUUCUGCUCUUCACAUCAAGGUCAGGGCCACUCCACGUCAGUCUCUGUCGUCGGUUUCGGAUCAGCGUUCUUUAUACUUACCUUAAGAGAAUACCAGGUCAGAAACCAUGAAGCCUAAGUUGGAGAUGGAGCCUACGCCUAGGACGAACUCAUCCAAAGCGGAUAGAGUCAAAUCGAGCUACUUCGUUCUCUCCUUGAAUUAUUGUAUAGGGCGAGCUACUCCAUCCCUCACGCUUCGGGGCUGACGCUUGUUUGUUUAUUGGGAUCAUUCUCCCUUAACUGUCAAGAGCAGGUGAUGCAAAGAACCUUACUCACUUUCGAACAAAUACAUCCUGUUUGAUUACUAGUUCGGGCUUACAGGUAGGGGCGGCUACUCACUAACCGGAGUACUUGCCAUUAUUAUGUGAUUUUCUCUCUCCGGUUCCUUGAUCGGGUAUUUAGGAGAGAAAGGAACUACUAAACCAAGUAAACCGGCCUCAACGAGUCCCUCAGGACUACAAAAUGUUGGGGCACACUCUCCUUUUUCAUUUAAGGUCGAUCUCUUUUAGAACCAAUCUCAAAGCACGCGACUGAAGGAAGCGGCGUGAACUAUUCUUAUCUUAAGACAAUAGACAAUCGCCUUAAGGGAAAGGGGCAAACGGGUCCUGCUUAAGGGAAAGGGGCAAACAGGUCCUGGAAGAGAGAGGUUAGAACCCGAAUAAGAGGCCUUGAUUAACUCCGCCCCGCAACUAUACCUCUAUCUAUCUUAAAGUAAGACUGGCACAAAAACGAGUAGGAAGUUCAAGACGAGUACUUAUUGAUGAUUCAAUCCAACCGCAUCUUUAGCACGGUUGACUUAGCCCUUUCAAGGAAAACUAUCACUACCGAAACGGAACCAUCACUAUGAACUAAGAAAAAAAAAAAUAGCACUCUCCCGCUUGACGGAUCGAACACUCCACAACACGAAACUAGCAAAGCCAUUCCGUGACUCAUCGAGAAUUUCACGUGGGAUCGACUGGCUAACUGUUAGGAUUUUUACAUUACACCUUUCUCUGGAAGCGCGGUUCACUCAAAUAGGUAUUUCGGGCCGAGGUCCCGCCCUUUGCCAUGUCUCACUCUUGGGUUACAUAUGGCGCAAGAUCGCUAGAAGCGGAGGGAAGCCCCGCCGGUCGCUUUCUUGCAGGCUGGACCGGUAUCGGCCAAAGGGUACAGAAGGCCUUCCUUCUUGGUCUGCUGCUUGCUCGCCCUGCAUGGCGAAUCGGCUUUCUUUGUCUACGAAUAGGCUGCCCAAAAGAGGGUCUUCCGGUCGAGCCAGCUUUCCUUUUCUAACCACCGCCUUUUUCUUUCUUUUUUUACUUUUUUAAAGCUGGUCAAUUUCCAUCCCCUUUAUUUCUCAACUUCGUCGACCCUCCUCAUCAGAAAUGACUGUUAUUGGUGUCGUAAGGCGACGCGAUCCCGGUGUCUCGUCACUUUGACUCCCCGUUCUCCUCUCUCGUUCUUCAUGGCCUAAAAAUAAAUAGAAUAUCUAUAUCAAGAAAUGGAAGGCAUAUCAAGCCCAAUGUUGAGAUUGAAGGCUUCAAUAUUACAUAUUCCCUUCACCCGGGAUCUUGAGUCCUUUCUUCUCCUUGACUGUAUUGGCGUUCUUCAUCUAAAGGCUCUUCAUAUCAUGAACUUGUCUAAGUUAAACUCUUCUUGUUGCGGGAGAAGGUUCUGGUAAGCUCGUCAGGUGCUGGCGUAAGUAGAAGUAGUAACUCCUACCGUUGCUAAAGCUUUGCUUUCUCUUUAAGGCCGAUUAUCGUUAUUCAAGCGGUAUCGCAGAGAAUCUUUCCGAUCGUCCUUCUGGCAAGGGUUUGAAGAGUGGCUUGGUAGUUAGGAAAGUAAAGUGAGGGAGGAAGGCGCUGUACUAUUGGGCAAGUAGCGGUUGUAGUCUCGGCUUUCUUGUAGCUUUGGGGAUUUUUUAAUGCUACUUUAGGAUAAAAAAAAAGGCUUCAAGCUCAAGUGCAAGCUGAGUAAACUUGUUCAGCUUUACUGCAAGUCUAAACUAAAGAAAGGGAGGGGCAAAGUCCACUCGCUAUUAGCUCGCUUAAAUCUCUUCACUCGCAUAGUAAACAACGCUCGCCCUAGCUAAAUCAAGCUUAGUACAUCUCGGGUGAUGAGAGAACCUUCCAUUACUAGAAGCUUUGGCAAGGAUCCUGGAAAAGACUUCCAUAGCAAGAACAAACGGAUAGGGGGAAAGCGGAUCUCCUUGUCUCAGCCCCUUCCCUCCGGAGAAAUAGCCCUCAAGCCCCCCAUUGAUGGAGACCGAGAACUUGGGGGUGGUGAUACAAGCCGCAAUGCACUUAAUCAGAUGGGCAGGAAGGUCAACAGCUUUCAAAAUCCCCAUAAAGAAAUCCCAAUGCACUGAGUUCUAGACUUUCUAAAAAAAAUAGAUUUUGAUGGCACACCGAGGCUUCCCUGUCUUCCUGUGGUAGUUUCUAAGGAUAAAGAGUUCCUGAGCCAAAAGGACAUUAUCUGUAAUCUUCCUCCUUUCAACAAAAGCAGACUGGGUGGGGCUAAUGAUCUUGGGAAACAAGCCUUUGAUCCUAUUAGCAAUCUACUUGGUAAAUACACUUAUAGAUUGUAUUGAAGCAGGAAAUAGGCUGAAAAUCUCCCAUGACUGUAGGAUUAGGCACUUUCGGCACCAAAACAAUGAUAGUGGAGUCUCUUAGAAGUGAAGCAAAGAAAGACUUUUUAUGGCUUCUAUUACAUCCUGAUUCACAAUCUCCCAAGCACUUUUGAAGAAGUGGGCAGAAUACCCAUCGGGGCCCGGGGCCUUGUUACUGUUAAGGGAGAACAUAGUUCUUUUAAUUUUCUCUGCUUCCACGGGAAGGGACAAAAGGCAUCUGUCCUCCUGGUAAAAGGUGAAAUAAAAAAUCCCUAUAAUCUCUGCCACCAACUCUCUUUCCAAAGUAGGGUCACCACCAAGCUGGAAAAAGGAGACAGCCUCUUGACUAACAGCUUUAUGGUCUUCCAACUUCUCCCCCUCGGCAUUGUAAACACUCAACAAUCUGUUCUUGGACUGCCUAGCUCUCACCACCUUGUGAAAAAAGCCCGUCUUACUAUCUCCCAGCUUCAGCCACUUAAUUCUGGACUUCUGUUUGAGGUGGGCCUCUUCCAUAAGAGUGAAAUGAGUAAAAACUUGCAAACUCUCUUUUUCUGCAUUUGCUAGGUCAGAGUUGGAAGGAUCCUGCAAGUGGAGUAACUGCAAUCUAGUAAGGUCCUCUCUAGCUUGGGCAACCUUAGAGUUGAUGCUACCAUAGUAUUUGAAAUUAAAUAACGAUCUUCAAUUCAGCCUUGAGACGUUUCAGCUUGGUGCACAGCCUGAACAUAGGAGUACCCUCCACUGGAGUACUCCAAACUUGCUCAACUAAAGGGGCAAACUCUUCGUGGGAGGUCCAUAAAUUAUAGAAUUAGAAAGAGAAAGGCUUCUUCCCUGUGACCAACUUCUGCCUGAUGGUAACUAUCCCCGGGGUAUGAUCGGAAAUACCCGGCCCUGUGAAGUCUGCUUCAGAGUUCGGGAAAGUAGCAAGUCAACUGUCAUUAACCAACACUCUGUCAAGCUUCCUGGCAAUAAUCUGCUCACUAUCUCUGCGGUUGGACCAAGUGUAGAGCGGGCUCUUAAAAGGGAGGUCAAACAGAUCUAUAUCUAACAAGCAUUGGUGGAGGUAAGUAUUAUGUCUUCUCCCACUCCCACCUCCUCAUGGAAUCUAGAAGAAUUAAAAUCUCACAUAAAAGCUUGGUCAAUCACUACACUGCUCAUUCUCUUCAAAUCAGCCCAAAAAACCUUCCUGCUAAUCAUGUCUUUAUUGAUGGAUCUUACUUUAUUUAGUUUCCACAAGGCCACACAAACUAAGAUUCUUAUUCUUUAGGAGAUGUCUAACCUCCCUUUUGAGGGCGGAUCUACGACCAACCUCACAUUCCAGUAACCGAGACUAAUCAUAAAGGGGGGGUUGGGAAGGACCCCCUCCCCCUUUGGAGCUGCUACUUCCCCGAGCUUUCUUUUCUUUUUGGCUUUCUUGCCUUUCCUUUGGCCCCCAACAUUCGAUUCAGAAGAGAAAAAUGCUCCCGAGGACUCUUCUACAGAAAGUUUAUCAUCCUCCUGCUGGGAAUUAGAUCCUACUCUUUGUCUCUCCUCUUCACAGAAAAUGGAGAGCAAAAUUGAUCGAUUCAUCGAAUCUUAGCCUAGGUCGGGACUGACGGGGCUCGAACCCGCAGCUUCCGCCUUGACAGGGCGGUGCUCUGACCGAUUGAACUACAAUCCCAGGAAAAUUAGGCUAUUAUUUUUUCUUUCAUUCGAACCAUUCAUUUCGUUUCGCCGUGUUGUAACAGAGACACGAAUGAUAUACUAGAUUAUUCUAAUUAAAUAUAUAUUUAUAAAUGCAAUAAAUGAAGUAAACUCAUACUUCUACUCCGUAUCCUCAUGUUUUAUUAUUCAUAUUUUAUGUCUUGGGACAUAGAUAUUCUAGAUACCCAUUAUGAAUCGAUAAAGUCUUCCUACUUCUCCAUUGUUCCAAUCAGAUUCGAAAAAUGAGAAAGAAAUCAAAAGUCAGUGGACCUGAAUUGAAUCAUGACUAUAUAAGCUAUUCUGAUAUUAAGAUUCGAUAUAGAUGAAAUCGUGGAAGCGGACCUUUGAUUUCCUUGGACCACGUAGGAAUUCGUCGUACAAUUGAAUCUUCUUGUUCCUGGAUGCUCCAUAGGAAUCCAUCGCUAUUCCCUUCCUCCACCGAGAAAGGUUCAUUCCGAGUCACAAGAGUAUUUCAUUUUCAUUUUUUUUCUUUUUGUUAUGGUAAUGCAAUGCAAGAGGUUGGAAAUCUGGUUGUUUCCUGAUGAUGAAAAGCACUUUUUUAUGUUAUGUGAAAUUGAUGAAACCCCGAUAUUUAAGGGUCGGUAAUGUUAGAAGACGACUGUCGGUAUCUGAUGGUAAGAUACCUACGUCGGUAUAUCUUUGAAAGCUCAGACGGAGAGAAUAAACGGACUCCUCGAGGGCUACUUAAGGCACUUUAGUGCAAACCAGAACGACUGGAGCUGUUGGAUGUUGCUCAGUGCUGCUAUAACUUAACAACCAAAGAGCUCCGCGUCGAACGAACUUCAGCCCCUUCGAGUUGGCCACGGGGCAACAGCCUCCGCCCCACACCAUUUCGAAAAGAGGGGGCUUGCCCAUCAGCCUACUUUGCCAAGAGGUGGUAGGAUCGCAACGACCUAGCCCAAACCCACUUAAACUAAAGGCUUAGCCCGGUCUGGUCUGAAGGAAGAAGAAAGUAGACCUUGUAGAGCAGCGGAUAGGAGAGGUAGCCUAUAGACUCAAGCGAUCAGCUCGGUGAAAACUCACCCCGUAUUCCAUGUGAGUCAGUUGACUUCGAUUAGACCAGACCGACCCAGAGAGGAACGUGCCCACGAGGGCACCACCAGAUGUUGUAGAUGAACCUACUAAAGAAGAAGUUGAGUAUAUCAUAGCUGACCGCACCAUGGGCUAGCCCAUACACCCACUGCACGAGUGGAAUACUACUUAGUCAAGUAGAAGGGCCAACCUGAGAGCGAGGCAAACUGGGAACGGGCUGAAACUUACGAUUCGAAGACCAAGUCAGAGACUACUGGGCGUUUCGCAGAGCGAGGACGUUGAGACUUUUCGAAAAAAAAAAAUGCUUUUUUUUUCUUCUAUGGAAAGAGGGGAUGAUACGUGGCGUGGUAUACCUAAUCGUUUGGUCAACGAGACGUACGUAAGUCGACAUAGCUCCAUGUAUAUGUUCUUUGUAGCUAGAACCCAUAAAUAGAAUGAUGGUGAGCCUAGGGCGACGAAUAUGGCUCAAGGGUGUCUAUACAAAGCCCCUCUCUUCUUCAUUCAAAGAGAAGAGGCAAUGCACGAAUGGUACUUGAUUCAUUCUUUAUGAAUCUUUUGGUUAGAAGUUCUACUUUCUUUCUAAAAGGAAAUGCCACGCGGAGCGUGUCACCACGAGAUAUGGGGCGUUCUAAUCGAAGCGAAGGGUCAUACCUCUCGGCCCUAUUACGGUAAGGCCAAUGCACCAGCCUGCCGGUGUGGUGGCGAACACGCUGUGCUGUAAGCUAAGCUGUUCGCCUUGUAGACGGAGGAGAUAUAGAAAGUGUGCCGUGCGUGAUUCAUAAGAUUCUAUAGUAGCACCAGCAGUAUAUUAUUUUAUUUCACUUAGCCUGCCUCUCCCAUGACUUUCCGGACCAACCAACCCGGAUCUGCCCUCGCAAGUCUCUCUGCAUUUUGGGAGCAGAGCAUGCAAAAUUGAGCAAUGGAUCUUAGAAGAAUUCUACUUUGAACGGCACGACUCUUUCUAUUUUUAUUUUUGUGCUGGCACUCAACUUCGUCGACCCUCCUCUUUCCAUCGGCACACUCGACGCAGAUAGCUCCGGUGGCCCCGGCCCCGGCUUCUGCCUCUAUCAGGCGGCGACAGCCCCUACCCCCACAGCCACAGCAUGGAGGUAUUUACCUUAAUCCGCACAAAAAGAAAUCAAAAUUUUCUCCGGAUCGAUAUAUUAUGAUAUGAUGCUAAACCGAGACCGAGAUAGAGAAAGAGGGCUGCCCCUUUGUUGGCUCUUCGAGACAAAAGCACUCAUAGGAAUGGUGCUAAUUCCCAUGUUCCUUCUAGUCUCGUUUGGUUUCGAGAGCCUCCCCCUCCCCGUCUCUUACUCGUCUUUUGAAAGCCGUCAUCCUGGAUUUUUUUUCGUAUGCCGGGGAAAGUGCCCCACCUUUCUACAUUAAUUCUUAUUAAAAUUUCCUCACCUCAGGUCUCUAUAAAACAGAAUGAAAAGCCCGGGUGGAAGCAAAAGGAGAGAGGAACAGUAGAAAGGGGGGAAGAAGUCUAGUGCUAGUUCUUACUGAAACUUCUUUAUCUAACUUUCAUUUUUGAGUGGUUUCUUUGUUCUCUUAGUUGGAUUGAAAGAAAGACAAAACUUCCUCUUCUUCUCGUCGAGAAGAUUCCAUAUUCCCUCUAUAACGAAAAUAUUCCAUAUUACCUCUUCUUCGACGAAUAUUGGCUAUGACCAAUGCCCCACUAGCUGAAUAGGCGUAACAAAGCUACCUGAAAAAAGGCAAGGUGCACCUUAAUCGACGAAUUGCGUUUUGCCAGAGAGAUUUUUUUAGAAAGAUUCUCCAUCUCCGUUGGAAAAAAAAAAAAAAAAAAAAGAAAGAAUAUAAAUAAAGGCGCAUACGCGGGAAGGGGGCCCACUACUUCCAGGUAAAAAACCUCAUUACUUCCCACUGGGCGAGAGGUGCACCUAACCCACCUACCCACUCAUCAAUCACGGUGUUCAGCUGACUUGCACUGAUAGACCCCUAUUGUAUUGGAAUUAGGUGCCCAUCUUUUGACUGUUGUCAACUAAUUUCUUCAAUGUUCGAUUCUACUCUAUGUUAGAACAUUUCUGUGAAUGCUAUUUUGAUCUAAGUGGUCUUAUUCUGUGUCCCGUGCUAGGAAGCAUUACUCUUCUUUUCAUUCCAAAUUCAAGAAUACGACUGAUACGAUUGAUUGGUCUGUGUGCCUCUCUUAUUACUUUUUUGUAUUCCCUUGUUCUUUGGAUACAAUUCGAUCCUUCUACGGCCAAAUUUCAAUUUGUGGAAAGCCUUCGAUGGCUUCCUUAUGAAAACAUCAAUUUUGAUUUGGGUAUAGACGGUAUCUCUUUAUUUUUCGUGAUAUUGACCACAUUUCUGAUCCCUAUUUGCAUUUUAGUGGGUUGGUCUGGUAUGAGAAGUUAUGGGAAAGAGUAUAUUAUAGCAUUUCUAAUUUGUGAAUUUCUAAUGAUCGCCGUGUUCUGCAUGCUGGAUCUUCUACUAUUCUAUGUUUUUUUCGAAAGCGUGCUAAUCCCUAUGUUGUGCGGAGCUGAGCAUCUUCUAUUCGCUGGGAUAAAGCUUUUCCUCUGCAGGGGCCUUGUGCAGUAAACCCCCUACGGGCGGUCGUCCGUCGUCGUAAAGUAGUCCCCGCGAAGCUUUCGGGAAGAGGGGUAGUCUUGUGUGUAAGCAUAGCAUUUCUGGUCGAACCAGCCCAACCCAACUAAGAAGAACCGAACCUGACAGACACAUCUUUUUCCUUUUGGGAGGGUACUCCGAGUAGUGGGUACCUCGUAGGACCUCGACCCGCCUACUUGGGUCUUGUAUGGAUAUGCAGGAAGGGGUGCCCCUAGGUGUGUGUAGGGGUUGUGUUUGUUCGCGAGAAUGGGUUCCUCGUCAAGUCAGUUUGGGGGGUGUGGACACACUUGCGCGAAUUCGGGUAACGGCUACAAGGGAGAAAUCGAAAGGAAACUGUACCCAACCGGGGAUGGACGUAAACUCGUAAGCUACCGAGGGUAGGGAUAAUCGUCCAGGUCUUAUUGUGAAACAAAAAAGCCGCCCCGCCACUGCAGGCGGGUUGGUUCCUCUGUCGUCGCCGGGGAGCUCUUGGCGAAGAGACCUUAGGAUAAGUAGCUAAAACAAACGGGAGGGGGGGGAAUCGACCCGUUCAGUAGAAUUCCGAAGAAAGACUGUUGGCAGCAGGUGGAGACAUUUCUUUGGCCCCCUUCAAAAAAAAGGAAAUGCGGGCAGGGUGAAGCUCGGCAGAGGGUUCGAGAAUAGGGUAGGGUCCUGUUUCAGAUAAGAAAAGAGUUCAAAACCUUUAUGCAUGCACCUCCGUAUAAGUGCUGCGUACAAGUUCCGGUCAGGAUAAUUGGGAAAGAUCAAACCAAUUUGAACCGCUCACAUCACAAUAGUAGUAGCGUAAAGGCCGUAAGUCGGGGGGUGGCCAUAACAUAAGGCUAUUACUUUCACAUCUCUCUAUCUAUAGAUAGAGAGAGACUCUAGAUAGAGAGAGAGAUCCGCUGCGUGAGCAACCCGACUGUGCGUUACAUGUGCUCUACAGGCCGCACUCCAUCUCCAUCUUUCUUCCCAUUUCUCUUUUGAUUUGGAAGACGGGCGUUGCGUUCGGUUCGAAGGGCAUGGUUUUCAGUAUAUCUCCAGAUAGGCCCCCCACUAGUCCGGCUGGCUAGUGAGCGGUUCUUUCGGGCGAGAAGCAGGCCGGGCCCUACGGGCGGGCAUCUCCCGCAACGCAAGCUGCAUUGUUCGCCACCACCCAAAAGGCAAAAGAUUUGAGAGUCCAGGCUGAAAAUACAUGCAUAGAUAGUGGUCUAAUGACAAGGGCCGACGACGGAAGCUCGGGACGGAGCCGUAUGAUGCGGAAGUCUCACGUACGGUUCCCUGAGAAGGGAGUGGCUACCUACUGGAGCUUCGACCAACCACCACCGGUCAAUUCCGCUUUGGGGCCACCCCUUACUCUACCAUUAUUAUAGGGGUAUGGGGUUCGAGACAAAGAAAGAUCAAGGCAGCAUAUCAGUUUUUCCUUUAUACUUUACUUGGAUCUGUUUUUAUGCUAUUAGCUAUUCUGUUGAUUCUUCUCCAAACAGGAACCACCGAUUUACAAAUCUUAUUAACCACAGAAUUUAGUGAGCGGCGCCAAAUCCUUCUAUGGAUUGCUUUUUUCGCCUCUUUCGCCGUCAAAGUGCCUAUGGUACCAGUUCAUAUUUGGUUACCCGAAGCUCAUGUAGAGGCACCUACGGCGGGAUCCGUCAUCUUGGCAGGAAUUCUUUUAAAAUUGGGAACCUACGGGUUUUUAAGAUUUUCAAUACCCAUGUUUCCUGAAGCGACACUUUGUUUCACUCCUUUCAUUUAUACUUUAAGCGCGAUUGCUAUAAUAUAUACUUCCUUGACCACUUUAAGACAGAUCGAUCUUAAGAAGAUCAUUGCUUACUCCUCAGUAGCCCAUAUGAAUCUGGUGACUAUUGGUAUGUUUAGUCUGAACAUACAGGGAAUUGGAGGUAGCAUUUUACUGAUGUUAAGUCAUGGACUGGUUUCUUCAGCCCUUUUUCUAUGUGUUGGUGUUCUAUAUGACCGACAUAAGACUCGACUUGUUAGAUAUUACGGAGGUUUAGUGAGCACCAUGCCGAAUUUCCCUACCAUUUUCUUCUUUUUUACUUUGGCCAAUAUGAGUUUACCUGGUACUAGCAGCUUUAUCGGGGAAUUUCUCAUCUUAGUAGGAGCUUUCCAAAGAAAUAGCUUAGUAGCCACAUUAGCAGCGCUUGGGAUGAUUUUAGGCGCGGCGUAUUCCCUUUGGCUAUAUAAUCGUGUGGUUUCUGGAAAUUUAAAACCCGAUUUCCUCCAUAAAUUCUCCGAUUUAAAUGGCAGAGAAGUUUUCAUAUUUAUACCUUUUCUUUUUGGAGGGGCGACCGUCCGUUGAACUACCAAAGAAAAAAGGGUAAACCAAUGUGAUCAUGACAUUGUAGGUGCUUGCGAUCGGACGGAUGCGACUUCCCUCAGUUGGUUUGGGUGGCAUAGCCCGUUGCAGAAGUCCCCCCUUUUUUUGAUCCAUUUCUUUAUUCUUUAGUCUUUAGGAAGCUUGACUUUACUAAAAAAAUAAGGCUCGCGCAGGGGCGCUCACUUUUUUUGGCUAAGCCGUCUCUCUUUCUGGAUGAGACCGAAAGAAAGAAAGGACGGGGGGCAACCAUGCAUGGUACUUCUCGACCGUGUCUCCGAGGGACAGUUGAACGAGCGACUCAUGAAUGCUGCCAGGUUGGACGAGCCAAUAACUCGAACGCGUUCGGUCUGUUUUUUGAGCAAGAAUCACAGCGUUACCUUACCUUCACCAUGAUACGGACUCCAAGUUCUUAUGGCGGAGCACGAGGGGAUUUAUCAUCAAUAUGAUGAUGGGAAUGGAAACCAGAAGCACGACUGGGGUCUUCGUGAUCCAAGAUAAUAAAACCAUCAAUAACAGUAACGUAAGCAUGAGACUUUUUGGUAGUACCGGUGAACCAGAUGGCCGCGGCGAUGGAAUCUGGGACGGAGGACUCGUAGUAUCUCUCUAGAUCUGGCAAAAGCGAAAGACCCCCUAACGUAAUUCGAAUGGAGACUGACUGCUGAGCCCACUCUGGCCUCGCAGGGCGGCCCCCUGUGGUUGCGAGCUGGAGCUGCCAUAGCUUAUGUCUAGAGCAAUGGGAGGGCCCCAGCAGAGAGAACAGUAAGGAUAACGAGCGCUCCGCCCGUCAAGCGGGCGGCAGGAGCAGCGGGCAAGUGCUUGGUAGGCCAACAGCCCAGUGAACCGGGCGGGGCACUCGACGAAAGGGGGGCACACUGAGCAAGUACGAGAAAUUGGCCCCGCUCCGUAAAAGCAAGGGCCACUACGGGAGGUCAAACCAAGGUAAUAUGGAAUAUUCUCGUCCCCGGUCAAUAUUGGAUCAAACAAUAGGGGGCCGUAGCACCGACCUCUUUUUUUUUUUGAUUGAUUCAAUACAAUAGGGGAAAAGGUCGUACAGUUCCCUACCGAGACAAGAGAAACUCUCAACGGAUCCUCCGCGCGCUGGGCAUACCUCUUCCGUGCGUCUUUCUCGUGGCGGGAACAGAACAACGGGGAAAGAAAAGACCCGGCCGACCUGCCCAGGGCUCGAGGGCGAGCUUUAUUUAAGAGAGAAUGGGGAGUGAAUCGAAAGGCUUCUGUUUCCGUUCUUGGUUUGGGGGCUUUCGGGAUCCUCUCGAUCUUAUUCGUAGUUGGGAAGGGGGAAGGAGUCUAAAUCAAUGGACAUUAAUGAACCAUCAUUGAUGGACGUUGCACAUGACACAAUCAAUUCGACUCAAGGUCCGGCGCUAAUAGAGGUUGCUUACUCUCCUAGUAGCGAAGGAAAGGGGCAGGGCUUUUUUCGUAGUAAUAGUGGGCGGGUCUCAUGAGAUCUAUGCCGACCGUCGGAAUCAAAUGAAGGUCGAAGGCCCGGACCAUUCGAUUCAUUAAGGGGCUAGGCCUAUUUGUUUUGUUUGGUCAAUCACCAAAGGCGGGGGGAACCACUAUGGGCGAGACCCCCGGCCUCGAUUCUUUUACAUAGUCCGGGAGCCGGCCGCAGCGGAGCAGCGGGGCAUAGUGGCGCCCUCGCCUGGCGCCAUUCCCGAACCUAGCAGCAGACAGGCGGGCCGGGCCUGAAUUCAGACCAGACCAGACUCUUCUUUGUUUGAGCCGCUCACACGCACGCAGACCGGAAGAUCUCAGUUGUCCUGGACUGGACAAGUACGUAGAGAUCUUCGUGGGACCGGGGAGGGGGUCUCAAUCGAUCUUUUCUAGGAUUCCUUAUCACGCCGCGCACGGAGAUCUUUCCAUUGAUAGAUAAGAGAGAGCCUUGAACAGACUCUUAAAGUCAGUCUGAAGACUACCUUUCUCUACGGAAGAGGUGUACUUUUACCGCCCGGAGGUCAUAUAGAUCGAAACCCAGAGCGAUAAGAACGAAAGGGUCGGUCAAUAGCAUAGCUUUUUCUUUCCCUUUCGAAGGCUUUUCCUUCGAAAGCCUAAUCUCGGGCCGGACGGCUUUGUUUGCCCCAGCUUGGCGAAUCGCAUCCCCGCGCAACGACAUUGUUUGUUCGCCCCUUCCCCUUACCGUUCUCGCUCAGUGUUUUCAACGGCUGGGGGGGCAGUCGUUGAAGCGAAGCCUAUCGCCACGCCGACUAUCAAAUACGAGAUUGGGCCCCUUCUCAAAGAUUUGAUGGAAUGGCCCAGCCCACCCAAGAGCGCUUAUGUCAUAUGGGAACUCAUGGCUGGAAACAAUCCUUAUGGUUUUGAUAUCCGGUAGGAAUAAUAAGAAUAAAAAAAAGUCCAGGUUGGUUGGUGAGCCUAGUGAUAGGAGACUAUCUAGCUUGGUUCGGAGAGCACUUGUUGGGUUAAAUAUUUUUUUUGUUGCUAAAUGUUACGGCCUAAAUGCUGAACUAUUGACCCUACUUGUUCGGAUGGGUGUUCACCCCAAAGUGUUCCCGGACCGCAUGCAUACAUCCGUAAGUAACUUAGUGCAACAUGGCAAAUUUCAUUGAGAGGAAUCAGCAAAGAAAAGAAAAACGGGUCAACAUCUUUCAGUAAAGAGAGUUGUAGAUUCGUAAGAUCAUGAUAGAGUCUCCUUUACCUUGAGAUUCUAUUAGUAAAGCGCUAGCGCGCUACAACUAGCAUAGCAGCCUGCGGAAAAGGCGGCGACGGCCCCUACUCCUAAGUUGGAGCAAGAAGCAACGGAUUAAGCAACUUGCGCGAAAGGUUGCUUUUCUAAUUAGAUAAUAUAAGGCGCGUUAGCCUAUCUAUAGUAAGGGGCCUUUUCUUGCAGGAUGCCGGGUGCGCAGGAACAGGAAGGCCCAACCUAUACAAGGUAAAGACCUUCAUUUUGUCGUGCUGCUAUGAUGUAACGUGCAGUCGUCCCGAGGCAGCAGGAUGUAUGGUGUAGGGCCCCCUAUUUUCUCUCCCUUAAAGUCCUUUAUAGAUUUCGAGUCGGGGAUAGGGCAGUGGCUUAUUCGGCGCUAUAUCACAAUUCAUUCUCGGGCAUAGCUGUUCACGAAACGUGGCAUGGGACAUCUGUCGGCGGCGGGAGUCUUACAUCCGAGCAAGAGGGCAGACCAAUGUCACGGCAAGUUUCCUGGUGAAACGCAAGCCCGUGACAACUCUCCCCCACUCGCGAAUGUCGAUGCCCUCAUCGACUAUGCUUCCUUAUAACAAGCAGAAGUGCAAGCCAUUGUUGUCCCAUCCAACAAAAUGGAAUCACCCCCGUGAUGACCUUAAUAGAGCUACCACCCAAUGUAGACACUCCUAACGCCCAACCUAUGGGCUCGGCCUGGAACUCCCCCCACUUGCUUCACCUGCACUUCGAGUAAGCAUACCCAAUUAACUUCCUUAAGUCUUGACUCCCUUUGAGCCCAGACGAGGUCUUCCCCAAGACCAGUUGAAAAUCGAUGCUUCAACUCCCUCAUGAGCACUCUUCGCAAAGAUGAAGUGCGUCCCCUGGACGUGGCUUCUUGUGCCAACUACACCCUUGUAGCACCUCCUUUCUCCUGCGGUAGAUCCCCUGAUCCUAUACUCACUGUCGAGUCCCAACCACCGUUCCUUGCCUUGAUGCUAAGCUCAGCAUCCCCACUAUCACCUUUCCCUCAGUAACUUCUGCCUCUCCAUGAGGCCUUCACAUCCCAAAGACAAGCAACCCAGAAUUUGUUAUACCACAAGAAGUAAAGUCCCCCCCAUGUCUCUCUUGACAAUGCGCUCCCCUACUCCAUGUACAACAUACCCACGAGUAUCACUUUAAGUGAAAGUGCGCAAGUGUUUUUGACCCAAAUAGCCCACCCUUGUGGCUAGAUUUCCACCAUACGGUCCCUGAUCCAACAGUCAUCUACAAUGUAAACCCAAGGUCACCCAACAAGCCUGACGAUUUCAUGAACAUGGCUGUCCCGUGUUAAAGAACACAACUCCCCCGAGUCCCGUCUUAAUCAAGCCCCCGCUUGUACGGCUUUCGUCGCUUCCUUGUGCAACCAUAGCACUCGCCCAACAAAGGGUUUUCCCGGAUGCUAGUAUACGUCGCUUACCCCCAUCAUCUUGAUGCUCAUGCUCACAUCAUCUCAUAAACUUCACCAUUUGGCAUAACCAUAAUCCCUCCUUAUGUGCGUAACCAUCUUACCGGAAUCGCGGGCUUUCCCAUUUGCCCAAAAUCCCCUUGUCCCCACAAGGUUCCCGAACUUUGCCCGAGUGCGCCACCACUCAAGCUAGUUGUGAAGUGAAGGUACUGUAGCAUCGUAUCUCUAACCAACCCAUUACGGCUCCACAGAUCGUCAACAACGAGACCUCGAAGUCGCUCUCGCUCCCAUGGCAUUAUUGAGUGAACUUCAAAAGCACCCUCUCCCCAAAAUUCUACCAAUCAUAGCGCCCAUGCGCUUCACUGGACAUGAUACACGCCUUGACCUCAAAACCCCCAACAUGGCUGUUGUUUCCCUUAAACAGCAUGGUGUCUCCCGCUACCAUUCGGUACACCCACCGACAUGUUUUCCAGUGCCCCAGUUGUCUUUCUCCACAAAGGCACGCCCCUUGAUCCCCACAAGUGACUGUGCCUAUUCCACACAAACUGGCUGAUAUCCCCAACCAGAGCCAACCAAAGCUGUGGAACUUCUACCAAAAUGUAGAACAAGUCUGCCACAACAAGCCCACAUGAUGGCUGUCAACAACACCUUGUCCCUGAUCGUGGCCCACUGCCGAGUGCCAACAAAGAUGUAACCACCUGCUUUGUUACCCACUCGCUGAAUCCAAUCACAUGUGCCCAGUUAAAACGCGCACCUCUGCACAAACUGUCCCUGAGCAACUGUACUGAUUCCCAAUCCAGUAGUACCUGGGCUCUGCGGAAGCAAAGAAGAUAUCACCUCUAAGAAGGAUUCCGCUCGGACAACCAUUCCCUCCUGGAAUGAUGCCUACUCGCCUCCCCCCAUAAGGAGCAAUUCGGCUCUGAUACCACUUGUCACGGCCCCAGAGAAAUGCAGCGGAAUUUGGACCGUGCGGCGCCAUGACUCCACCAAGUCAAGGCCAGCCUUACACCAUUCGAGUCUUUUUACACAGUGACCCUUCCUGAAUACCAUUAUUCCAUAUCGAGGGUUGCCAACAAAGAACUACUCUCAAAGAGUCCCGCACGCUAGCGGCUAAGCGUCGCUUCAUGGUGUCGAGGCACCGAGCCAAGACACUCGCCCAACGAAUAGGCUCUCGUUGUCAUCAAGGCUACUAGCCACAUAACUGAUCCCCUAUAUUAUAUAUGCUAGGCACAGCUGUAUACCCAACAAUGUGCUAGCCAUACUAUAAGAGCCAACCAUGUGAUCCAGCUCCCAAACCAAGCUGGCAUCCCAACAUGCGUCUCGUAUGUCCCGUUAUAUAAUCUCGGAUAGUGUAGCACGAUGUCGCCCCUCAUCGUGCAUCUGGCAACACAGAUCUCGCAAGCAUAGCGGAACCCAAGCUCAUGCUCACGAUAGCACAACGUGGCCUACGGUGGCACCACGAUGUCCCCCGAGUCAUAGACAAGCUCCGCAUAUCGACAGCCCGUACAGUAUAGCGGAUGCACGUCUAAGCCUCUAUGGCACGAAUGAUGCGCAAUGCCGGGCCCCGCGCCCAUACCGACACUGUCCAUGGUGCAUUCUGCACUAUGGAGACCCCGAGCUCCCUUCGGUACUCAGAGUCCGCCCCCAGGUUGCCCCAGGGUGGCUCACUUAGUGCAUGGCCCAUGCCUGCACCGGGGGUGGUGGAGAGCCGACACCAGUUCUCCCCCCUAUAAAGAAAAGAGCCUUAUAAGGAUUUUCAAGUCUGGCAGGGGGAAACAUACUAUAUGCUUGAGCCAUCACACCCCCCUCAACUUUCAUAAAUAUAUAAAUGAAAGUGCCCAGCAACAGAAGUCGAAGGCGUUAGUCCAUUGUCCGUUAGUCCGGGCCUGUCCCUACUGAACUGGUACCCACGGGAUUGAUUGUUCCUUCUGAACUUCUUCUCUCCCAGCCAACUUGAUAGUCCUCUGAGCCCGGGUAUCCCUCUCUUGAGCCUAUGCGCGGACCAACAACAUAGUCUUUGCUAGCCAGGCCAUCAACACGGUCUACUGAACCAGAGAUUUGAGAGUUUAAGCUGUAGAUGUUGUUCCUGAGCUAGUAGUCAAUGUUCAUUCGGAAGCAGGAGCUUCUGCUUGUGAUGAUGAAAGUGAAAAUGCUCUGUUAACUGAUCCGAAGGUACCAAUGCCUUAGUAGAUCAUCCAAUAAACUCGGAUUGGAUCAAUAGCUUUGUGCUGAUCUACGAACGACCCUUCUAUUUGAUUUCUACUUCUUCAAGUCUCCAUCAUCCCGAUCUCUCUUUCCGGGUUUGCCUGUCCAAAGAAAACGGAACCUCUUCUAAUUCAAGGUCGGAAUCCUCAAACCAAUCAAAAUCUGAUUUCUAGUUCACUAUUCUUAUGAUAAGCAGUUCUGUCUCAUUCAUGUGAUGAGAAAUAUGAGAAUGAAAAUUAGAAAAUUGAACAUCUACGGCAGAUUCUGUGCCCCAAAUCAUUUAUACUUAUGAAACUAAGCGUAACCCCGGAGACUGAACUACCUGAGACGAAAGCCCAUUGCAAACACCUAUCAAUAGAACCACAAGCACAAGCAAACCCUCAUUGACUCCUCACUCUGAACGAGAUUCCGAUAAAUCCCCUCACUCCAGCGGAGUUUCCCUCACCUCCACUUUCUUUGAGUACCUUCCUUCCUGCCAGAGGGCGUUCUAGAAGCGUUUACCGCGGCUUAAACAAUCAUCGUAGGAAGGGCCGGAAACUUGCGUUUUCUUAUGAUAGAUUGUACCAUACCUUCUGAGAGGCGUUGGCCUCGCCUUCUGAUCUCAGACAGUCUACCAUGUACCUUGCCAACCCCAGGUUCUCUUUUAGAUGAAUCGGCCUUUAGACGGGUUUGAUGAACCGAGAGUUUCGGGAGUUGGGGGGCCACACUGAACCUUAAAAGCUUAAUUCGUAUCCCUGGUAUUCCCAGCUUGUGAAGAGCUAUCUGGCUUGUGAAGCUACCCAGCAUGAACACGCUUUCGGUCAGUCCCACAGAGAAGAGGUCCUUAAAGAAUAAGGAAGCGAGACUUUUGACAAGAAGAAUAACGGACUCUCCUGAGUCUCAGCCUGUCUCCCGUAACAACGGAGAGAUAAACUAGGGCACCAAGUGCGUACGGCCCGUCCUACCCUCUUUUCUUGCUGAUGCAACAGUAAUAGGUGGGGGUCACGCCGGUUGUGAGGCAGCAGCGUCAGCAGCACGCUGUAGUUCUUCUACUCUUCUUAUUACUAUAAAAAGAAAAAAACCAGAUUGGAAAAAUGUCUUGUAUCCAGCGGGGUUGCAAAAGGUAUUUUGAUGAAAGAAAUAGAUGCUUUAGAUGGAUUGAUGGCUAAUAAGGUUAUAGAUAAGUCUGGUUGGUUACUUGUCAAGGAGAGAUCCGUCGGGGACUGAAUCAACAAAGAAAGGUACCUGGUAUGUGCCCUCGGACUGCUUUGCCCUAAAAUCAGCUGGGGAAAAUGCUAAAGUUGUGUACAUGGUUCACAGGGGAGAGAUUGGGAAGCACCUAGCUUUCUUUGUGGGUCACGAGAAUGGUCAUCCAGCAGAGCGUUUGGAGGUAAAUACGUAGGUGGCUAUAAGAUAAGCCGGUUGGCCUGUCCCUAGUUCACCGAGGGGCUUUCUUUGUGAGUCCUUAAGAUCUCUGAAGGGCAUUCUAACUCGCUGUCAAAGGAAAGGACUAGAAAGCCUUUGUCUCUCUUACAGCUCCUCUUCCUGGGCUCUCUGCUCUAUACAUUUUCAUGUCCCACCACCUGACGAGCCUGAAUUACAUGUCUGAGAAGGACCCCUAGAACCCGUCUUUUCUUCAUUUGGUGAAGGUUAAUAUGUGGCAUGAGCCCGCCACCCUCUCGAUUGAGAUCUAUUCCCCUCUUUGACUGGAAAUGCUUCAUUGACUGAUCCACUAAUCUACGACCACCCUUACCUCUCUUGUUAGGCGUGUCCCUUUCAUAUUAGGCGUGCUAUUAAUAACUGAGAUAUCCACUAACCUAUUAACUAAACUAGACCGCUUUUAGGAAGGAUUCCUGGACUGGACUGACUGACCUAAAGCAAGGAAGGCAAGGACGGACAGGAACAAGAAUAGGUUUGACUAAAGCAAGUCCAGUUCCGAAACGAAAGCGAGAUCGAUCGAUCCUUGCCCCGCCUACCCUGUCAUCAUAAUCAAAGUGGAAACGUGCAACAAAUUUAAGGCUAGGUCCGCCUUACCUUAAUAUUAAUAUAAAGUAAAGAUGAAAUGAAGUCAAAGUUCCUCGAUUUUCUAUUUUUAUGAAAGGAAAUCUUAAGAGUUAGCUAUAUCUAGCCGUGCUGGUGAAAGCCCUAAGUGCAGGUCAGGUUCCGGUUCCUGUGAAAGAGAAAGUUCCUAUCUUAAAAAAAGACGUCUAGUGAGUCUCAUCUUUCGCAAGUUGACGUGAGACUCGCAUUGAUCUACCAGACGUCGAUGAGCUUUUGGUAUCAGAUGCUUACGACUUGCCUAUGUGAUUGGCCGUGUGGAGUAGGCGUAAAGAACGAGUUGCUCCGGUAGUAGCAACUAAAUGAAAUGACUUUACGAAAUCUUCCUUCACGGGGCCUCUUCCUUUCCUAAAAUGCUGGAUCGGAUAUCGUCAAUCGAAUUUAAGUACGCACGCGAAGAGCGAUCCUUCUUAGCCCGUUCAUGAAAGUCCUUUGUUGCCUAACAAAAAUCCAAAAUCCGAAUCGGAAAGAUCAGGUUCGAGAUGGCAAGUCCGGUUAGGGCAGGUCUUUUACUACCUAUAUUCCAACUACGAAGGACAGGCUCCUUUUUCCCUUUAUCCAUCCCUUUUUCAGAAAAUUAUCCCUCCCUCCUGGGGAAAGCUACUCGAUCUGCUAAGCAACCAAGCUACUCUAUCCAUCUAUCCAUAUUGGCUAGCCCUCUUCCUGAACUUCUCAGUUCAGAGAAAGAAAUCCGGUUCGGCUCCUCUUAGAGAUGGUGGGGAAGUAGCAAAAAACCAACAUGAAAUUCUACUAUGAGACCUCUCCCUCUGGUUCGAAAUUAUCCGCUUGAAGGGAAGGUUAUCCUACCUCACCGAGCAAGGGCAGCAAGGGAUGGCCCGCUAGUCCAGAUAGUUGUGGGAGGGGACUCCGGGUACAUCAGAGAUGAAUGCUUGUUUGUUACCGGCAGCUCUCUUUAAACAAAGAGUGAGGGCGCAUUUGCGGAAAAUGAGACUCGAUACAAUGGGCUGGCUAGCCUUUCUCUCCGGUUGACCGGGGCAGUAUCGACUCCAGCCGUUCCUCCAACGCUAGCAGGCAUUAGCCUGACUUCCCUCCUCACCAAGGUAAGGAAGAGAGCAUCGGGGACGGUUUUGUCUCAGCCGUGGUAAGGAACAACAAAACAAAAGAGAUGUUCUUCCGAAUGAGCGGAUUCAGCGGGGAAGAAAGCAGUACACCCUCUUCUUAAAAUAAGUUAGCCUCUAAAGGCUGACCCGUGAUGAUCCCUACAUCACGUAAUCGGAAAUUGGUGAAAUUCUGAAUACGGGUACGAGUUCAUCCAGAAGCGCUGGAAGGGCUGGAGGAAGGGGACGAACCGCAUCGAUUGAGUUAUAUCCGGCAGGGGAACCCCCACGUACCUAGAAAAGAAGGGGAAAGUCUUACCUUUUGGAAACAUAAGGUGCAUCAGAAAGGAUUCCGGAUAUAUUUUUAUAGCCGGAUUCACAAGCUGAGGACUAAGUCGAAGUGAAAGUCGGUGCCAUUGUUAGUGCCAAGACCCUAGAAUAGUGAACACCAAGUGAAGAGCCACCCUCCGGAACGUCGAGAAGGGGGACGAACUGCUUUGAUUGGAUCCGAUCUGGUAGACAGAGACGAAGACAAGGAUGAAUAAUCUGAAGAAGGCUAUGCCGAAUUCGAGGGAAACUGUGAAGAAGAAGACUACGAAGAAGGAAGCCGAUGCCUAGGCCGAGGCUGGUGCCUAAUUCUAUGCUUGAAGCCUAAGCUAGAGCUGAAGCUGAAGCCUAAUUCUAAGUUUCAUCUAAAACUGAAGUUAGGGCUGGAGCCUGAGUUGGUGUUGAUGUCCUAGAGUAGCGAAACUACAAGUGAAGGGGCGCUAUCCGGAACCCUUAAGGUCGGGGACAAUCUGCUUCGAUUGGGCCUUGCAGGCAGACAGGCUAACUUGUGGAGACAAAAAGGAAUCCUAUAUAAGUGAGAAUGUCGAGUCCCGAGGGUCUGCAAGAGGCUGAGCUAACAAGCUGGCUGAAUAUAUCAUGGGGAUGCCCGAUUUGCGAUUGAGCUAGCUGAUAAGUAUGAUCUCUCCGAUCUGGCAUGAGCCACUCCAUUCCUACUUCCACUCAACAAAAAAGAUAGGAUUCUUGGGCCCUACCUCCAGAGUGGGAUAUGGAGGAGUGCGUGCGGCUAUUUCAGACCAAAGGGGGCCAAGGGGGAUCCCAUAAAUAUAAAUAAUAAGUAAGAAAGGGGAGCCACACCCGGGCUAUGAGCUAUUUCUUCUAACCAUCUUCUGUACCAGUUUUGAUCUUUUCUUCCAUAUCAGUCUGCUCGACUCAUUCUCUAUUUGCCAAUAGCUUAGCUUAUAAUCCAUAUCUCCUUUCUUUCGAGAAGGAUGAUCAGUUCCGUAAAUAUUGACCCCAAUUCAAGCGAUAGUAGCUUGCAUUCACCAAUCAUUCCCUCUUCAUCGCAACCGACGUCAAACAGAUUCACGGGACCUGUCGAAGAGCGGUUUUCAUGUAUAGAAUCUGAUCAUUGGAGAAAAAGCUGGAGAAGAAGGGCGCAUCAACUGCGUCAGGCUUUAUACUAAGAAGUGGGACACAUUUAAAAAAGCGCUGUCGCACCUUAACACUUUGUUUGCGGCAUUUCUUGGGUACGAGCGAGCUGCUUCCAUUGUUUGCCUCGCUAUCUAAGUGAGCGCUUUCGGGCAUAUGCUCCUACUGGGAUAUGGAUUGAAACCAGUACAACUCUCAGGCUGAGGAAACUUCCUACUUGCGCAUAUCCGCCCGCUCUGAGCGAGAAAACGAACACAUAUUGAUCAUUGACCUCUGCCAAGCCAAGCAUUAGUAGAGCAGUAAACUUGGCAUCUUAAGAUGUUUGAAAGGUUGGAGGAAUAAAUGCUAAUCUCAAAUGUCGUUUUCAUUUUCUGCGAGAUCAUCUUUGGGAAGACAGGGCACCAAUAUCUGAUAUGGAAAAUGCACUCUUCCACUAAUGUAAUGCCAGGGUGUUUCAACUCAUGGUAGGCUCGUCUCUCUGGCUAUAAGGGAAUGUUUAGAAUGUUAUAUGAGUCCCUUGUUGCCGCCUUGCUCAAGCAAUAAAGAGAUGAACUCGCAUGGGCUCAUGAGACCGGUUGUAGAGAGAGAGAUAUUUUGGAAGCCCGCCAAUUACAAUUAAGUGAGGCAAUCGAUCGGAACGCUAACGGCGAGGUGCCAACUCAAUAAUUGGUAAAUAGCCUACUAGAGCUAUGCAUCUAAGAAAAAGAAGUAGAGCACCUAGGCCAACAGAAACGAAGGAAGCAAGUGGGGCGAUCCCGGCAGAUGAGCCUGAGUUUGAAGCUUUCGAAAAGACAAUGUCCUAUGGUAUCGGCCAGGAGGCUCGUGAGUUGAUUCACGACUCGGUGAAUAAGAAAUAGAAUAAGUAGCUUCUGACUGGGGGGUGAUUCAGAGUUUUGGAGGAAUUGAAAUAAUUUAGAUAAGUCGACCCUAUUCUAUUGGGUAAAAAGCUUUUAAGCAAGUAAGCGAGGAAAGUAGACUGAUGAUGUUCACCCGCGGGCCAGAUUCACAAUCAAGAUUCCUAGACGUAUCGUCCAGUUAUCCAAUUCAACAAGUUCAGAACACCCAAAAUAGCUAAAGCUGAGUGGCGAACGGCCGGAUAUCUAAUCUCUGGGAGGAACCACCAUAUCUUUCCGCCGGAUCUACUCAAUUUGAGUAAUACCUCUUCCUAUUUUAGUAACAAGAGAAGGCCUUCCGCGCAUGAUCGAAUGGACUUUGAACCUAAUGCGUGUCUCAACUUCUAAUUGAGUGCUUGCACUGUCUUCGUUGGGGGUUUCGCUCCCUCUGCUUUGAGAAAGCAAAAACGAAGUGAUCUCGGCUUUUUCCUUUUUUGAAGUGGAGGAAAUCCUGUUCUUAUUCCCAGAAAUGGGUAACUCACGAACUAAAGAAUGAUUAUCGAACUAAAGAAUGAUUGUCUCUAUAUUCAAUAUAAAAACUUUCUUUCUCAUCUUUGUAGAUCCCAGAGGAAUAAAUGGAGGAUUCCAAAACUGGAUUAGGAGACAUAGAUUCAAGCUUUGAGCGAGCGGUGCUUUCAUUAUGCGGUUCCUCUUUUAGUUAGCGAUUGUUCAUCAAAAGAGAAUGCUUUCUUAGGUAGGCUCCAGGUGAGUUUCUACUGAGAUGUAAAACUGUGGGUAAUAGCGCAGUGCUUUCUAUGCUUAAUCGACGCCAGUAGUCUCACUUCCGAAAUGGGAUUUCGUCAGACUCGUAGGAUCAUCUGGAUGAAAGGGGGGCUCCCGCUUGUGUAUUGAAAGUAAUAUGUUCUCUCGUCCUCGGUUGGGUUUUUCACUCUUCGUUAGUGCCUUAAUCUAUUCUGUUUCGUUAGCUAGACUUUCCCCUAUCUGGCACCCAGGCAUACGGGACUAGAUCGCUCGGGAAAGCCUUUUCUCUAGCAAUAGCUACCCAUUUCCAGAAGGAAUUGCCAUUAGACUUUCGAGUGAUCGUACCAUAGUUUAUAGAGAAAUGUUUUUGAUUCAUGGAAGAACUGGGCUUAUCUAUGCGCCCUUUAGCUUAGCAGGAGUGCUUCUUUGUUGUGCCAUAGCGUAACGAAAAGGAACCCUUUUUCCUUUCAUCAUCACUUUAUGCUCGCUUUCUUAGGAAAGCUGAACCAAUCAUGUGACUGACUCGACAUAAUCUUUUGUUGAGCUAUCAUAGGGAAGACGGCGAGCUACAAAGAAAGAAGAAAGUCAUAAGCGCUUAACUCGAGGGUUAUUGUCACUUAACUUCGUCAAGACACUUUAAAGGCAGGCUUGACGAGCGCUACUCCACUACUGUUUCGCCUCCACUCAAUCAGCCACUUAGGUUUGGCGAAGUGAACAUGAACGCGUUAGUGACGUAGCAAAUUAGAAUAUCCAAGCCGGUAGCCCUCCCUUCCGAGCCAGUCUCCUUUUACCUUCACUACACUACUAUAGAUACAUAACUUCUUCUUCACUCCUACCUGAACUCCUUCUUCACUCCUAUAGAUAUAUCUAAUUUCUUUCUCGAAUUUGUAGGAAGUGGUGCAUCUUGUGGUUGAGCCAGGGCGUGGUCAAAGGGAAGGUUUGAUUGUCAAGACUUGACAUGCGACUCAAUGCUAUUGAUCCCUAUCAUCCGAACGAAUGUCUUGUAUUGGUUUGGAUCAUCCGAGCGAGAUCACAUCUUAUUCUAUGCAAUUCUGUUUGUCAUUGAUCUGCGUACACACCGCUUCCACAGGUACAUGCACCACACCCCUAUCUAUCAAGUGAGGGAAGGGUGAAAAGAACCCCCAGAAGGUAUGGAUUCGGAAGUCUAGUUGUGAUUCGAUGGAGUGAUGGUGCCUCGUAUGAGACAUCGAACGGAACCUGCUGCCCGUAGUGCUUUACUUGAACAUGGAUUUGCCCUGAGGUUGCUUGCAUACUACUAGACGUAAACGAGUUGCUUCGCUUCCAUCGAGUGACGUACUCUUGACUGGAGAGCUACCCGCAUUGCCUUCCCGACUUAGCCUUCGAAUCAAGCUUGCCGACUUGACUUAGCCUUCGCCUUUCACUUGUUCAUCAUAAGUCAUACUAAACCAGACAUCUUUCACAGGGAUCCACUGAUGAGUAUAAAGCGAAGCUAACCUUGAAAAGUUCCACAUCGUCCUCCUCAUUCAAAGAUUUAUUGUUCACUAUAGAUAGGUUGAACCACGAGCUGCUGCUGGAGUGAAAGGACCGAGGCCCAAUUCCAUAGGGAUUAGAAAGACUAUCGAACUGAAGUCAGCUAGCCCACUGAACUUAUCUUCUUCUUCUGCCCACUAAACGAAUCCCGUGCUUGAGCAUAAUUACAUUAUCCCUUUCCCUAUUUCUUUCUAGUUGAGACUCUCUUUCUCACAGGCCGUAGAUUGUAGGACUGGAUUGCUCCUUGCUUCUUCAAUGGAUUGUGGGACGGUAGAGACAUUGUUUCAAGUCAAAAGAAGCUUUCUCAGUCAAUAGCCUUCUUUAACUCGGCUUUGACUUCCCCGACAGACGAAAGAGCUUUGCUUCAAGCGGAUGAUGUUUCCUAACCCACCUGAAUCUCUCAUUCCUUCCUCAAUCUUAAUUUAAUAAAUAAUGCGAGCUUUCUUUCUAUCGCCGAUACUACUGCGCAAACAGAACUGAAAGUGCAAGGAUGCUGUCGACCAACAUCUCCAUAUUUUCUUUUCCUUCUUUCUGCUUUUUUUGCUAUUUCUAUUUUUUAUGUGUGUCCUGCUUCGGCAAGGGGAAGGGAAUACAAUUGACAGUUACAGUAAGCAGCAUAGCCCCUCCGAAGCUCUCUUUCAGCCAUCUCCGGGCAAGAUUUCAGGUCUCUUGGAAUUCUAGUUAUCUAGAUUUAGUAGAGCUUAUAUAUGUGUGGAUUUGGAAAGCUUCUAUCUUGCUAUUGCUUAUGAUUCCGGGGCCCUGGCCAUUUAUUCGACUUAAAACCAUUUCUGUCUCCCUGCUAUUUUAUUCUCUUUUUACCUAAAAACUCUCCAUCCGACUUAUAUCGAAGCAGAUUCCAAGAUAUUGCACGCAACAUAAGCGUUGUGCCUUUCUUUGUAGACCUCCACAGGGCUUUCCGAAGCAGAGCAAAUAGUAGACAAUCCGUUAACGUCAGUGAGGCUGGGUCCCCUGAUUUUCUAACUGACAUCUUUCUUUACUUAAUUGACUCUUUCUAAAACUUAAAUCGCGACGUUAGCUCAGCGGGUGACGAAUCAGAGGGGUAAUCUCAUUUGAGACUCAGCGCUUGCCUCUCUUUCUUUGUAUAGUAUGUUCGUGUGUUUGGGCGAGUGGACGCCGUGUGGUUAGCUGAAGCAGACAAUUUUAGUAUCCUAGCAGCUACAGCAGCAGAGAAAAGUCUCUGUUCACGUAUUCGCCUUAGGUUUAGGCAGUUAGAUGCCGUCGAAUUUGAAUUCCCAUUCAAUGAAGGUUUGACGCAGCAGGCUUGAUUAGGUUGUAUAGCUGGAUCUGGUUGAUUAGGGACGUCCCGGAGGAGAUUUGCGAAAAAGGCUGGCAGCAUUAGCGAACAUUCUAGGGUUUGCUGGAGAAGCUGGAUUGUGUGAUUAGCUUGCCUAGCCUGAUCAUCUGGAAUAGCGAGACCGCGGGCCUGGCCUUUCCUAAAACUGUGAAAGCUUAGGAGGAUUUUGAUAACCAUUCUGCACCCCCUUCCCUUAAUGAAAAGUCCCCAUUCGAGUAGUCUCAUAGGUCUGACCAGGGGCUCGGUUCCAACUAUUCUUGCAAAGGACAACCUCGCUCCUAGCGAAAGAUCAAACGCCAGGUGUGAAGCAACUUCACUUAUUCAAUGAAUUCAAUUUCUUAAGUGUUCACUGAACCUUCCUUCCCCCUCAGAGAGGGAAUCUUCUCUCCAUAAGUACUACAUCGACACAUCACAAGGGGCACGUAGGUUUCGCCUGACUGUACUAAAAAGGCCGCACCGCAGGCAGGGCGGAGCUUCAUAUAUUAUAUAUACCACACCAGCUAAAGCCCUUUGAACGGAAAGAAGAUAAGAAAGGAAAAGUUCUGUGUGUGAAGGGGACUCAGGCUAGAGCGGGCUUUCACGAACCAUACGAGGGCGGGCCUGCCAGGUGAGGGGGUCAGCCUUAGCUAGCGGGGUGCUGCCAUUACGAGAGGAGGGCUACAUCUCUCGCCAUGUGCCCAGUUAGUUAUCUGGAUUCGAAUUGAAUUGUGACGAAUUCACAAUCCUGGCCGCUAUCUCGAUCGACGAUUGACUCUCGAUGACAGCCGAGACUGAGUGACUUGCUAAAGAAAGGGUACUACUUUAGAGUUGCAGGCAGGUCUCUCUAAUUGAAUAAGAUACCCAUCCCCGAUCUUCCCCUUAGCCCGUUCCUUAAGUUCUUGACCCAAUGCCAGGUGAUUGGCUAACCGUGCCCCUACCUUAGAAGGUAAGGGAGGUAUGGUUGGGAGGGACAGAGAGAUCAGAAACCAAAGGGAAUAGACUCACAAACUGGAUAGGAUAAAGCAUAAGCUCUGGAAGCGGAUACGCCGAUGGUUGGAAGGGAAGGCUAGCACACAUCAUUUCUCUAAGAAUAAGUGAGUUUCACGAUCAUGAGGUCUUAUUCCUCAAUCGAAAACGGCUAAGAGACAGAUCGAACGGUGACAUAUAUAUAGUAAAUGCUAUGAUUGAAUCGAUACCUACCAGAUCGAGUUACAUACAUAAAAUAGACUUUCUUUGGCUGAUCUCAAAUGCAGUGAUUUGGCUUUGACUCGCUAGCCCCUUUUCCUAAAUGCAUAUCUCUACCUAUCGCACUAGCUAGUAACAGAGGAAUCAAUAUCGAUCUACGAACAAAUAUUGAUGUAUAAUAGGUUGUUCACUCAAUGAUAGCUCUUUCUAUCUCUAUCGAACUUGCAUUCCUUGUUUUCUUUGAAGAGUCUCUACCCACCUUUUUUUAUACUCGAAAAGCCAAUGGGCUUGUCUGGAUAAAUGUUGUUUCGGAACCCGAGAUAACAAGUAGAUUCGGCCACUGGUAUUGUUACUGUUACGAUGCUCGGGUAACCCGGGUUGAAGCUACUCGGCUCCUGAUGUAGCAUUCAUUCGGACCAUUCGACGUUUGAUUCUUUCUAUCAGGGAUACCGAUGGCUCUGUGAGAGGGCAAAGCUACUAAUACUAAGGUGGUUUCUUUCCGGUUACCCGGUUCAAGGCUUUGUCUUACUAGAUAGAAACCUAUCAGAGUCCUAGCUAUCAGGGUUUUUUCGGCGUGUUCUUAGAUUCGAUUCUAUAAAGAAUAGGAAUAGGCAAAAGGAGGAUGCCGGUCUUUCAUUCUUUUUUCAUUGAAGGCCUUAAUAGGAUAGAAAUCCUGGAGCUCAUAAUAGUCAUCAUAGGCCCAGAACUCUAGUUCAGAGGAAUCUAUACCCUUCCUGCUCAGUCAGAGUAGUGGCUCUUCCAUCUUGAUGGACUUCUCCUUUUCAAAGAAAAGAAAGGACUCACUUCAAAGAGAGAGCAUUCCGAUACGGGAAGUUUGAUUGAUGAUCAAAGCUGGAAGGCGAAGAAGGGUAAAAGGAAGAGGUGAGGUUCCUUUAGAUUGCUUGCCCCGCAAGGGGGGUGAAGGUUACUGACUCGAUAGAGUCUGAGGGUUUACUCUACUUUAUCUUUAGAGUCUGGGAAGGGGAAGACAAAGCAAAGAUUUCGUUAGCAAAAGAAGGAGUCUUAUGCCCAGAGGUUCUUAUACAGAUUUCAAAAUAAAAACAAAAUACGAAUCAAACCUGAGAGAUUGAUGGGGGGGGACUGGCAAAGUAGCCUAUUGUCCGCGCUAGGAAGAUGAGAAAAGGUCUUUCUUUUAUCAUACAUAUCAUACUCUUUUUCACCUAAAAUUCAUAAUAGAAUCGUCUGAUUCAGAGUUCCUGGGUAGACGUUUUUUUUUUAACGUAAAAUAAAUAGAAAAGAAUCUUAAUAAACGUCUGAUACUAGAUCUUUACUUUAACUUUAAAUAGUGACCAGGGACCGGUAACCCAGAUAGCCUCCCAAAGAGCGAAAGAAAAGACAGAGAACUUACUUUCUAAGUCUUCUUCUAUAGAGAAGAGGCCUGGUCAAUCGUAUACGAUCAUCAAAAUAGGAGUCGUUAAAACCCAUUUAGAUAGAGUUGCCUCGUCCUUAGAGUCAAGCAGGAUCUUCAUUCUACGACUAAUCUCUUCGCUUGCUUCUACACGAAACGAGUCCCUAUAAUUGAUAUAUGCCGGAAAGUGGCACCGCACGAAGGAAAAGAGUAGUUACCCAAAACACAAGUAGUAGACCCAGAACGAAUCAGAUUUGCUCAAAAACAGGACUUACUUUUCACUCACUUUUGAUCGGGACCCUUUGGCAAGCAGCUUUCAAUCAUUAAUACCUAAUUUCGAUAGGUUAAUUUAUCACUCUAACAAACUCUCUUCAGUAGGCCGCAAGCAAGCAAGACAUGGUAAAAAUCUCUAGCUCUCGAGGGAAGGUCGGACUCACUCAACAGUAGCACACCCUGGAAGAAUAGUUAUUGACUCUACGCCCAGGGCUAGUUUUGGGUAGGCGGGAGAGUACGAGGCCGGUAGGUCACGCAAAGAUUCGAUCUAUAUCCAAGCAAAAGAAAAAAGUUGCACCGCUAUUAUGGUCACUCUAAAUCUAUUCUUCACCGGGCUCCGGCCUCUUUAGGGUUUGGGCAUACUAAGUAUGAGGUCGAAUCUGAUGAAGAAGCAAGUCUCGAGACCACGCAAACGCGGGUUUUGCAUAAAUAGGUUUUUUCUCCAAGGGAGACUUCCAAAAUAUCUUGGUCAAUCUCGUAAGGCGGAGGACUCUCUUUGCUUGACACUCCCCACGGGGGGAGGCUCUUUUCUCCAACAGACCAGGGAGUGAGUAUACGACAUCCAUCAUAGGAUACAGUGGCAUAUGGAACUCCAAACCUAAGGUCUAAAGCAGGCCAAGGCCGGCUCUGAAACUAUGGGGAGGCGUGGAGUAGGUCUGUGAAGCAAGUGGACUUCUAGCCUCUAUUAGCCAACAUGUUACAAGCUUAGCCCGGUUUGAAAGAAACUAGUUGAUGUCUAUUUGAGAACACAGAUAGCUGUUCCUGUUCCGGAAUUCAAGCAGGUAAGGUGCUUACGUAAUAGGGGCUUUUUCUUUCCUCUCCUAUCAGUUCUGUUCCAAUUAGCUCUUUAGUCUUGCUAAGAACUUACUUAAGAGGGGUUGCUAGCCGAGAUAAGGACUAGUACCAGUUUUAUAUUUUAGUUCCACUCUUGUUGUUGCUAAGGCAGGAAAGGCAGAUCUGUUCCCAGCUGUUAGUGGUCAGGCAAGGCGAGAGGAUUCUGGUGGUGGCUUAGUGAAAAAGCAGGCCGGAACUGCUGAUAACUUGAUAGUCUAGUGUUCGCCUUUCUUUCUCUUUCGUCAAGGCCUACUGACCCGCCGGUGAACAGCCUGUUACUAAAUAAUAACUAGUGAUGAAAAACAACGGAAGCCUCAUCCCCACUACGGAAAGGUUCCCAGUUCCUAUGAAUCUUGAGUCUGAGGUAACCUUGAGUCAAUAGGUAAAACAUCGAAUAGGAAGCCUUUUGAUAAAAAGUUAUCCCGAAGCAGAUGUAAUGAAUGGUUUCUAUCCCCAGAUGAGGUAGGUUAGACUUUUGCUACGGAAACAGAAAGAGAUCCGUCGGAAUAGGCUAGGGGAUUCAGUUCAUCAAAUGUAUCUAGAGGCCUAAAGAAAACCAUGAAUUUCAUGUGGGCGACUGUACCUGAGAAGAGGGUUUGCCUGACCUUGCUUAGAAUCUUCAAUUAGUGCUCAUAAGGAGAAUCUAGCUUCGUACAAGAAGGCAUUAGAGCACUCACGGGAAUGAAUUUAUCAAAGAUGUAACUCAGGAUCUGAUUGAUGAGUAUAAUAAGCAAUAUGGAGUCUCAGAUAGGGAGACUGCUAAUAAGGUACUAUCAGGGUCAUCAGAAGCAUUGUUUAGCUUUUGCAAACCACAGGGGUGGAACUCUGGCAAGCAAUUCAGCUUGUUCCACAUCGUCAAAUGCUAUCCCAUCUUUCUUAAAGUGAGUGAUGUCGGAAAAACGUUGUUUGAUCUAUAUAUUCGUCAACGGGAUAGCGGAAAAGAAAUCACAAUUCUACCUUACCGGGAAGGGUCACCAAAAGAGAAAUCAAUCCUACCUCUUUGCCCAGAGGUCUCGAUCAGGAACAUCUACCUCUCAAUCUGAAUAUGGAACAACGACUGACUGACGCAUGGGCUCCUUCUUCACUUCAACUCCUGGAAGGGCAUUUUCCCGUUAGAGGGAGCUCAAUAGGUGUUUAUGUUUACGCUAUUAAUUAAUUAAGAAAUCCUACCGCCCUUCUCUAAAUAGAUGACAUAGAUAAGUUCCGAAUUCGUUUGUAUAGGCGACACUGCUCAUUAGACAAACAAGAAAUGUGGUAACCAUUAGUUUCUUAGCUACACUUUGCAGUGGAACCUCUCGUCUUAUACCCCGGGAGUCUAAGGUUUCAGACUCUGUGUCUGUGCUUAUAUCUUCCCCCGAGAGAGGGGCAUCUAUGAGACUUUCGGGGGCCUGCAUGAGAAAUCUCAAACUAUUUUUGUAUAAAUCCACGACAGGAUUAAUAACAUCCUCCGACCAUCCUUGUGUGCUUUCCCUGACACUAUUUACUAUAUAAGGGGAUAAGAUUUCGGUAUAAGUUAAAUUCUCUAAGGAAAGCAUAAUAUCAGGAAGUAAAGAGAACCAGAUUUGAAAACCCAUGCAGAUAGCUAAAUUCAUUGAGUCCAUGUUAGCUCUAUAUACCCGUUGGUAGUAAGAGAUCGCCUCAUAUUCAUACCCCCUCCAUAGGAAAUUGCUGAAACCCUCGUAAAUAUUUUGGGACCUCCGCUGUCGCCUUCGUAAUAUAUUAGGGACUAUUAAUGCGAAACCCACCUCGAAUUCUAUCAUUCGAAGGUAUUGGAAUAUUCGAAUCCUCUGAGGAAUUCUUUGACUAUCUAUGAGAUGAUUAUAAAUAUGAGACCUAUAUUUAUUAGCAAGAAUAGUGGCCAAAGGAAUGGGUAACGGUCUCCUCAUGAUGAGGAGAUGCCUACUUAUAGAUACGACCGCGGAAGCUAAAUACCGCGCUGAUGCGGGAUAAAGGAAUGAUGGAUAUGCACAAAGCAUGGUUGACUUAAGGAACUCUUUAGAAGACCUAUCUUUAAGAUGUAAGAUUUUGUACUGACUCAUCUGAGUCAUUAAUAGGGAUGAGGUGGGUUCGUGGGGAACCAGCCUGCAUCCAGAGUUACCACGUGCAAUGAAUAUAAAAUUCCAAAUAAUAUCGAUGUUGUACAAUAAUGAUGUCAUCAUAGCAUUUAUUUUACUCAUAUAUCUGUAGGAUUUGCCCUUCUAGGGAUAACAAAAGUUUACCGCCACUACAAGGCACAGCGGGACCCCCCUGAUCGAUACUAAAUAUGUUACCACACUUCAUUUUUAGAUUUAAGAAUAGUUUAUCCAUACAAUCUUCAAAGUGAUUAUAAUCAUAACCGCCAAAAGGUAUAUCCUCACUUUUCCAUCUAUAAUUAGUGGGUAAUGAUACAAUUACCUCAUUCACAUACCUGGUAUAAUUCCAUUCUGGAAAGCAUUUAGUAAAAAUAUUAUCGAGAUGUAUUAAAUAAAAAUUCAGAAGGACUUCGGACAGAUAACCUGAGGGUGGUAUACUCAUAGCCCCAUCAUACACCCCAUCUUCAUCUAUGAUAUCUAAAUAGAGGAAAUUAGAUAAUAAAUCUAGUAUCUUAUCAUCCUUAAUCAUUUUAGAAAGUUUAAACAAAAGUUUCGGGCGAUUUAUUAUUGAUAGCGUACUAAAUAAAUCAGAUAUAUAAACCCUAUCUAUAUUCCUGCUUGUAGCAACAUAAUCAUAAUAUUCUAACAAACUCGUUUUAAAUCCAAAAGAUAUAUUCUCCUUUAACAUAUUAUUCUCAAUAAUAUUAUUGUUUAUCAUCAAACCUAGAGCAAUUAAGACAAGGGUGUCUCCACCAGCUUUAGGUGAGAAUUCUAUAUAUUGAUUAGAAUUAAUACGUAUGAGGCGGCUAUUAUUAAAUUUAUUAUUGCUUAUCUGAAGGAUUUCAGAUAAGGGAUUGACUUAACCAGAAUAGGUGACAAUGUGUAUGUGCAAUUCAAUAUACAUUGUAUAAUAUAUUUCACUUCAAAUUCAGUUAAGUUUGGAAACAGAAUUUUAUUGUGGUAGUAAUAACUUUCAAUUAUUUCAGCAAGUCUUGGUAAACAACAAUACGUAGGUUCAUAUACAGUAACAAGUUUUUUCAUGGUGUUAUUAUUCUAUUUUUGAAUGGUGUUAUUAUUUUUCAAUUUUUUAUUCCUCGUUUUUUUAGAAGUCCUCUUCUGUGUGUAGAACAUUGUGAACAUGGUCCUCAAGGACUUCAUGGUUCCCAAUGGGAUCACCCGAGAUAUAUUCUUACGAAUUUUCAUCGGUUUUAACAGAAGCACCUAAUAAGUAAUAAGGUGGGAAGUAUCCUUGCUAUUAUACUUCCUAUAGUUAUUCAAAUAGAAUCAUCUAUUUGAUUGAUUCUCCUUUUAUAUCUAUAUAUAAGAUCGAUAAGGAGGGGAGGAGAAUCUGUGCCCCUGGGCUCUCUCUGGGUUUCUUGAUUUUUAUAAUAGGAACCCUAAAUCACUAAGAUAAGGAGGAGAUUUCUGAAAGCUCGAAGAAUGAUUUUACGUAGGGUGACUACAAUUCUGAUUUCUUAGUUACAGAAAGCCCUUCUCAAGGAAGUAAGCCAAGAGCCACUCAUCUGAGCCAGCUGAUUCUAAUUCUGCUGCGCCGGUGCGCAAAGCAAGCACGCUUAGACUGCGAUGCGCAAUAUUUGGUCUGCCUAUCAUUGUCCAUUAAGGGUAAGGGCUGACUCCGCUAGGCAAGAGGACCACUACUGGGAUUAUUCAACUACUAACUGAUGACCAGGGGACUACUCUUCUUCCUCCACUACUGAUAUUGACUGAUCCGUUGAUAGGAUAGCGGAGGCAGUUGAGAGUAUAUCCGGAGAAAGAUAAAGAACCUAUGCAGCCGUAGGGAACACAAAGAGCUCGUUCAGUUUCGUGUUUGGCGAAACCCAUUAAUUAAACAAAGGGCCUGUCUUAAGCAUAUUGAUUCGAUUUCGACAUCGAAUUAGACUCAUCCAACGCGGAAUCGACUCAAGGAGAAAGAAUGGUGUCUUUGGUCUUCUAUGGAAGCGAAGUAGGUUACUCUAUGUGAAUGUGAAUUCACGAUGUCGGACUGGAUAAACUAUCUCAAAAGUAAACCCCAAUUGAAAGGGGGGUGAUUAGUACACCAAAGGUAGUAACUAUAAGGUAGAAGUUUGGGUUGAUUCGAUUCCCCCGCUUGCCAAGUCUUCUUCAAAUCCUGCUUCCUCUCUGUCAAAAUCUUUCUCUUCCAUCUUUUUGGUAGAAUCUGAUUGUUCCAGUGGUAUUAGAAUGAUAGGCGAGCUCAGUAUUGAAAGAGGAGAAUUCAAAGAAAAGAGGAAUCCGUGUUCUAAGUCCUGAUCACAGAUAUGACGGUGACCUUAAGUUUAGGCAAGGGAGCCAGAGAGUAUCCAACCGAUCCGCUGCCUUAGAACCUGGGGUCUGGAGAACUACUAGCCUUGAUUCCUUGUGCUUUGCUUCCCUCCUCCAUUGGCCGAUCGCCUUCUGAAAUCGCAAAGACAGGUAUACGAGUACGAGUCUUCCUUUGAAAGAAGUGUGCUUUUCGCGGAGCUAAAUUGAAUCGAUACCACAACACAAAUCCAAUAAGUAAGUGAGGAACUCUUUCUUUUUGGAGAGCUAGGUUUGAAUUAAAGACGCUUCCCGAAGCUAGGGAUAUCUUCAGCUUCACUUCGUCCACCCUGCACUUUGAAACUGAGCUGAGCGUCUGAAAGUUCCAUUCAAGUUCAUAGAAGAUAUCCAUAUCUUCUUACGUUCUGCUGCUCUUCACUAUUUCCCCGUCUCUCACUAUCAGGAUCAGUCGUCCCUAGCCCGCUCUCUGUGCUCGCGGACAGUCUUACUAUUACGCUCGUAUCUUACUCGUUUUCAAGUAUGUAACUCGUUUAUUCCGCAUGUAGCCCACGAAAAAUUGCGUCUUUUCAAAGAUCUCGGCAGUUUAGAAUGAUUCAUUCCAUCAAGAAUAGCUUAGUGAACCUUUCGAGCCAAGCACCUUUCCAAUAUCUAUGGUUAUGCUCGGGGGUCAGUUUCCUUUUUGCUGCUACUACUACUACAUCAGUCAAAUAGUUUGAAUGCCUAAUUAGAUGCGGUUUAGGCCAUUGGAUGGCAUUUCCAAGUGACAUGCUUCUUCCAAGUGAGAUGGCUUUCGAGAGGUCUAACUAAGGUACAAGGUACUCGACUCACUUUUCUUGUGCAGGUAUAGGAAGAUUCCUUAUUCCCUCCUUCUACGUAGCUUUUAUCUGGAAAAACAAAAAAGAAAAGCCCCUUCCCCUUAGUGGGUUCAUGUGCGGAUAGCUCUUUGCCGGUCUUUUUUUCUUUUCAAAAAAAAGGGGAAGCAACGCGGGCAGGCAGAACCUUUCUUCCCAUCAGGGAACUUCAAACAUAUUGAAAAAAGUCCCACUCAGAAUGAGAUAAUACAAGAACAUGGACAUCCUUAAGUGAAAGUUAAGGCAAGGGGGGGGCUGCUAGAGUACAGUAUUCUGUAGCGGACAUGGCCUAGCUUUCCUUUCCGUCUAUGGCUAAGGCUAUGAUCCCGUCAAGCCGAAUGUAUGUCAUGGAAAAGUCUACCUCGAGUUUACCGGUGGCUUUCUCACUCACUCCGGACAUCCGGAAAGCCUGAAACCAGAGGGCUAUAAUGCUUUUCUCCUUUAGAUGCUGUCUUAAUACUCUUCAUAUUAUAUGUGUGCAAUACAUAUAAUUAUACCUUUAUCUUUAGAAAUAAAAAUGAUAUUCCUUCAUUUUUUGCAGCCACUCUAUAGACAAGAAAAAGAUCAACAUAGAAUAGGAUCUAUCUAAAUAGGGAAUCUAAGGGCGCUAACGAAGGAUAGAUUGGGCUUGCUGCUAGGGGAGACCUACCUAUCGGCUUGAUUAGCUGCCCGGAGAUCUCUUCCUUCCUGCUUGCUUAUGCUCAAAAACGGAUUAUGCCUUUUGGUCAAGCUGAUCGGGGAGGAGGUGGAGUUCGUACUAUAUUCUAGCCUUUCUCCCUUUUUUAUAAAAAAAAUGUUAUAUUUCCUCCUCUUUUUCAUUCUUUUUUUUUAAUAGUUCCGCCGUGUGAAGGUGAAUUAAGAUCCCAUUCCCAUGGCCAAUUUCGUUUUUUAUUUAUAUAAAGAGUAAAGAGUGCAGAUCUUCCACUUUUUUCGACAGCCAUAAUCUAAAUUAAAUAGAGAUGUUCGGAUAACUUAUAAUGAUCAGAUCAUCAACAUAAACCAAAAAGUGCAAUAGUAACGAUGUAAGACUCCUCCUUCUUAGCUCUUAGCUUUUCGCUUUGAAGAGGACCGAAAAAGUGGAGAUUCUUUAAAAAAAAAAGGGAAUUUCAAAGUCAAGGCUAGUGAAAGGAAAGGUUAUUCAAUUCAAUAUAAAUCUUCAAUAAAGUAAAAAGAAUAGUCACUGCUUAGGUUCAGGCACUUUCACCAGUACUUUUUCCAGCAGAAGGAAUUGGAGUAGCAGUUGCAGAUCGAUACGCAGUCCAUCUUCAAGAGAUGAGCUAUUACGCCAAAGGUUUCUUUUAUUUCAAGGUUAAGUAGCCAAGUCAGAAGAGGGCUCACCAACCACCAGGAAAGAGGUCUUUAUGGGGAGCGUCUGGUGCUCCAUUAUAAAAAAAAUCACGGCAGCAUUUAGGACGGUCUCUUCUACCGGCUAGCUUCUUUCAAGGCAAGGGGAGCUCAUCUAUUCAUUUCCCUCUUACGAGCCUAUGCUCAGGAUGUUCUUCGAUCCCAGCAAGUUCUUCGCUCGUGGGCUACCCUCUUAGCCCGUUCUAAGCUUAGAUCAAUACCUAAUGAUACAGGUUCCAUCAAUUUAAUUUCCUCGGCCCUGAGCUUUUUGAGAUCAAGAAAACAAGCCUUUUGGUGCUAAAAUAACUCCCCUUGGGUAAGGAAGUUUUGGUAAGGACGUCAAGAAUAUACGUCCGAGGGUUAAUAAAAAAAAUUAAGUGAUCGGAGGAGGAGUCCUCCCUCGCCUUUACUUCAAACUCCUAAAGCCUUCGAGCAGAACUCAAAGCGAUCAUAGCGCGGAUCCACUUACCUACAUAGCCAUUCUUGCGGAUCCGGGCGUGGUUGUUUCGCAAAAUUUCGCUUUCAGUUCGUAGAGUGGAUCAAACAUGUGUUCCGCUUGAUUCGUUGGUGCAGUCACUUCGUCAUCUUAUGAUUUGAAACUUGAUUCCGCCUACACAAACAACGUAGUUGUUGCUUGGUGAUUUUCGUUUGCUUUGUGUGCUCCUUCGGUUUUCUAGUAGCAAGAUCUGGCUUUUGGUUUGAAGAUUGAAUCAGUGGUCAGCCUGUGCUUGAACGACGGCAUUCCAAGAAGCAACUUCCUAUGUUAUGGGAUAGUCCCCUAUUGAUGGGCUUGAUAUUGGUUCAAAUACCAUUCGUGAGGUAACUCUGCCUCUUCACUAGAGUCGAGUUAAAGAUAGCAUAGCCUUUGAUCAAUAGGAAGAUUGAGACUAGAAGUCUAGUCUCUCUCAGGUCCAGUUUCGAUCUCGAACUAACUUACUUUACUUAAUAGGCCGGAAGAGAGAGAGAUCAACGACGGAGCUACUAGCUACUAGUUGGAAAGGACGAGACCACCUUUCGUACAUUUCUACUGGUCAAGACAUUCGAAUAGCGAACGAAAGACCAGGAGAUUGGAUCUAGAAAGCACUUCCAGCAGGGUUGACGGCUGUGUGGCCCUCAUUCAGCUGGAAGUAGGAAAUCAAUCCCGGCACGACCGAUGACUUAGUCUCCUUCUCCGCUUCGACUCAACCACCUAACCUCUUAGAAAAGACCCGAUAGAUAGCAGCUACCUAAGGCGCUUUUAAGCCCUUCACCAAUCACGGUCUUUCAUCUAGUAAGUCCGAGUACUAUGUUCUCCAAGCUUGACUAAUAGAAUAGGCAGGCCUUUUAGAGAGCAGUAGAAUUAAGGGUUAGCUCUGCCUUCUUUCCAGCAUAAACCGCGAAUUUACCAUCUGUUAUGGCCUCGUAACUAUUAGACUUGAAAGAAACGAGAAAGAUCAUAAAAGUUUUCAAAAAAAGAACAAAGACAAGGAUUUACCUAUAGGAGAAUCCUGUCUACAAUCAUCGACUACUCGAAAGUCAACUCAUCUCGGAGCAUGGAAAGAAAGAGAAAGCCAAGGAAUCGAAUUACUUUUUUCUGACAAAGAGAAGGCUGAAUAUGGACAUUCAAUUGGAUCUUUAGGCUUUGCUUUCAAGACUCCCGCGUGAGAUACUCCAGCUUUCAAGAAAUUAAGGGAUGUAAGUGAUUAGCUUAGGACUCCAACAGGUCAAACCCCCAGAAAGGGCAAAGCAACUGCAAUUAGAUCAACUGAAACUUACAGGGCAGCGGGAAAGCUACUCCAAGUAAACUGACUAGCCUACGCUAAAGAACCUCUUCGCUUUGCUUUGUUCGAGUCACUUUGUCCCUCUAAACAAGGGAAUUUGAAAGCUUUCGUGUGAAGAGUAAAGGUCAAGCUAGAAAGCCAGGUUCUUUCACCAAUCCAUCGAGUGUAAUUCCUGCUAUUGGGAGUUCUGCAUUAAAGUAGAAGCUAGCAAAGCAAGCCAGGGAAGCUAAUUGCGACAGUUAAGCUCUUUCAAGUUUGUAAUCUUUUGAAACCUGUUACAGAUCCUGUUAGCAAGCCAUUUUCUUUUUAGCCAGUUUCAGGCCAGGCCAUUGCUUCUGGAUAAGCCAUGGAAGACUCUGGAGUUUCAGUGUCCGUAACAGUUUUUCCUCCUGCCAUGGGGAGUUCCCCACCAGUCCCUCAUCUAGUAGACUUCGUAUCCGUCCCCUGUCCUAAAGUCCUAAGGUCUUCACCUGUUCUUUGCCAAAAAGUUAGUUUAAGUUCUAAGCCCAUCUUUAGUUGGAGUUCUCCUGCAGCCCUUGGGAAUGACCUUAAUCGAGAGGGAAUUUACUUUGGUUGUCGGUCCAGUUCCAGUAUAAAUAUUCCAGUCUAAAUAAAUAGGGGCAGCCUUCUAGGAUGAUGACCAAGAAGCCGUCUUUCUAGUAUGAUCGCAGAGCUAGAGUCGGCUCACCAAUUCAUUUCUGGGGAAGGGGCCUUGUGCCUCCCUACAUGCAUAAUCUAUCCCGAGCUAGGUCUCACGUGCCGGGACCUCCUUAUGAAGCAUGCUUAUCAGAGAGGUCGAGGGAGCAUUUCGAGGCAAGUUUCCGGCCAGCCGAUGAGAGUUUGCUUAGGAAAACAGGUAAGAGAUUGAAAGGCGUAUUUCAAGCAAACCUGUUAGCGAUGUACUUCUAAUUAGAUCAGUUAAGCCAUCCGUAAAGGUCAAGCCCUGUCACUCGACUUGGGAGAAUCAUUCUUUUUCUCAAAUCUUCUUAUUCUCCUGGCCAGUUCCUCUCCGCGAACUAUUAGAUCUAUCUUAGCUUUUUUAUGAGAAUACUAUAGAGUUACGAAGUAACGUAAGAGCGAUUAAGCGUAAGAGCGUAGUUUACGUAGCGUAAGACCUUUUUCUUUGAAAAAGCGAUAGCUAGAGCGAGCGGAAUACUUGAAGCGAGUAUAUAAAGAACUAGAGUAGAAAAAGCGACUAGUUGGAGAGAGGGGAAGAGCUUCACUCAAUCCCUGCCUUUGCAUCUUUCUUCUCUGAGCCCGGUAUCAAAAUGCUUGACUAUCUCCCCGAAUGAGACAGAUUUCCUCUCUCUGCUCUGGAAUCAGGAAGGAGAAUGUCACUAUGGGAAAAUAGAAUGAGCAUGCGUCGGCCUAUGCUCAGGGUCACUCUUUUCAUAUCUCACGCCCGUUGGCCACUAAAGCGAAGUGAUCAGACGCCCGUUGGCCACUAAAGCGUAGUGAUCAGAAUAUUAAUCCAACAGCAAAUAUCAUCUCAUCUCACGCCCGUUGGCCUGAUGUUCGAAAAGAGCGGAUUUGUUCAAGCAAGCUAAUCAAAUUUCCCUUUCUAGGGUAGGGUUACGGUACGAUGUCAUUACUCUCUUUUGCUCUCUCACCCCUUGAAGAAGAGCGAACAGCUGAUCUUUCCUGGUCCUUUCGAACCAGUCUUUCUAAACCUGGAAAAAUACUUUGGCUACGAUUCGAUCUCGAAAGCCCAGACUUCAUAAAAGGCGACUGCCUCUUCCACUGCUACAUGAACCAUCCGCUUCUUUUCCGAUGCUGCUUCAAAUAAGUGAAUAGAUCUUUGUGAUUCGGUUCCUUUUCCUUGGUGUGGAAAGAUCUCUGCCAUAAAACAAAAACAGAGAGCUCGUAGGCCUUGACCUUAUUCUAUAGUAUAGAACAGAGGGAGGCAUUCUGGGCCGACUACUACGACUACAUGCGCAUCUAGUGCAGUGGCUUGGAAUAAAAACCUUGACCAUCUUCCGAAGUUAUAAAUAAUCUACUGAUCAAAGGCUGUAGGGGCGGACUGCUCUACAUUCAGCCACGCCACAGUGACCCCCGAAGCGAUCUUCUUCUAGUUGCGGGGCGAAAUCCGGCAUCCAAUUACUGGCUCUGAAUAACCGGCCCAGCAAUAAGUUAAGUUAAAUUCUUCCAUAACAUAACGGGGCGGGGUUGCGCGCGAGCCGAGUGACGUAGGUGCACAAGAGUACUUCGCGCCACAACCAUCUCUUUUUUAUAGGUUCUACGGACCGAUGCCUGCUGCUUCAUCUGGGAGAAAAGAAUCAUAGAUAUGCCGGUCAUUAGAAGGAAGAAUCGCCAUAAAAAGAUUCCUCGUGUAUCAUCUGUAGCAAAACUAUGAACGGGAGCUAGCAAUCCGGACCGUAUUGAAAAGGUUCCUGAGACACAGCAUGGAAGAGUCACAAUAUUAAGAAACGAGGUCCAAGAAUGAAGAAGGGGUAGAAUUACUGAAUGAAUACGAGCUGUGGCUAAUACCCGAGGCAUAAAAGAAGCAUUUUCUACGGGAUCCCGAAACCACCAGCCACCCCGACCUAAUUCAUGAUAAGCCCACCAACUUCCUGGCAAGAUGCCUACGGUUAAAAACCACCAACAUGUCAAGAUCCAAAUUCGAAUUGGUUCCUGGUCCUGGUCAGAGACCACUGUGUUCGCGCCGGCGGUCCAACAAAGAGGCGAAGUAGUGGUAUCUUUCUUUCCAUUACGAACGACACGCUUCGCCUGCGCCCUCCCCGUGUUCACUAGCGCUCCUGUGCAGAGCGAAGAGAAGGCGAAAAAGCGCCGCCGAAGCAGCAUGAGCGGGCUUCUAUUGCUACGUAACAAUAGAGCAGGAUAGCAUUUAGCGCCCACAUGUUUGGUAAGAAGCUCGCUUGUUAUACGGGAUCCGACGCAUCCAGCAGAGCGAAGCAGCGUUCCAUUCUUUUCGGCGGCAUCCUUUCGCAUUGGCGGCGAGUGGAGUGCCACAAUCCCAUUCAUCAUUUUGGAUCUACAUAAGCCAAAGCCCAUAGCACUGGCGACGUCUCCGGCAUAAAUGCAAGGAGGAUGUAUAGCUGAUAUAGGAUCUUGUGGAACAGGAUUUGAUUCUGCAAGCGGUUCGGUACGAACGAAGAAAUUUCGAACAAAAGGAUCGGAACUCGCUGAUAGGAAAGGAGAGAAAAACAAAGCAAUGCCAAGAGCUCCGUCAAUCCGCUGUUCAUCGAUAGACGAAGCUCUCUCUUUAUCAUCUCGUGCCAGAUGCAACAAAGGAUGAGUUCUUUUUCCUUCUCGCGAACCACGGGAGCGCCUAGCGCCCAGAGGACUAUGGAUUUUCCUUUCAGGGUAAAGCGGCGCAUAAAAAAGGGUUGGUCCGUCAAAAGCAAAAGUCCGGCUCCUUCGCGAACGAAGUUCAGAAUCAACAAGGGUUCGUAGAACGAAGGGAGUGUACAACUGGAAAAACCCACUUUUUUGUUCGUAACGAGGGAGAGAUAGAAUGGAGUUCUUCACGAAGUUCGAGACAAAAAAAAAAAAAAAAGUUUCUCUAUGGCCUCCUCGUUUUGAGACAUUAUGGCUUUGGGGUCGACCCCGGUAACAAAGAAGGAAUCCAUAAAAAUUGGGGAUCCGACACCAUGAUAAAAUACUACCCUCAUGAUUAGACCAUGUCCCUGAGAUUUGAUAAAAGAAAGGUGCAUUAGCGGUUAAUACGUUGUAAUUGGAUAAGUUAUUAGGAAUAUGACGGAACGAAAGACCAAGGAAAGAAAGAAGAAUGCACCAAAAUGCAGGUGCUGCACCAAACGCUGGUGGUUGUUUCUUGUUGUAAGUGAAUGCAAGGAAAAGACCCGGAAAUAACGAAUAAUGAAACAAUUCAUAUAUUGACAUUUCGUGCUCAUUUCCAAAUUUCUGCUUUUUUAUUCCCAUCAUCCGGUAACCACAGGAUGAUCCACAAGAAAGGUGGCAGGAUUCGAACCUAUGGCCGGCCCGACCCUGACCUGCUGAGUUGGGUGGCCGGGUUAGCACCCCUCGUCGCCUCUGUACCCGAAACAGAUGCGCUGCGCUACCCAGCGCUACACCUUGUCUCCCCUACCCCUCUUCUGGUUAUGCCAUUACCAAUCCGGGUAACCCCCGGACCGGCCGCCCCAGACCUAAUAAGAACGAUUAUCCUUAUGACCAAACAAGGACCAGCUUACUUACUUCUCGAGCGAUAGUUCCACGAUCCCGACCAGCAACUUGUUGUGAGUAGGGGCAUCCAAGCUUGCCCAACCUAGUAAAGGGGCUUGGAGAUAGAGGGGAUGAAAUCUAACCUUUGCAUCGAUGUUUAGCAGGGCGGGUCGCUUGAGUGUCAAAACCAAGCGGUGGUUGUUUGUUUUUCCUUGGCUUAUCGAACCAGCGUAUGCCUAUUCCUCCUUUGAUGACUCCCAGUAGAGAAAGCCUAAAUUUGCCGAUGUGGAUUGAAAGGAAGUUGUGGAUGAACAUAGAUCCUUCCACCUAUCCGGAGUGUUGGAAAGAAAGCAAUGGUUUUUGUAUUUAUUAUUUCCCGAUCACUGGAAGCAAUCUUCAUUAGCACAAGGAUCCCCUCACAGCAACCUCCACUACAAUAGAACCCGACAAUGAGUUUACGAAGGCUUCGAGUAGUGCGAGAUAGGCUAAUCACCAGACUGCUCUGGAAUAGGUUAAUCGCCGGAGACAAGAACGAGUUAAUCUAGUUUCGAGAACAUGCCUUACUAUACUAUAGGGCGUAGAGUUUCUAAGUGAAGGCAAGCGCAACUAUAAUUAUCUAUUUCAUAUCCUCCCUGUCAGCGGGGCAGGUCCGCUAUAAAGCCUACCGGCCAGAAAGUCCUCAAGAACGGGAAAGCCGAUCAAAAGACUAUUCCAUAACCGACUCUUGUUGCCGAAUCGAGGGGGCUUGGCUUGUACCAGGCUCUAAAAGAGUUUUCUUCGAGCGAGCAGUCUUUCUAUCCUUUUUUUGGGGUUGCAUGCCUAAGGCAAUGUUUUUCGUUUUUGUAGAUUGAGAUGGAUUGAUCUUCGCUAUCGUGCCUCUUCCUUGUACCAGUGGAUGCUGCGGCAGUGCCUAAUAUGAGUUUGCUCCUGCCUCCUGCCCCAGACAGCUUCGAGUUUCCCAUCGAUCGAUUACAGAGGUUUCCACCACUGAACUUGCUUAUGCUCCCCUUUGAUCGAGUGCUAUUUCUAUAAAUAUAAAAAAGAUUGAGUAGGAAAAACUGGAAUUGGCUUUAAUCGAGAUUGCCUCGGUUUCUUAGGCACAUGAGGAAGCGGAAGCGGUCUAACAUCUUUUCAAUCGAAAUCCCAAUCAAAGACAAGUUCUACCAAGGCCAGGAUCUGAAAGAGAAGAUUCACUUUACGGAAUUCCAAGUGACAUGAUUCCUUCAGAAGCUAAAGUGGAAUGAUCGAAGUCUCCUUCAGGUUCAGUCGAAGAGAUCGAACGAAGCCUUUUUUUACCAUGAACCUGCCACCUCAACUCUUGCAAUGGAGAAUGAGGACUUUCCAUUUAUCUGAUUCUUCCCAGCGGGAAAACAUAGCUCCCUCGGGAUUUCGAUCUCCAUGCCCUGUAGGGAAAGGCUUAACUAUGACUCAUGUAGGUUAAGAGGCUAUCCCUACAAAAAGAAAAUGUCUAUCUCUUCAUCCGUUCAGAACGUCGACCUCGCUCCGAGCAAGCAUCGAAGGAAUUCCGGGUAGGACUCAAGGAAUUGAACCCAGAUAGGAUAGAUACAGCCUGUUACCUUCCGAUCCAAUUACCGAAGGGUAACUAGGCCGAGUAAGAAGACACUUUGGGAUGAUUUGCAUUUGCCGCUGGCCGAGUUAGUCACGAAGUUGAGAUCCACCUAUUUAUUAUAUAGGGUAGGGUGACCCGCCUGGAUAGCACUGUUGAUCCCGACCUCAGAUAAUAUUGGUGACGACUUGGCGGCUCUUUCUCCCGAAUCUGAUUGAUAUCGAAUCAACUAUCGAAAAUGAACUAAACUAUAAGCAUAGGCGGGCACCUGACCUGCCAAACGUAUUGUAUUAUUCUCCCUGCCAAGUUUACUACCCGCUAACGGAUCCGAUAAGAGACUCCAAUAGCUAGAGUACUCUUCGCUACCGGUACCGGAAAAUAAGGCAGGAAGGGCUUUCAUUCAUAACGAGUAAGUGCCCCGGCAGUCUCUCAUUCAGACAUUGGAAAAAACACUUUCUUCUAAGAUGGUGACGGCGCAAGCAAAUACAUUCUCCGUGCCUUUAACCCUACGCAGAAGAUACUUAUGGUCACUGCUAACCCUGGUAAGGAUGUAUUGUAUCAUGAGAAGGUAACUGUGCCAAGUAUGGGCUCACGCUCUUCGCGGUCCUCGAUAGGAAGGGAAAAAUCCCCAAAUUGCCACAGACAAUGCGUCAUUGGAGAGGAUGAAAUGGUUUAGGCUCGCGAUAGGGAGCUCCCGGACGCAUACGCAUAAAGGCAUCCAUAUCGGCUUGCGCUCUUCUCUUACUUGAAGCGGCAUGACAGAGUCACUUAGCUCGACGUUAGGAGAGUCAAGGAGGAAAGGAAAGGAUUUCGGGCUCAGUGAAUGCCUCUAUAACGUUGUCAUGAAUUAUACCUGAAUGUGUAUACACGGAAACCCGAGGUCUCUCAUGGGGCAUUCAAGCGCCUCUUUAAGCAUACUGGCAAACUCUGGUGAGCAGCAAUUGAACUGAACGUUCCAAGUGCAUCCAGCAGGAAUCGAACCUACGAAUUUGCCUCUUUAUUAGGUUGGUAUAGGUUGGGCGCUUUAACCAUUCAGCCAUGGAUGCAAAGAGACUCAGCGAGUGAACUAGGUUUUGGUAUUCCUUCUCGAGCUUCGAUUUCUUCCGUUAAAGGAGAUUCGAGAAAAGAUGGAAUAGGAAGACGUGUUUCCAGAACAAAGAAGAUACGGGUUGAAAAGGGGGAGUUAGCAAAGUUAGACAAGAUUGGAAUGAGCAUAGGAACGUGUAUUGAUGUACCAGAUCGGCUAAUGCUCCCAGGUUGAUGCGAUGUAUUCCACCAGUUGACUGAAGACUUGAUUAUUGGUAUAUCGAUCGGUCCAGCACGAAUUGAAAUAGAAGCCGGUUCGACAGGAAGCUUUUGAAAACGCAGUGCACCCAGGUAAAUAAGGAACGAGAUGAAUACAGAGGUUAAACGAGCAUCCCACACCCAAAAGGUGCCCCACAUAGGUCUUCCCCGAAACCCCCCAGUAACUAAGGUAAACAACGUAAAAAAAGCACCCAUUUCUAUACCGGUUCCGGAAGAGCGAAGAAAAAGGGGAUGCUUUGUUAAUAGGAACAAGAAAGUGUUUAUAGCCGUAGCGAUAUAAACAAGAAUACUCAUCCGAGCCGCAGGAACAUGUACAUACAGAAUACGAGAAUUUCCACCUUGUUGAAAAUCUAGUGGUGCUACCCGAAGACUUAAAUGAAUAGCCAUCGCUGUUAAGAACAACCAAGAUCCAAUGAUAAUUUGCGCAUAGCUUCUGGUCUUUGACAUCAAAAAAGAAGGUUGUAAUAACGAAACUGACAUGUGAGAAUUUGGUCCUAGCUAGUGGAACAAGAAAGACAUGGAUCUAUAUUCAAUACGCAAUCAAAGGAUUUCCCCCAACGAAGAAUUCCCCCUGCUUUGCUUUGUUUUCGCUCCGCUCGUGCGUGGCACUCCUUGCUCGCGGAGCGGCAUACCGAAAAAAGAAAGGUUUUGGAAGAAAAAAAAGUAAAUUGCCCAAUGUUUCUAUUAAGUCAAUUAAAUUCCAUCCAGCUCGAGUUCCUUAUUAUAUAACGCUUCCAUCAGUCUCUGAUAAGGAAGGCUACGGUGCGUCCCAUGGUUCUCCAUUAUAUUCAUGUGUUUAGUGUAAGUUUGUAAUGAUAAUGCCUUACCAUUAGGGUAGAAGAGGAUGCCCCUUAUCUGGUGCCUUUUAUACAUGAGGGAAUCCUCGGAAAACCUGUCCGAACGAAGUGCUUUCUCUAUCUUUAGUUCCAUCAGGAAUUGGGUUUCCAAAAUGGACUCGCGAACUUCGUCAGACAAAGAACGUCCUAGACUGUUAAUACCAAGACGAUCGUUGAGUUCUUGGCGCCUCUGUCCGCCCUCCAGUAACGGGUGAUAAACCUCCGCAAUAGGCGCUGCGGGUUCACCAGGAUUGGGAGAGGUCGGGUCCGGUUGGUUUACGCUGGUCUCGGAAUUACCAGUGGAACUGCUUCCAAAUAAAUCGGUCCACCUGAAGCCCCUUCCUCCAGCGCCCUCACCUGAUCCUGAGCCAGAGGCCCCCGAAGGAGCCAUCAUGUUACACGAAAUGUUACACGAUUCUGAAAUGAAUAAUUUCAGAGACCAUGCAACGGCCAAGGCUAGCCCACCUGAGAAGCCCAUCUUGAUCAAUAAAGACGAGAUGGUGCGGCUUCCCGCGGCUAUGAAUGCCUUAGAAAGGAAAAACGGAAAUAGUUCCAUUUUGCCAAGAAGCAUAAAGAUGGAAGAAGAUAGAGUGAUAAAGGCAACGAGGAGCAGACACGGGUAGAAUUUUCCACUAUAGAAACAACGGACCUUAUUUGUCAUAAAAUUGAGAUGAAAACAAUGAAACCUUUUUGAAAACCGCUUUUUCAUCUCUUUUUACUUACCAGUUUUUCAGUCUUUUUCGCCACAUAGGAGCUUUGGGAAUUGAACCCAAGACAGACCCUUGCCCCUUUCUCGUACUUCGUACUUUUUGCUUUUGUUCACAUACGCUUUUUUUGUGGGGCGGUGACUGAAACAUUUCCUUUAUGUUGAUAGAAACAACAAGAGAAAGGCCAGUCACUGAACACCAAGCCAAUCUCGAUGAAAGUCAAAGCAGCCUUCGGACCCUGACGUGAACGGACGCUUUGUCAUUAGAGUGUGUUAAAAAAAACGAGAAAGCUUUUUUCUUUUUUUUGUUUACUCAACCCGUAAAGACAAACAAAAAAGGGAUCCGCCUCGAAUCAAAACGUUCUUUCUUUUCUACGCUUUCUUCUCUUAUGAUAUUUCUAGUUUGAUCGAGGGUUCUCCCCAAUAUGAGAUAGGUUGCAGCUAUAGUCAGAACUCUAACUGGGCCAAUUGCGUAAUUAUGACCUGAGGUGAGGGUGCGAUGCCUAUCGAAGAAAGGUUGAAGAAGAAUAAGAAACUCCUGGCGUUUUUCUAUUAAGUAUGCUUCACCGAAUCCGUUAGGGCUGAUGCUGUGAAAGCCUUGGCGAGGAAUAAAAACCUCAAUUCUGCAUAGUGUUGCAUGGCUGAAAGAGUUCGGCGAGUGACCUUGAUAGCUAAGUCACAGAGAUCAUUGAAUUGCUGGAGCGCAGUUUACUAUGCGAGUGAAGAGAUUUAAGCGAGCUAAUAGCGAGUGGACUUUGGCAGGUGUCGGUAAUCUGUAGCGAUGGAGUACCCCAUUACCUUUCUUUUGGUUUUUUCAUCUACUCUCUUCGUGUAGGGUAAUAGCGGUACGGCAAGAUCAUUCCGGCACAGCAACAUCUGGUUUGCGGCUCUAUUCAAAGACUAAGCGAGAUCUCGAGAAGUGGUGUCUGUAGCCUGUUGAUCGGCUUUCUCCUAUCUGUUCUUCUGAACAGUUCUAGAAAAAGGGUGGGCCUAUUUCCAAUUCUUUUUGCCUGAGAGCUUGUUUGUGCGGGCUCAUGUCCGUAUUUCCGUACUUUCAUCUCAUUCCCUUCCUCUAUAUGCUCUUCUCUUUCCUUUCCUUUCUAAGCGGGGGUUGGAAGCGACUCUCGUACAUUCGCUUUCCUCUGGCAGCACGAUGCCAAUUCCGCCUCAGAGCCAGAAGAUAGUGGUGGUUCCUUACCGUUACAGAAGAGCUGAAUUGCGCGGGGACGAAGGCCCUUAGGCCAGAGUCCAUGGUAUAUGUAUCUUUUUUCUAGUUGAGGGGGGACAAGGCAGCUUACGGUGAGGAGGGAAAUACAAUACAUACACCCCAUUUCGACCUCGCCCUGUGUCAUAUCAUAAAAGUCCUUCUCGUUCCAUCCAUAUAUACUGAGUUAGCUCGGGAGAUAUGGAAAAAGCCCCCCAAAGGAAAGUCCCUUUCGCUCUAAGGAUGCCGGCCCGUAUUUUCACGGCUGAAUCUUUCUCUUCAUGGAUGCUCCGCGUGUGGUCCUUGAUGCUUUAAGCUUCCCAGGCCUUCUUCGCGUUCUUUCGGUUCCACCGGAUUUUAAGACUCCCGUAGGUUAGUUUACCGAUUUCCCGAAUCUGACUCUUUGGUUUCGUUCAUUCGCUUUAGCCCAUAAAGUCACCAAAAGGAUGUCGCUUCUGAAGAGGAGGCGGAAAUCCGUAGAAGAGAUAGCAAGGACCAGGUACAGGGCACAUCAGGCUCUGACAAGACCUCGCCUUGGAACCGCCUUAGUCUUUUUGGGGAUCAAGAUCUUUGUGACUCUGCAGAACUUCACUUUUCUUAGAGGAUCAGCACGGCACAUUAUUCGGAUUCGGAGGUUUAGGUUUCAGACUGAUGGAGAGACAUCUUUUGUUAGGAAAGCCUUCUAUCGGGGGCUCAAAGUGGUAAGUUCAGCGUUCGAGCCGAUCCCCUAAUAGAGGUGUGUGUGUUCCUAAGAACUCACGAUCUACUAUUUGCUUGGUCAAGUAGGGCCUUCUUGGUUGUGGUGGUUCGAAUCCAAUUCGUGAGAAGAGUCCAAGCGAGAGACUAUAACAGUCAAAAGGCCUUCGGUUAACUAUAUCUGCUUCUAUUUAUUAGAAAUACUAAAGGAAGGGGGAAACCCUGAUCAAGAGGAGGCUAAAGAUUAAGGGAUACCUUACGAGUACAUGGGCAAGAAGCAAGUUUGUUUGCGAGCAGAUUCUGACAAUCCAGUCUAUGAGAAGUCGAGAUCGGCUUACUCAAUUCUUAUAGCGGAGUGAGUGAUGGAGCGACCCAAAACAAACGAAGAAGGAAAUAUCACAGAAGAAAAGCUUACCUGCGGAGGGUAUCAAACUCCUGUCGAAAAAACAGCCCCUGGUGGUGCAUAUCGUGGUCCCAGAAGCGGUACGACCACCUCAUCCCUCUAGGGAAGCCCAUAGCUUAAAGCAGAACUUACAAGCUUCUCACUGACCUUCGUGGGAAAGCUAAGUGCCCCUAUUUAGUAAGGCGCCCUCUCUUUACGCGAAUUGGGUAUUCCCCCGAAUAAGUCCUCACAACAAAGGUUAGGUGCUUGAGAUCAUAACUGCUUACAGCAGCGCUCCUGGCGCGAGACUCUUUCGCCUAGAAUGAAUUCGGUAAGGAAAGGAAGGGUAGAGCCUCAUGGUCAAUUGAAUAGCACUUCCCUCAGAAUUCUUGAAUUAGAAAUAAAAGGCUUUGCCUUGGUCUUUAUUGCGCACUAGUCGGGCGGUGUGAAUGAGAAAGUGUUAAGUGAGUUUUUAUGGAAUAGAUGAUUUGCCGCAUCGUUGAAUAGCAACACCUUUCUUAUUACAGCAAACUACUAAUUAAGAUUAAGUAAGAGAGAGCUUUCGCGGCUCAGAGAAACAUAAGGCCAAGAUGGGUGAUGAAAGGAGUCUUUCUGCCUUUCUAACUACGCUCCUUUCUUCAAGCAAGAUCUAUUUGGCUACGGCUUUCUGUUGUUCUUUUCAGUACGUACAGUGAACAAGAGAUCAUCAGCUACUUUAAGAACCUUAUCCGAGUUAGAGCAAAAGAGUUUUCCAAAGCAGAGGCGCCCUCAACAAGAAUAAUCGCUUCUUAUGUGACUCGACACUCCGUAAAAACCUACCAAAAAAGGAUACGCCAAAACAAAAGGCCCGAGAAAGUCCAUCAAUAGGCAAUCACACAUCAACCCCACGAAAGAUGGCUUUUUUGGGCUUUUUUUGGAAGAAAAGAAAGAUUCUCCUGUCUUCCUCUCUUAGUGUGCCAAGCAUGAAUAGAUGGCAAGGGGGGAAAAGCAAGAGCUUGCUUACUGUGAAUCUGUCUCAUAGCCUUCAAAGCGUGGACAAGAAGGAAAGCUGUCUGUGAAUAGAAUCAAUCCCUUCUCGAAAGCCUUAGGAAGAGUGAAUAGGCACAGUACGGGGAUCGAACUCGAAGGAAGAAAGUAGCCCAUUUUCUUUCUAUCUAUUCUUCCUCCCUCACUAAAGAGCAUAGAAUAAAGGAAAGACAAUAAUAAAGUCAAGCCAGCUCUUCCUGAUCUGACAUUGCCGGGAAAGAGACAAGAGCUACUCUUCCUCCAAGAACUUCUUAUCUAGCGCCGUCUUCUUCCUUUUAUCCGGACUUAGCUCUAAUGGUUUUUUCUUUAUUAUAUCUUUUUUUUUACCCUCAGUCACUGACUCUUUCUCACAUCUCGAUCUCCAGAAGGCCUAAUGAAUCGAUCUCUCUUUCUUUUUGUCUCAUCUCGUGUUUAUGAAGGUUUUCUUUUCUUCGUGGCUCUAUCUCCUUUCCUCUUCCCAUUCAAAAGGGUCCAUUCUAACCGGCUUGGAUUCAAUAGCAGCUGAGUCAAUUGGGGAAAGAUCCGCUUGGUGCUUAAAUGGGCAUUGUUUGCCAGAUUUCAGGAGGGAAGGAGUUGUGAAAGAAAAAGCUGCUUGAGAAGCUGUUGGGAGUUAGGAGGAAUGCGCUUUUAAAUCUUAAAGAAAUGCCACUAGUAGUAAGAAAGAGGCUGGAGUGGAUGCCACAUCAUCAAACAGCUCAAUAGUAUUAGACCAAAUAUAAUACCUGAAACUCGAAGUUACAGAUUUCACAACUCGAAGUAAAGCCUCCACCCCCUUUCCAAACCGGAAGAUAGAUCGAAGAGAAGGGGGUAUAUGACUGAGCUUCACUCCUCUCCUUUAGUCGAGUGGUUUUCAACUCCAACCCUUGUUAGCCGAGUAGCUGCACUCCAACAAUGUCAAUGUUGACAAAACCCCGUGAAAAAUGUAUAAACUCAUUUUCCUUCCCAAGAGUGACAUCAAAAUCGAUACAUUUUAAGAAACCCCGUAUUUUUGAUGUAAACUCAUCAGGAGUUGGAGCUUUUGAGUUCCAUCUAGUGAAGUAGAUUCCAAGGUUGACUUCUCUGUCACUUCUUUUUGACCCUCCGGCCUUUGUUCCCCAGUUCUUAUCCGGAGCUUAAACUGAGCUCAUUAAAGUCUCACCUCGGAUCAGAUUCAAUAAAAGGAGGAGAUCGGGCAAAUUACUUUAACAAAAGCUGCAUUUCUACGUCCUUUUGAUAUGAUUCUAUUCGGAAAUUUGAGAUACAUCAUCGGUAGAACUAUUUCUAUCAUCUGUGUUCGGGAGUAUUCCUUCUUUCUCCCCUUUCUAGGGAGAUGUGGACGAAGGCUACUUGAGCUCAUUCUCACAUCUCGGGGUAAGAGGCUAGGCUAGGAAUAGGGUACAGAGGCUAGGACAGAAGAGUUCUUUUUCUUGCCGCAGGUAAAUAAAUAAGGUAUUUGUCUCAAAGCAUCUUCCUCUUUCAACGAGAGAGCGGGGUGGAAAGAGAACAACCGGUGUUCCGCCGAUCUCAAGGGUUCCUCUUCUCCAGCAGCGAAUGUAGCAGCCGACCAACGGGAAAGUAGUGAAAUAUGCUCUCAGGAGUCUUUGUUUGGGGGACAGGAGCGAAGGUUACUCGACUAAGGGGAACGAAGCUGAGACGAGACAAUCUGCUGAGACAACGUCCGAAGAUGCGAGACUGAAGGGGGGUUUCCCACUGAUUGACUAACUAAGGAAAAUGGAUUACCUGAUCGACUGAAUAAGAAUAAGGAUCCUCAACAGGAGAAAGCUCAAUACCAAGAUCAGGUUUUAUGAGAAUGGGGUAACCCCAAAAAAGUUCAAGAGAUUCGACUAUUGGUUUUGAGGAAGUGGCUUAAACCGAGGUGUUAGCGGAAAUGGCAUAUCCAGGGCACGGCGCAGAGGAGGAGUGUCAAGAAAAGAGAUCGACUAAAGCAAUCAAUCAGGAUCGAGAGCAGGCGGAUGCUCCCAGAACAGACCGAGCAUUUGCUCGUGUUGGAGCUUCUCGUUUUCCACGGUUUGUAUUUCUUGUUGAAUUCUUUCAAGUCUUCCAGCGAUAUCCAUGGCUAAAGCUCUUUCUUGCCGACUUCUAAGGCCCCGUCUCCCUUUGCCAAAUAGAGACUGAAAGAAGCUUCUAUUUAUAGGCCUUGGAGGCCCUUAACCCUUUCUUAUUAUUAGUAAGAAUUCUUGUCUUGGUAUAGCCUUUAAUCCCGACUUCUCAACAUGAAUUAUGGCAGGAAGAUCUUACACUACCGGGGACCGGCUCGGAGCAAUCAAGCUCAAAGAGCACUACUGGGCGGAGCUUCUCAAUCCAAUUCCUUCAUAAUCCAAAUCCAGUGAGAGAAAUAACAGACACAGACAAGAUGCUGACUGCUUAUCUUAUGCAAUUUGCGGGAAAAAACCGUUCUUAGAAGUCGUUUUCACCUGAUCGAUCGGAUGUCUUAGCCAGAAAGCAAGACUUUCCUCCUGCCUUCUCCUAGGGUGGGAAAGUCACUCUAAAAGCACUGGUUCCAGUUAAAGCGUAGAAUACAAGGAAAUAGGUAAACUCAACAAACAAUCAAGUCAGCCAGGUCGGGUUCGCCUUCCCCUUUUGCCUUCUUCUUAUGAUGUAGUUGUAGAGGAAGCAGCCACUACACUAGAGAUUUGAACAUAAAAGGACUUUACCUGGAAUUUCUUUAGGAUUUCUUUACCAAAGGGUAGUUCUUUUAGGCAGUGGAUGGUACAACGCAAAAAUAAGGCUUUGAGACCUAAGAACUCAAUUUCGUAAGAGACUAUGCCAGAUUGAAUGUCAAUGCUCUCAUUUCUUCCGCGAGACAAUAUCUAAAAUACAAUCUCACAUGUCGGUUAACCAAGGAUAUAUCACUUGAUUUUGCCCUCCCUCAUUGGAAUGGAUGGCUCAUAAGUCUAUGCUCCAGCAUCAGUUUAUCAUAAGCAAGACCUAUAGAAUGAGCUUAGAUUCAUCCAUACCGUUUCAACUAUUUCUUUUGAUAAAAACUUGAAUAACUCCCACACUUGAACAGGAAAACAUCUUCACUUAAAGAGCCGGGAGGGCGGCGAAGCCAGUCUUGUGGAGCACCUUCCUUCAGUUAAGGUGUGAGCUAGGUAUGUGUCUGGCGCUGGAAAGCCUUAGAGAGCUGCUUUGUCUUAAGCAUAGAGCUGGGAAGGGUCAUCUUAGGAAGCGGAUCCCUUUGCUGAGGAAGGCCAUAUCCUAAGAAGCACUGAAUUAUACCCCUUGGGGGGCCCUUGCUUCAAAAAAGAUCAUGUUGCACGCUUUGGAGCGAAGAAUUUUGUAGAUAACGAUCAUGCUCGUGCCGACCGCGCGUUAGGUGAAAAUGGACAUCACCGAAAGGAAAGACCACAAGACCGGGGCUGGCGCGAGGCAGGAAGCUACGAUGCCGCGUUACGAUCUGGUGCGACGAUUUCCGAUAACGCAUUCGAACGAUUGUCAGUGAUUUGAUUGGACUUCGUAUCUAAGGCACUUGUUCCGCUCCAAAAACCGGUGCCUUACCACUUUGACUCCAUGCGCAGUCUGAGAUAUAAAACCACCUGACCUUUCUGAGUCGCUUACUUUAGCUUCCCCUCCCACCGCCCAUGGAAAAGAAUUCCUUUAUUCUUUAGCCUUAAAAGCUUGUUGUUAUUCCUUCCCCGAGCAAACCUUCUCUGAGCCAACAGCCCGAUCCAUCUUAGUUCGAUUAGAAAGUCCACGCACAACGAGAGCGAAGUCAUGCGAACUCAGAAGCAGCAGCAGCAUUUGGUCCGUUUCCGGCCGGCCUAUAUUGCUUUCUCAUCGCGGUAUACUUGAAAUCAAUCUUUGCCUAUCCGAUGGAAAGCGAAUCGAAGUUGCUUGCGCGCUUCUUUGCAGUGCUGUUCUCUACUGCAUCUUAUCCAGGACCCGAUGCUUUGUCUCUUGUUGUUGCUUCGGCGGAUGCACUUUGUCUAGGAACCUAUUUAUCUUAUUAAGUAUCAACCGAUGGAACGGGGUCUCCCUGUGCUUCAGAUAGGGACAGAGCUCGAAACUCCCCAGCGAAUGAGGUAAAGACAGAAUGAACAGUUGGUCGGGCAACGAUUCCGGUUGAAGCGGAUCCAUCCUAUGCCUCAUCAGUCUCCGGCGCGCGUUGAGCUUUUUUCUUCCUUUCCGUCUUUAAACCCACCUCCCUAUACUGCGAAAUGAGUUUCAUAAUCAGUUGCAAAAGAACUAGAAUGAACACCAUCCGGAGCUAUGUCUGAAAGUAUAUUAAUGUAGGUACGCUUAGCGCUUGGUAGGUCAGGAGCGGGGGUUGUAGUAUAGUAGUUCCAAAUCGAACUUCUCGGUUCAUUAUAGGUUUUCCUAAUCAAAAAGCCCUGUUCUAGCAAACUAACAACUCUAGUUUAUACUGAAAGGAAAUGGGCUAGCCAAACCCGACAAUAACAGGCGAGAAUUAUUACGCGAUUGCUGUUCAAAGAAGACAGGAUUCACACCUUCCCUCAAGUAGACAGGCAAGUCUGACGUGCUAGCUCAAUGUUGUUCAUUCUUUGCUAAAGAAAUGGGGGUUUUAUCAGUACUUUUGCCAGUCAAUGGGUGGAACAUUAGGUUCCCUUUCUCGUUUUCUGGUUAGGAAAUAGCUUCCUCAGCGAUCUGCCUCAUUGCAGGAGGAAGGAACCGGAGCAACCACUGGAAGGAAGCCUAAUGGUAUGAUUUCAGAUCAUGCUUGGGGCGCUUCCGACUGUCUUAGUGCUUUUGAAGUAUCCAUUGAAAUAUCUCUUUCAGUGCCCGGUUUCCACAAAGCAUUGCCCUUCGUAGCUGCAUUAGGAGACAUUAGAUAUACUCCGGUGAUACACUAAGAGAGUCGGCUAGGUAGUACACAAUGAGGAUUCCCCGCCUGACAUCUAGGAAAGCUCCUUUCUGCUGUGCUUGCCACUACUGCCUAAUAGGGUUUUCGAGUAGAAUAAGUAGGCUUUUUCGAUUGAAGCUCUCCUCGAACCAUUUCUGAUGAUUGAGCCUUUCCUGAGUUAGUGAGAAAACUCUGCUUUAAGCCUUUCUUCAGAGUUCUAGCAAGCCCUUCUUUGACCGGGCAUUUCUGCGAGUUGAUUCUACACCCAUUCGGGGUAUUUUCUGCCACAUCUCAGUCUUUCUUUUCUAAAAACUUCCAAGUUUAUAUUGACUUAUUUUUGGGGAUUUCGCCUGGACGCCCCUAUUUUUUCAUUCUUUUUUUUUUUUUUCUUCCUUUAAUAUAUCGUCUAGUUCUAGCGCUCUUGCGCUAUCUUCAUUAUUUUUCUAGGGUUUCUCGAGCAGCUUCUCUUGCUCUUCAAUAAGAGCCAACCCUUUCUUGUUGAUCUCCUGAAGCUCUUUAUAAGCUCUUGAAAGUUUUUGGUUGGCUUCGCGAAGUCUCUGAUUCUCGGCUUCCAGUUCCAGUAGGUCCGACGAGGGGGCAGGCUCCGGCUCAGGGGCCGGAGGUCGGUUCAGAUCGAUAGCAGGUUCAGUCAUUGGAGGUCGGUUCGAAGGACCGGCUUCGCUUAUACCACCCUCCAUAGAAAUAGGCUGUUUAUCCAUCCCAGAAAUAAAAAGCAGAUCAUCUAAAAUGAAAAGAGGGGCUCCCCAAGUCAGCCCCCAGUCCCAAACCCAGCAAAUAAUAGAAAAGAGACACAUAUACAAAACCCAUCGGUUUAUCAAUGAAAAUUGAAUCCUUUUUCUUUUUCUCAAAAUCAUUCGAUUCCGUACAAAUUAGCUUCUCCUACUCCUCCUUCGCUGACCGUGGGUCAUCGUUGGUCCUCUAUUGUUACUAGUUGUAGCGCGGCAGCUCGCGAAGCUAAUCCUGAUAGAGGUGCCGCGCAAUCUGCUGCUUUUCUUCCCUAUAUGCUAUUUUCUUGCAGCACAUUCCCCGCUAGCACAACCUUCGUUUCUCCCCGGUUUCACCAGAUUCGCCGCUUUUUAUUGUGGAGGAAGGAUACCAAAAACAAACCCUCUUUUUAAUUCCAUUUUAGUUCUUUAAGCAAGCCAAACUAUGAUAAAGAAAAGACAAAGACAUGCUUCCGAGUUGGGGCAUUCAAUCUCAAUCAAUGCACCUGCUCUCUAUCUACUAGCUUACUUUAUCUCAGAAAGAAAGAAGUCGCUAUGCUAUGAUACCUUAUGAUCAUUCCAUUGAAAAAGUCUUUAUAGCGAGCAAGCCUAUCUACAAGAGGACGACUAAUAUUUCAUUGUAAAAGGGGAGAGGAAAGAUCAUAGGAAAGUAACCACCAAUGGCGAAAACUCUGCCACAUUGAAUUUCAUGAUAGAGUGUAUUACGUGUAAGCGGUUCCCUCUUCUGUCGCAACUAUCACAGGAAUCGUAAACUAACUCUUAUUAAUGCUUUAAAUAACUGCUUUUAUUCGUCAGAGUAGAUAAGUAUUAUUUAUAUUAUAUUAUUUAAGGCACGAAAUUCAUCGCUUAGAAGACCUGCGAGCCCCAUGAGUACAAUAUCACAUCUUCCUUCUCACUCUCACAGGCCAUAUCUUGACCAGAUUGAAAUUCGGCCAGCACUCUGUCCAGUAGUUCUGCUUCAGAGAGAAAUCCUUGUUCUUUCUCUUGGUAUCGGCUUUAGCUAGUGAAGUUCCGGGACUAUAGGGCGUAUCAGAGAGAGAGCCCUUUUCAACCCUCUGUUUUAUGCUGUAGGGGCAUAGGAGCCCACUUCCUACUAUCCGGCUUUCCAGCCUACUAAGGUAUAGUAUAGUAGGUGCUCCCGCGAGUAGUCUUUCAGCCCCUUCUUCUUGGUAGUAUUAUGUCCUCCACUUCUAGUUGCUAAUUCUACCUACCCUUCAAUCUCCUAAGAUUCACCGUUUACUGGCUCACUAAAAGCCUUUCCUUCACUACCAACGAGAACUAAGGCUGGACGCAAUCGAGUUCUCGGUCUUAGUAUUACCUAGCGUAAAAGAGAAUCGAAUCCCUUGAUUUAAGCGUUGGAGAGGUUUGAUGGACAAAAAUGAUUAGAAUCCUUCGUUUCUAGCGGAUCAUAAAAGGCUCUCAGGAGAGCAGAAGACAGUGGAUCGGCUACACUCUAUACAAUAAUAUCAAUAUCGCUUCCGACAGUUAGCGAUUCCGCUUCGCUAAGUUCAGUGAUGCUUAUACUACGAGUAAUUCUAAAAAGAAGAAAUGGAAGAUUUUGCACUUAAGGAACGGCAUGGAGUGGAGCGGGAUGGGAAAUUGACAGUCGAUCCUCUCUACACUGAGACCCCAUCGAGCAUGAAUUAAGAUGACGACAAGCAACGAAGAAAACGCUGUGAACAGAAGCUUUUUCGGUUCGGUUCAUUCGAGUGUUCUAUAAAUAUAUAUAUACAAUAGCCGUUUUGGUGACAUCGACAACAACAGGCAAAUCCUAAAUCUUUGAAAUGAGGGCACUUGGUUGGCUUCCUCUCAUCACGAUCUGGAGGGAGGUAAUAUGUAAUAUUUUGUCCUCAAGCUGAUUUCGAAACGGGGAUUGACAUCAAAAGUAGAUCGACGUGGAUGCGUGCAUUCUUUGGAAUCCGAUUCAAGCUCAGAUUCAAGAGGGGAUGGUUUCUUCAAUCCAUCGGUUUUGGCUAUUGCUUUUCCAAACGGUGAAUGUGAAUGAGAUCAAAAGCGGGUUUGUCAAAUCCCCCUCUUGGGGUAGAACAGAACUGUGAACAAACAUCAAUUGAUAGCCUUCGUUCAUUUCCAACAAUUGAUUGAGAGGAAAGGACUUCGAGUUCAGUCGAAGUCAUGUGAUGAAAACAAAGAAAUCCGCUUGUGACCAGCUUCUCUUGUUGUUGUUCCUAGAAAAAAGUAGAAGUCAUGUGACAAGCAGUGCUUUUUCUCCCUGGAUAGAGGCAGGGUUCAACCUCAAACCCUAGAAUCAUUUGUUCAAUGUUCUCGUCUGAAUCCCGACUGACUCAUCUACCGAAUCAACGGCAUAAUCAUCAGAACCGACUGCAGCUUCAUUGACUGAAUGAACUGGUGCUGGCUGUAGCCGUGGGAGGUGGGGGCUCUACCAAAAAGAAAAAGCAUGCAACGACACAAUCAACAGGUGAGCCCUUACCCGCACUCCAAGCAGGUGGGUAUCGACGGACACAACGACUUAAUCAACUGGAUCCACCGAAGCAAUUUCCUCUAGACAGAAUGAGGCUCUCGUUGAGAGAUCUAUUAGUGAUUGGGCCACCCCUCCUGGCAAAGAAAGAAAGGCAGGUUCAGGCGAUUAAUCAAAAAAAUCUUUCCUUCCCUUUCCUUUCUUUAUGACAGAACAAUUGAAUGAUGCGGUGCGGCUGCAGGGCCUCUAAGAUUCUGAAGAAGCUAUUCAUUAUCCGUCCCUAUUGAAGAAAAGACCUUCGGCAUGAUGGUAGUAGAGUAGUCGAUCUGAUCUCGCGCGCGGGCGGAUAGAAAUGCCUAUUAUAGAUGAGGUAGGCGAGGGUAGCUUGCCGGCAAAAGAAAAGGCGUGUAUGGUAGUCUUUUGUUUGAUGAGAACGGGAAGGGCAAUUGAUUGCAACCUUUUUCGGCCUGGGGUUGGGUGGGGUCAACUGGAGGAAGACAGCACGGGGCAAAACAAAGGGCAGAGCUUCGAGUGAGGGCUGUCGAAGAGCAAAGAAUCAAGUCACUCGAAGCUCCUCUGGCGCGCCCUAGCCGAGCGGUCCUCGCCUGCACAAGCAAGCGGAUUAGCUCCCUCAUUCUCUUAUUGUGCCGGCAGGCCUGGGCGAGCGAGGUAAGGUUAGAUUAGAGGGAGGGGGACUGCGAACGCCCGUCCCAUGAAGCGCCAGGGAACCAUGCAUUCCUCCCGUGCUGGGCUCUCGCGUGUCCGGGGUCCGAUCAGAUCAACCAGCGCCCGGUUUACGGAACAAGGAGUUAAGCAAGGGCUGAGAGAAGAACCUGGCCGAAGUCAGUGUUGUGUUCAACUCCGCGGGUUGGCUGGUUGGAAGGGAUUGCUUUCUGCCGUCUUUCUUUCCCUUCUCUCUCUUCUCUUAGCAAAGUAAAACUUUUGGCUUGCUACAAGCUGGGCUCAGGGACUGCAGUCAGCCGCUUCCCCUGUAGUCGUCAGCUCGUUCUUGACAGAUCCGAUCGGGUGUUCAUAAUCUGGAGUAAAAGGAUUCGAACCUUUGCAUGCCGGUACCAAAAACCGAUGCCUUACCACUUGGCUAUACUCCAUACGGCCUGUUUUGGACGGUAAGAACGGGGAGGUAGGCGAAGGUAGCUUGCUUCUCUUCUCCUAGGCUACCCGCACAUGUUAUUCGCGAAGAAAAGGCAGCGAGCGGUUAUUCGCUUAGUAGAGCUACCGACCGCCGGACGACGACCGCUUCUUGUUCUCGCCCAGCCGCUUCUUUUUAUUUUUUUUUCUUUUGAUUUUAUUAUUAUUUAGAAUCCUAGACUAAAGAAGAAGCUCCUGAAUCAGCGCAGGGCCAAAUCAGCAGCAGGAAAACUGUACUAACCCGCCGCCGGUGACUUUCUCAGGGCUCCGAAAAAGAAGAAAGAAGGUUCGGGUCUUCUAAUGAAGCGAAGGUCCCCCCUUACUCUCUAUUCUCUCUUAAAGCUUUAUAAAGCUCUAAGAGAAAGGGUUGGUUAAGAACUAUUGACUGUAAACCAUAGCUGUUACAGUCACUCAAUGGAAAUGUUCGCCUUUAAAAUGAAGAUGGAUGAGCAGGCACUUGAGCCUGGAACUGAUGAAAUUCGGAGGAAAGAUGGAACCGGUCACUAUACUGGGGGGAGGCGAGACAUGACCGCGACUUAAGAUUCAAGUACCGUUAAAAAGACUAAAGGAACGGGGGGAAUGGAAUGACUACCUGUAAUAAAACACAGGCUAAUACGAGCCGACCAGAAGAAGCAAGGGUCAACGUAGUUGGGAGAUCCUGGACACAAUCUUCCUAGAGAUGGAGAGCCCCUUGCCUCGCCUUUUCUAGCCUCUCCUUCUUGCUUGCUUACCUAGCUCUUGUCUUAGUGACUCUUCUUUUUAUUUUUAGGUUUUUUUCUGAGUGUUAAAACGGUAGAUUUUUCAUUUGCCAAUGAAUUGCCCCGAUUCGAUCAAUAAUGGGAUUCUUGGCUAAAAGAAAGGUUCUGUGACAUGGACGCCCAACUCGGUCGGUCGGUUGGCCCACCUAACAGAUGAUGAGAUUCUCGAUCGAUUUGAUCGAAUUUUGAAAACUCUUUCUCACUAUUCAGAACAGUGGAGCUUUCGAUCAAGAUGUUCUCGCCUCCCCCGUUCGGGCUUUCGCUCGAAUCGGAACCUUUAUGCGUUGGUAGGCUUUCGACUCAAUCUAAUAGCCUACCUAUCGAGCGCCAAUAAAAGAGAAAGUUUUCGCAUGGACUCAUCAUCUGAUGCAUAACUUAUUUCAUAACCAUAACCACCAUCCAUCACCAAUCACAUUCCACAUCCCACUUCAAACUUUUCGAUUCCUCGGGUAACCUCCUCCUCCUCUAGAAAGGCAUUCCAGCUUCAGAGGCGGGUAAGCCGGGUCAGGAAGAAGUUUGACUGCUGGGAUGGGAUCGGAUCCUAUUCGAAGCACUCCACCACGAAUACGAAUAAGAGUCCUCGGGUUGGAUAGGCAGUCGAGAUAGGAGUUCCUAUCUGUAGGGCGGGCUUUCAAGACAGAGAUGCACUACUCCAUCUGGAAAGGGCUUUCCCUCGUGGGGAAAGAGAAGAACCCCUUAUUUAAAGGUAAGGCCAGAAGGAAGUAAAAAAUCAAUAGAAAAAAUCCCUUCCCGGCCGACGGGACUCUACGUCUGGGUCUUAUUUCAUCUCAAACUCGGAUUAGGAAGAGUGCCCUUGAACUACAGAUCAAUCAUAAUAAACAAUACAAGAAAAGAAAUGGAUUCUCCCGCCGGCGAGAAAAGAAAAAAAAAAGGGGGGGGGGAUAGGGAAGAGGAGAUUAAGGAUAGUAACUCCACUCCAUAGAUAGUGAACACAGAUUCUUGUUUCAUUUUCAAUUCCUUUCGGGUCGAAAACGCGGGCUGCUGGUGGGGCUGUGCCCAUUCUCCCUCUUCUUCCGCUUUACAACCGGAAUAAGGAACCUUAGAAUUCACCCUACCUGUCGAUGAAAAAAUUGGAUUUGAGAGGACCACCUGCUAGCGGAUCAGAAAGAUUUUUAUGGAAUGUCCUACUCCUGCCUGGGCUUUCCGAUCAACUAAUCCCGGGACAUCUUUGUGUUAGGUAGGGCCAGGGAUCUCUGAUUAGUAGAAUGAGCCCAUCCCUCUGGCCUAUUGGUCGAUCCGGCUGGCGGCUCCUGCAUCUCCUGCGGGGCCCCUUCAUACAAGUUUGCUGCUAGGAGUCCCUCUAGCCGAAUCAAUAGAAGUCCCAAUAGAAGUUUACUUUACUGACCUAGCUCUUCAAUCGACGAUCUACUACUCCCUCUUAGUUGCAGAUGCCCAUGCUUUGAUUCGAAAGCCCUAGCCAGUGAUGAAUCCCCAGUAAGACCGGAGUAUUGAAUUCCUACUCCCUUCAGUCCAGUUUGAACCCGUCCCAGCUACGAACACCUUCCUACUGCAAGGCGAGGCUCUGCCCUUCCCCUAGAAUAGAAUCUACUCCCGGUCGGAGGAGGAGCUAGUCCAACUUCUUGAGCAGCCGAGAUAUUGAACAACGCACAUUUUCUUUUUUUUCCUCACCUGAGAUGAGAGGGAAGGUCGAUUUGACUCGAAUCCUGGACCGGAUCUUUCAUCCUACACCGGUUAAUGAAGCGAUGGGAGACGUUUUGCUUUUUUCAUUUUGCUAGCCCAGUCGAGGCUCGUCCAUGCCCAAUCCCAAUGGACAAACCCUCGAUCCACUCCUAGCUCUAUAAUCCACUCGUCUCCCCCAGUCCCUGAGAGCCCUCCUCUCCUGGGCCUAGCCCUCUUUCUCAACUCGAGUCUUAAGUUCAGCGGUUCGAACACCUGCGCUAAUAAGACAAAGAAGUGGGCCUUGAAUGAAUCAGUAACAAGUAACAACGGAUUAGUGGAAUGAGGGAUCAAGAGACGGAUAGGGGGGGGGGGAAUGGCCUAUCAAUCAUUGGUGGACCUUCCCUUGAACCGGUCACGAAGCUCUCAACUGAGUUGUUUAGGUUCUGGAAUUCCAUCUCUAGUUGGGGGUUUCAGUUCGAAGGUUAUAAAAUGUGGUGCGGGUUCAUCUCUCUCGACCAGUUCAGGUUCAAGGGAAGGGUGCUCGAGGGGACCCAGACUUGAAAUCUCUUCUCUAUGGCGGGAGGUUUAUUUCGUAUCAAGAGUGGGUUGGGGAGGCCAGGGAAGACGGAUUGGAUCGAGAGGCGAUGCCUAUGCCUCUUAUUUAUCGAUAGGAUUCCCAUCAUUUGCAGUCUCCGGCGAAGGGCGAGGUUAGCGCCAGCUAUACUCAACCUCCAUCCGCCAUUAGUAAUCUCAAUCCGCUUUUCCUAUUCACUAGUACACUGCGCGCUACAACUAGCAGCCCCUUUACUAGUAAGGGAAAACGCUAGCGCGCUAGCUAGCUACUUCUAGUUAGAACCCCUACUUAUGUUAUUGUUAUGGGAUAUUUGAAGAAGCCUGCUGAAAAACAGAAGCGCGCUAGCGCGCAACGGCUGAAAAGCCGAACUCAGCAACUUGUUAGGAGUAGGUUUUGGCUUGCCCCUUUCUUAUUAUUAGUAAGAUAGGUUUGGAACCCUAUACAAGGUUUUUCCUAUCUCUAAAGGGGCUUAUGCACUCUACUCGUUACCACUAAACGGCGAAGCCAGGAGCGGAAGGAGGGACUUGAACCCUCAACCUCAGCCUUGGCAAGGCUAUGCUCUACCAUUAAGCUAUUUCCGCCAGCUACAGUAGUGGCAAAGCACUACUGAGCAAUUCACGUAUCACUUGAUGCGGACGACUUCUGUUUUUCCGCCGGACCACACUCUUGACCUCCGAUCGAGCUAGGAGCACGAGUAGGUAGGCGGCUAGGGGGGGGCGGGCUGGCUGGGCUGCCUUUUCAAUCAAUCUCCGGCCGCUCAGUGCCGCUAUUGGUGCGAGUUGUAAGGAGUCUUGGUCUCGAGUCGAGCUGGGGCGUCAUUUCAUUCUCGUAACGGGAGUGAGUGUACCGCAAAACCAGACAAGUUAUUCCCUCGCCUCGCAGCGGCGGCAUCUGUCUUUUCUUUUAAGUUAAGUCAUUUCCUAAGACGGCUCCUCUUAUUCUACGAUAAUCCAAGCAGCAGCCCCACGAGUCCGCUCGGAACCAGUCGAUUCCUGAGCCUCCCCUCCCGGUUGGCGUUUGUCAGCCACUAGAGCAAGUAAGAGAACCUACAGUGAAUGAACUUAAAGAUAAAGAACCGCAUUGACCGGAUUGUACACCUUUGUGUCUGGCUAUGUAUAUGGAUGUGCAUAAAGAAGGGACGGGACAUCUCUCUCCUUUUUUUUAUUUUAUUGGGGGGGAAAGAGAGAGGGAAUAAGCUGCAGCGGCACCUCACGAACUUCUUACUGGGUUCAUCCUAUAGGCGCGAGUGUUUGGAUGCACGUGUUUUGUUCAUAUUCCUGCGCAAUUAAGAGAAGAAUUGUCCCCAAGGAAACCACUUGGGUCUUUCUUGGAUAUGCUUAGUCCGGGUAUAGAUGCUAUGACGUGAAAUCCAAGAGACUCAAUGUAUCCUUGAAUAUUCUCUUUAAUGAGGUCGCCUCAUAUUUUCCUUAACCUAAUUAAUCAGCCCCGGGGGGAAUGGUGAUGGAGAUGUAUUGCGGCCUUCCCUUCUCCUGUUCAUCAACUCGAACCUCACAUUCUUCUGCAGUUGAUGUUACGGAUCAGCCUCACUCUUCAGGCCAGCAGCCUUGCCCAGCAUCUUCUGCCGAUUGUCAGCCUGUUCAGCUGACCCCAGAGGAUUCCAGUCACCCGGCACAGCAUGUUUAUUCUCGGCGGCGAUUACACUUUGUUUCCCAGGGGAAGACUACUCCAGAAGAUCAGCAGUCUAGCCCAAUAGCUUCCCUUCCCAGUCGCUUCCUCAGAUUCUGGAUCCCUCUCUCAGGGAGAAACCUCUCUUUUUUCUUAUCCCGUUGAAGGAUUCUUGUCUUAUCUUAUUUAUGAAUUGUUUUCCCCAAAACAUCGAGCUUACCUCAUGUCAGUUCAAUCUUCUCAUGAACCUGAAUCAUUUGCUGAAGCCUUCAAUCAUUCUUGCUGGAGAGAUGCUAUGCAGGAAGAAAUCAAUGCCCAAGAAAGAAAAAAAGAAUAAGACUUAGUCUCAUUGUCUGCGGGGAAACAAGCCAUUGGCUGCAAUCAAAAAGUUGCCCUUAUUUCAACUUGACGUGAAGAAUGCCUUUCAACAACAUAAGGGAAGGGGGAUUCGCAAGAAUAAGUUUCUAUUCAGCCUCCUCCAACCCCAGGCUUCUCUUCUCCUAGGAAUCCUAACUUGGUAUGCAAGCUCAAGAAAGCGAUUUACGUUACGGCCUCCGACAAGCUAAAGCAGGCACAAAGAGCUAAGAAGGGAGCCUGGUUUAAGAAAUUUAGCUCCUUUCUCACUGCUUCAUUUUUUUUAAGGGUUCCACUGUAGCCGUGCGGAUUCUUCCAUGUUUGUUCGUCGACGUCAUGGUCGUUGCCUCAUCCUUCUUUUAUACGAUACGUUGACGACAACAUUCUCACCGGGAAUGAUUCUUCUCUUUUAUUCGAUUUCAUCAAGGGUCGACGAAGUUGAGAUUGAGGAAGAAUACCAGCUUCCACUUAUGUUAUGUUUACCCAGGACGGUGCGGCAGGGGGACAAGGGAUGGUGUCCAUGAUAAUUGCGGACCCAGUGGCAAAAGACCCAUCCACUCUCAUCAUCCCAGCCGAUGAAGCACCACGCAAUUGAUCUUCUCUUCCUCAGCUGAAGUCUGUCAGUCUUCUAUCUGAACCAGUCUUAGUCAAGUCUGUUGAGUCACUGUUUAAUGUAACCUCUUCGGAGGAUGGUCUGAAGUCUGUCCCAAAUAAUGAUGUGUCUGUCCCGUCAGUGUCUGUUAUCAUUUCUGAAGUCGAGUCGGCCCUGGAGGCCAGAGAGUCUGUAAUCAAGGAACUUGUGGUUUGCAAUGAAAUGAAAUCUAGGAGAUCAGCUGGAGGACUUUGUUGAUGAUGAUGAGAUGCUUAAAAUCUUGAAAAAAAAAAGGAAAACAAAUAGCAGAUCUUAGCUCCCCUUCCAAUGAUCACUGCCUCAUGCAGGUAGAUGAGGAAGAAACCUAGAGUGAAACUCCUCCUGAACUCUUGGAAAUGGUGGAGAGAUCAGAGGAAAGGAAGGCUCAACCCGUCAUGGAAGAAACCCAACCCAUUACCAUUAAUUUAGGGACCGCAGACGAACCCCAAGAGGUUAGGAUAGGAACCACUUUGACUCUCGAAGAACGAAUAAGCCUGAUUGCCCUUUUGAAAGAAUACAAUACAAGGAUGUCUUUGCAUGGUCCUACGAUGAUAUGCCUGGACUCAGCACAGACAUAGUUUAGCAUAAAAUCUCUUUGUAUCCUGAUGCCAAGCCAGUCAAGCAGAAACUGAGGAGAAUGCGGAAUAAAAAGAAAAAGGUUUCAUCAAAGAGGAAGUAGAGAAGCAGCUAAAGGCAGGAUUUCUUGUAGUGACGGAAUACCCCGAAUGGUUAGCCAACAGAGUUCCUGUCCCGAAAAAGGACGGCAGAGUCCGCAUGUGCGUUGACUUUCGCGACCUCAACAAAGCCAGUCCUAAGGAUGAUUUCCCUUUGCCACAGCCACACAUUGACAUCUUGGUUGACAAUACAGCGGGGCAUGAAUUAUUAUUAUUAUCCUUCAUGGAUGGCUUCUCAAGGUACAAUCAAAUAAAGAUGGCGCCAGAAGAUAUGCAGCCUAAUUUUUACCUAGUUGGGAACAUUUUGCUACCGUGUCAUGCCUUUGGGCCUUAAAAACGCCGGGGUAACAUAUCAAAGGGCAGCUACAACCUUGUUGCAUGACAUGAUACAUAAGAAAGUAGAAGUAUAUGUUGAUGACAUGAUAGUGAAGUCUAGGGGCAGAGAUGAACACUGUGCGGCAUUAAGGAGAUUCUUUGACCGAAUACGUCAGUACCAGUUGAGGCUUAAUCCCCAAGCGCCUUUGGUGUCACAUCAGGAAAACUUUAAGAGUUUUAUCGUCAGUCAAAGAGGUAAAGAGGUCGACCCUGAAAAAGUAAGGGCCUUCCAAGAAAUUCCACCUCCACGAACCGAGAAAGAGAUUCGGGGGUUUCUCGGUCGCGUGCAAUACAUUAGCCGCUUCAUAUCUCAAUUAACCUCCACUUGCGAGCCUAUACACAAGCUUCUAAAGAAAAAUUAUGCAGGAAAAUAGGAUGCCAGAAAGCUUUUGACAAAAUAAAGAAAUACCCCUCCCACUAAUUCUAGUGCUUCCAAACGCCAGGAAAGCCUUUAAUUACUAUACCUAUCAGUCACUGAAACCACUAUGGGGUCUAUGUUGGCUCAAUACGACGAAGACAGACGGAAGGAAAGGGCCAUAUACUACCUUAGUAAGAAAAUGACUGACUACGAGACCUGGUAUACCAAUUUGGAGAAAACCUGCUUGGCUUUGGUUUGGGCAACGCGGAAAUUGAGGCAUUACAUGCUGUCUUACUCGGUACAUUUAAUAGCUCGCAUGGACCCCCCAAAAAAAGUAUUUGUUCGAGAAACCCGCCUUAACGGGAAGGACCGCAAGAUGGUUACUGCUUCUGUCUGAAUUCGACAUCACGUAUGUAACCGUAACCCAAAAAUCCAUUAAGGGAAGGGCGAUAGCAGAACACCUUGCUGAACACCCUAUCAAGGAGGAAUAUGAGUUUAAGGAUUGCUUUCCAGACGAGGAAAUAGCUGUCACAGAAGAGGAGGGCAGGGCGUGGAAAUGAAAAUGAAAUUGUACUUUUAUGGCGCGGCCAAUCAAAAUGGGUACAGAGUAGGGUCAUUGCUGAUUGUACCUGAUGAAUCGCACAACCCCAUUGCCAUUAAGCUCAACUUUGCAGGAACUAACAAUACCACAGCACAGAAUAUGAAGCAUGUAUCCAUGGACUAGAGGCUCCCUUGAACCUGACUUGCUUCCGUCACUUACGGAACUGGCUGAACUUACUUCCUUAUGAUUCAAAGAAGGGACUUUACGCCUACUCGCUUACUGUCUUGACUUGCACUUUCACUUCCUCUUUUAGUUCACUAGCGAAAAGGAAUUCAAUUUGACCUACGAACUGAUUCGAUCCCAUCGCCACAGGACUUGUUUCAGAUCGUGGCCAAAUUAGUCUCAGUCAGUCUCUGUUGGGCCAUAGACCAUCCACCUGUGAGGUUUCCUGAUUCAUGCCCUCCAGGAUGUUGAGUCUUCUUAGCGACUGCAUUAGCUUCCAUCAACGCUCCAAGAAUGCAAUCAUCGAAGCUGGUGAAGAUCACGCCCAUCAUCAUAAGGUUAAACCCUUCUUCCGUAUGUGCCAUGCGCCCCUGGAGGGGAAAAAGUGAAGAGUGACUUGCCUUUUGGGAUAGUGCCUCUGAUUUGAGACAUAUGCUAAGAGGAGGGGUGCGGAUAGUGAGAAAGUGGGCAUAGCCCGCAAAGGGCUUUUCCUGCACUUUAGAGCAUGAUGGCGUACACCACCACGACAAGCUUCCAUCGUCAAGUCGUCAGCCCCGGAUGCGUCCUGACGCCUGGUACUUCGAGCCAUAAACUGAUGCACCCAUUCCUUUUUCAGGAAUAAGUUCCAGCCCAUUUCGAUUUUUUUAAUGAUAAGGAAGCGCUUGCGCUUGAUCUGGGCCUUAUAAAGACAUCGAGAUCAAGGAGAUCGUGGGAUCAAAGUGGACGUUCCCGAUUUCCAUGGCCGAUUGCAUCCCGAGGACUUUCUUGAUUGGGUUAGGUAGCGUGGAGAAGUUCUUUGAUUGGAAAGAACUAUCCGAGGUGUGCGAAGGUGAAAUUCCUGAGCACGGGUCAUGCCUCAAUUUGGUGGGAUCAAGUCCAAGCAAGGCGUGAGCGGAAAGGCAAAGGGAAGUACAUGGGACAAGAUGCGAUCGAGGUUGCGGUAGAAAUUUCGACUCUCCGAUUAGACCCAAAGCUUGUUCAAAAGGGUUUACUUCGCUUUAAAGGAUAGGGGGGAGAGAAGCGUACAAGAAAGCCCCUACUCCUAACAUAACAAGUUGCGGAGUUCUACCAAUUGUUUAUUCGCAAUGGCUUGAACGAAUCCGACGAGGAAUCCCUUGCUUGAUAGGGCUUGAGGUUAUAAAUCCAAGAUGAAAUCUCGAUGCAUCGGAUGUGGAAAGUGGCCUAUCAACUAGUUCUAAAGGCCGAGGAAAAGCUAAAGAGAAGGACCACAAGGAGGCACCGAAGAGGGGAUCGACCUCUACCAUCGGGCGAGGAAAGAGACCCCUUUUUCCCUUCACUCAAUAUAUAUGGCACGCUUUACUAAUAUAAUAGAAAGUAAAGGCUCCAUCCUACUCGUUGCCCAGAGCCUUAACUUGAGCAUUGUACAAGUGCGUAAGGCUCCUUCGGGCCAUGGCCACAACGAAACUAUAAGAUAAGGCAAGGCUUGGAAGCAAGCUACCAGCGCCUAUCGGCGAGAACUAGGGUUGGCUUGGUUAGUAGUGCCCGCCCAUUCUGUCUCGUUCGGGCGGAGGGGGACCGUCGAAGAAGUGCCUCGACGCGCCGCAGCCACUACUUUGAUUCCUUUUAUGCAAUUAUGAAACUCCACGGAACUUUCUCGAUUCCAACGCAACUUAUCCUUUUGGAGCUGACGUAACAAACUACGCGAGCCUCCCGACGAAGCCAACAUAAAUCCUAUCCGAAUAAAAAAAAUAAAAGGAAGUUUCAUUAUGGUGGUAUACCAGCCUCCUGUUUUGGAACUUCCAGUUACAAUCGAAGCAUAUAGAUCUGUAAAUAGAUUUGUAUGUAUAGCCACUUCAGUCGUGCUCGUCGUUUCUCGAAAGUAUCUUUUUUCUGGGAACAUGGUCAACCAGAAAUUAUUAUGUUCGCGAUUCUUCAUCCACCGAUGCAGAAAAUGCUCCAGUUUUCCAUUCUCAUAUGAGGCCGGAAAGUUUAUUAGCAACAGGUCGGCGCGAAGUGAUUCAUCAUGCUCAAACAUGAGCCGAUCGUUCCUUAGGGACGGUUUAUAGAUCAUCAAAUUCCCACAAAUGGAAUGAAAAGUAGGUCCAUGUAAAUGAUCGAGACCUCGCAAACAACAACGCUCCUUCCCCAUAUGGAGUUCGGAACCCAAAGGCAAUCGUUGAGUGAACUGUAUCUUCUUUGUGUUAGUUGACCUAAGCCGCACCAUUACUGCUGGGGUGGGGCUCGGCCUCCGAACCGUACGUGGGACGAGUUUCUGCCUCAUACAGCUCCGGCCGAAGACCGGGGGAAGUUUAGGAAAGAUGGGGAGACCCUGCUGCUCCCGGUCGGGGCCGGGGAUAAGCUUGUGAAGAAGAAGAAGCGAGUUUAUUCCCCCCAAAAAAACCGAUCCUAUAGCGCUAGCGCUUCGCGUUCUUUCUAUUUCAUCUCAUUUCAUUCCGGGAUAGGCGGCUAAUACUAAUGUGAAGUAGUCGUCGUCUGACCAAUUGGCUUGGACACCAGACCGCUCGUGCCCGCCCAUUCUGUCUCGCCCUAAAUGGAAUGACUAUCUUAGUUACGCUGCGCCCCGACCCGAGUCCCCACGUCCGCUCUUCUCCGUCCGCAACCCAAGAAGUUGGCUUUGCCAACACAACAUUAGGGCCGUCCCCUUCAUUCUAUGCUGACCCCGGCCCGGGGCUGGCUUUUUGGGAAGCCCGUUCCCACCGCGCUUACGGCCCGGCUGGCCUGCCAGCGGUAGUGGGAAUUCUCCCGUUCCCUGGUCAAAGACUUGGUUGGAUGCGGGAUCUACUCCACGAGGAGCGGUACGGACGUAGAUGAUAUCAUCACGACCUCUCUUUUCGUACCGCUAGGGAUGCUUAACACCACUUCGCCAACUGGCGUUACCUGCGCUUUCGUGUCUCUCAGUGUGGUCAGCACUGGGUGUUUCCGAGCAGCGAGGCUUACACCCAUUCGCAUUAGUUCAUCCAAAGUUCCUUACCCUUAUGCACGAAUUAUUGAAUAAGCCAUCUUCCUAUCAAGGUUAAGGAGUCAACUGAGCAUCUCAGUGGCGGGAUUGAAUACCCGGAUCGAAUCAGAGUUCACGCCGCCCGCCCUGAACAAAUAGGAGGCGUGGGCCACAGGUCGCACAUAAGCCGCCAGGUCGCACGACAGAAGAACACCCAACAUAAAGAUGCACACUCCUCCAUGUGAAAUAUUCAUCUUCAUUGGAGCUUUUUGGUAGUAGUCGUGACCAACAGCCAUCAGCUGUCGGCUCGUUGGUAAGGCGAGAGCUUCAAGCCCGAUUUCUGGUGGCACACCCUCCACACAAGCACCACCCGACGAAGGGGGGACGGGGAAAGCUACAGGCCCAAAACCUUCUUCGACCCUUCUUUCUAAAUGGGGGCGCCCGGAGCACCUCAUCUUGUCAUUUCGUCGUUGCUCAUUCCCGUUAGGCCGAAGUGUUUGGCCUUUCCUUCUCCGCGCCCGCUCACGCUUCGCUGACCUAUCGCGUGGUAAAAAGAAGAAAGUACGAAAGAAUAGUAAACGGAGCACACCACAGAAAGAUUCUAAAUAUGAGAAGUCCCCCUUGGAUUCGAGAAGAAGGAAAUGAAGAACGGGAACGAAACGAAAUAAGGCGUUUCUAGCUCUAGUUUCGGAUGAGCUUCUCCCAAUUAUGUCUGGUAAUAGAAUAGGGCGGCUUGCUCUGACCAAGACUCCACUUUUUGCUCCGUCCAUGGAGCGUAUGAAUUUCCUGGAAUGUAGAUAGACUAAAAGAGGGAAUAAAGGGAUAGGAAUAGGAAUUAUAGUACCAUUAGAAGAAGGGGCCCCUGUGGGAACAUCUCUACUGACGAACCAUUUCAAUAGUACGGGUGCUGCCGUGCCACGAGGCACGACCAUAAAAGUAAUAAAAAAGAAAAAGUUAUGUAGUUGGACCAUCUGCUCUAUCCGUUCGAGUUUCGCUUCUCUAGAGAAGAUGAGACGCUAAAAAUGAAAGUGUUCGCAACGCAUACCGAAAGGAUACCAAUGAAGCCGACCAUUAAUGACUAGUUCGAACACCAGGAGCGGUCUGUCUGAUCAAAUAAGGGAUCAGACCGCUCUUAUCAAGAUGAAACAAAAGCAAACUCUCAUAGUUUAGUUCGGGUUCGGAGCCCAGCUCCAACUACUUCUUCGUAAGUGAGGUGAGGUACUUCUUUCGGUUUGAAUAGGGGUCGCCCCUUUUUUGGUUGAAGUAGCUACGACUUUGGUCGUAGUCAGUUUAAACACAUAAACCCAGUCCACUUGCAGCCAUGUUGAUCAAAAUGACUAAGUUUCAUGACUUGACCAGUCACUCGCCCUCGUAUUAAAAGAUCAUCUCACCCUGUGGUCGACAUUCCAUUCCCCUUAGUCGUAGGUGCUCGUUCUAUUUUGAUUUGAAUGGGACGGGUCUCCCGAAGUACAUAUGGUCGACCCUUCGGGUGUCUCGGUAAUACAGAAAAGACGAAUUCCAAUCACAUCCCCUAUCACUUAAAGCCAAUCCUUACCAAAGGUUCGACGUAGUUGAAUCGAAUAAUUCUUUUUUCUCCUUCCUUCCAACAAGUGGCUGAAAGUUAGAAAGCAACCUUGGCCUAUUGGCAGGAGGUUCGCUGUCCCCUUCCUUUCCGGUCUGGCCGCGGUACGGCACCUGAACUCAAAGCUACGAUCAGAUCCGAUUGGAUCUGAUCCGUUCAGAUUCCACAGAUCCAGCCGAUUUGGUCUGGUCCUAUCCGACCCAACCCCGGAACUUAGAAUGGCCUGCAUGUUUUGGACGAUAGAACGGGAAGAGGGGGAGUCGUGCCCUCUAUACGGGCACGAGCAGGAAAAUAAAAAUGGAAGACCGAAUACAUAUACAUGACGGAACGACAUAUUAAAAAAUACGUGAUCUGAUUUGAUAGGCUGCCCGCAAAAAGAGUUUACCGACCGCAUAACAAUUCAUUCUUGUGUGUAGCGCGUAGGGCCAUGUCUCCCGAACGAUCAUAGUACGGCCGCUCAUCUAAUAUCAAAUCAAUCGGUAGAUCUCACUUCCCUUCCCCCAUACCAUAGCCGGAAGGGAUAGCGUAUCUACAGAAGAGAGAGUACGGGGCCUUGGCCUUACCCUUAAUUUAGUUUAGACGCGGCUCGAAUGCCUUUACGCUAUAGGCUAUGUUAAGCAUGCUUCUUUGACAGAAAACAAACUCUUUUUCCAUGACAACAGGCGCGACUAUAAAGGGCGGGGCGGUAAGCUCUCUAUCAACAACAGGGGGGGGCUGUUCUCCUUUGUCAACUCCUUGCUUGUGUCGUUGACAAAGUCAACCAAGCCUAACCAAAGCGUCACAACAACAUCCAAAGGUUGACAAAGUCAACGCUACUAAGGACCGGGGCGAGCGGAAUUCAGUAGAGGCUCGAGGAGGGGCUUACUAAGCGAAGGGCCGAAGGCGGCUUUGCUCAUGAGUUAGCGAUCAAGCGGAAAAAGACCCGCCGGCUUCUUUUCUUUUUUUUUUCAUUUAUCUUUUCCUUGAAACAUUUCCAGAAACUCGAGUCUUAUUUCUCGGUGGAGCUUCCUCUCUAGGUUCUUCUUGCAGCCUUAUCCCUUUUCAAAAUUCUUCUUCCCUUAGGAUCGCCUUUGGAAACCGGAACGUAGGGGUCAUGAUGAUCCGGUGGGAGGGAUCUUCCUCACAAAGCCAGAUAAGAUAGUAUUAAUAGCAUUCAUUAUAGUGAUGGUAGGGGGAUGUUGGAAAUCAGACACUUCCUCGGCCCAGCAUGUUGAGACCGGAGCGUUAUUAGGGGGCGAAUUCUUAAAAACUCCCACGUUGGGGUUCUUAGGAGCUUUCUGUUCAUCCGCCACGUUGAUUUUUUCUUCUUCUAUGAAAUCUUGGAUUUUUUGCUUCAAAGUCUAGCUUGCAUCCGUCGCAUGACCCGGUCCCCCCUCAUCUCAUUGGGACCUAACAAAAAAAAUUCUGCCAAUUCCUUCCAGCCUUACAGGGGGUGGGGGUGGAGUGCGGUGGAGCGAUUAGUACAUGCUGACGUCCGAAAGUGCUUCGCUUUCUAUGGAGAUAAGAACAAGUAGAUCAUAAGCUAGUAUUGGAGUUACUGGCAGAACAGAUCGAUGAUCCUAUCUUCUUGGAUCCAAUUCAAAAAUUCCUAAUGAACCCUGGUGAAUCAGCUGACGGAAUAACCUUUCCAAACAACGGGAUUGGUCUCCCCCCUUACUCAACCUCUAUAAAAAAACCCUUUUCCCUUUUUAUAAUAAUAAGGUCAGCUUUCAAACCAAGCCUUCAUUUGCUUCUUUGGAAUGUGGUAUGGGUUUAUGACAUCGGGUAGCCAGCAAUCGAAGAAUGAGCCAACUGGGUUACUAUGUUGAUUUGCUCUUCUUCAUCGAGUUUGUUUCGCAUUUGGGCAGCGACAGCCCUCCACCUGCCUACGUAGGCACUGAAACUUUCAUCACCUUUCUGAUUUAGAGCCUCGAGAUCUGAUCUUUUUGGUUUGGCAUCUAAGUUGUAGGAGUACUGAUUGAUGAACAUUUGAGAUAAUUGCUCAAACGACGCCAACUUAGAACGAUCUAGUGACGUAAACCAUUUCAGUGCGGGGCCCGUAAGACUCUUCUGGAAUAAUCGGAUGGCAGCCCCUUCGUCUUUCUCUAAAGGGCAGACAUGGGCACAAUAGGCUUUAAAAUGAGAGAUGGGACAACCUUUUCCGUUGUAUUUUUCGAAUUCCUUUGAACCCUUUUGGCAGUUGUGAAUCAGGGUAAAGGGAAAAAUCCCUGAAUUUGGUGGAAAAACUGCCAAUGCCUUGCGUUUUCUUCAAAAAAUCCUCAACUCAACUUUCUUUAAUCUUUCCGCAUACUCGUCCGUCGCCGAAGGGGGAAUGGGAUUUGCCCAUAAGCUAUAGGGGCGAGGUGGUUGGAGAUGAGCUAAAGUGGAAUGACGGAGAUUGGAUGGCCUGGAAAGCUGGUAGGGUUUGGGGCGAGCUGUGGGCUACAUUAGAUAUGGGUUGAAAUGGCGAGAGCUGAGAUAACGAUGAUGUUUGGGAAAAAGCAGACCCGAUGGUGCCGAGAAUCGAGGGUCCGAAGGUGAGCUUCCCUUUCCUUACGGGGCUCAUGGAAUAGCGUAUUUCGAAAGAGGAAGACGGGGGAUUGGGUAUACAACCGUUUGGUAAUUACAACAGAGCAUUGAACGGCAUGGAAAUGGCUAGCAUAGGAUUCAGUUGGAUGGAAACAAAUACUGUUGAAAAAAGAAUGUUAUUUAUUAGAAUUUCGAAUUCUAGCUCUCCGGAAAGCCCAACAUGUUGAGAUACGGAACGAAGGUACGUGCCGUGUCCAUCCAACUAUUACAAGUUCCAUGUCGCCGCCUUCGUAUUCGUAACUCCAGAAUUCCAGCGAGUGCCAUGUUCCUUUAAUUUGUUUGAUUGACUUGACUACUGCCCUCUUUCUCUCACAUUGAAGAUUUCGCCAGUGAGCAGGAAACCAGAAAAGCAUUGAAGAAGAGAGCAAAAAGAGUUUGAGAUCAAGAUCAAAGUGAAAGUGGUGCUUUUCAAAGUUUAACCUUGGGCGCGCAUAAAUAAAAAAAUGAUCCCUGCAUCCCCUCAGGCUGGCCACGUAGCACGAACCGUGUCCGGCUCCAAGAAGAGAAGUAGUGGUUGUGAGUGCAUGGUUGGUCCUGAACCAGAGAUGAGGUAAGCGCAAUUGAAAUUCCUGGGUGAAACUUUUAUAUUGGGUUUAUGAGUUGCUUGAACCGACUCAUUCGAAAGCGUUGAAUGCAUAAUUAUGAAAGACAAGGGACUGGAACUGAUUGCUGAGAAGGGAUCUUGUUCAGCGAGCAGCAGAUUCAGCGGGCGAACUCGGGGGACAGCGCCAGAACCCGGCGAGAAAGAUUUCGAAACUAUCCGUUGUGUUAGCAAAUCAUACGAGUCAUAGUUGUUUAGCUCUGAGUCCGCGUGAUUAGUCAGCAGAAAGAAGAAAGCUAUCUCCAUUAGUUGUCAUCUCCUAGUAGUCGCCAUCUCCACCCACUACCCCCUCGAUGACCGAUCCCGAAUUCCUCCCAAAGUAAAGUCAUUUUUCCUCCUCAUAAAAUCUUCUCUUGCCGAAAAAAGAAAGGGCCUUGUAAGACCGAUGUGAAAGGAAAGCGAAUGAAAUGUGGAGCAAUCCAGAAGAAUAGAAUAAGCAAGCCACUUUUUUUUAUAGGAGCAGUGUCCGGGUUUCCAACAGCCGAAGCCCCUGCCGCUUUCCCCGAGACUGGUGCCUAUUCAGGGGGACACACAAGAGAAGUGGUUUUUCUACGAUCCGCUUGCUUGAACGGCUUGAUUGAGUACCUUACUGGAAAACAAACCGCCUGGAACUGAGUACCGAAACUUGCCUACCGUCCCAACACAAGGCAAACCCGGCAUUCAUCGGGCUAACACUUUGAUUUCUGAAGGCAAGUCGGGAAGUCGAGCAAGGAAGAGUUCGAUAGCACUCUUUGGCAAAGGCCUAACAGGCCCAUUUGGAUUGCUUCAACAGCAUAUAUUAUAGAAAGGUUAAGGAAAGCAUUAAGAUCUGGCAUCCCCACCCCCAAAAAAUGCAUGGUGGGCAGCCAUACCAGAUCCAACAAAGGAAGCCUUAAUAAAAUAGUUUGCCCAGAAUCCUGAUGGCACACCGGCACUAUAUAAUCGAGGGAAAAUCAUCUACACAUGCAUCACCCUGCUGUUAUCUACCAUCUAUAAGCAUUUCUGCGGAUCUUUCGAAAAUACCAAAUGACAACAUCGAUAUUCCAUAUCUCCUCAACCUCCGGAUUUCUACUUUGCGAGACUAUGAAUGGUACAAGCAGAACUCCCUAUCCAGGAUUUCUUUUCUAGAUGAGCCAUCUGGAAGGACAAGCUCAUAGCUGGACUUCAAAAGGCUUUUUCUGAUCUUGUCCGAGCUAAGCUUGGGAACAUGAAUCUAGCCGAAGCAACCUAUAAAGAAAGAAGGCAGUCAGACUUAGCGGCAGGUAAUAAUCGCGAACUGAAGUCAGUCCUUCCUUCGUGAGUCCUUCCUUCUAUUUGGAAAAGGCUAUCUGAGUACGAUUGGCUUCUUCAUCGUACAAAGAUAGGCCUAGCUAUUCAAUCCAACCAAUCAUUCAAUCAAGUCAGGACAUUACUAACAGGAACUAAAAAAAGUUUAUAUCAAUAGGGAACAGUCUACGGACUAGUAGGGAACCAGUACUGAACUCUAAAGACGACUAAUAAGUCGAGUUAGAUAUCUAUAAAGUAAAAAAUUAGAUAUUGCAUAUGUAACCAAAGAUACACAUUUGAAUCUACAAACGAGUAUGCUCCUAAAGCUAAAGAAAGCAAGCAGAAAGGGGUGGUUUACCUAUUAUUUUAUUAAAAAGACAAGGUUCAGGUUCAAUGUGAAUACCUCUGGAAUGAAAAUGGGGUACGAUACUUGUGGCUUUCUACUUCCUCUCUCAAAAUGAAACUGAUAGGAAAGCUCUUAUGUGACUCUGACUUUGAGUGUGAUGGUGAAGUUGUUGCUAUCCUUGUGCCUAGAGUAAUUUGGUUGGGAGAACUCCCUCCCUCAAUACAAGAGAAGAGGGUGCUCGAGGAUCUUCUCGUGAAUCAAGGGCAUUCGCUACUAUUUCUUCACCUAUGAAAUUCUUCUUAAAGAGAAAUGAAUGUUUUCUUCGACGACUUUAAGAUUAAGAAUAAGAAAAGAAGUUGGAUUUUCUGAUAUCCCCAGGUGUUGUCACCAAAAACCUUCCCCGAUUGAAAAAACGUCUCAGUCACUCAUAAUCUUAUCUAACCAUUGAAAAGACUUAAACCAAAGCAACCAUUGCACCACAUCGAUGUGAUACCUCAGCUUUCCAUCACUGUUAGGUAAUGGGCCGGUUUCGUACGAACGAAAUCGUAACACCGGAACACCCGACCCGACCAUAUUUUCAUAAAUAAUUGGUCUUUCCGAUCCGAUCCGGUCGAAACACGACCGCUAGAGGAUCAAGCAAAUCUUCAGCGGUUAUUGAAAAGUAAGUUUCCACUCGAGCGUACCACUUGACAUACUCACAGCAAGAACGAACCCACCUACAAGCCCUAAUUAGACGCGGACCUGUAUGUCCACCAUAUCGAAGAGAGGAGCUUCUCGACUCACAUUUACACGUCCAGGUCAUAUCAUAUGAGUGUCAGAGCUCAGGAGCUCUUUGGUUGAAGUCGGAUCCCGGUCAAUCAACCAUACUGGCUAAGUAUUAUUAACCUACGACCUACUACCUACAAAACAACCAGGGGAGGCAAAAACCGACUUCAAACUCUGAAGCCUGACGUUCGGCUUCUAGCAAGGUGCGAAGCGAACUCACUACGAUUACUAAACGCCCUUAGACAGAGACGCACCACGCUCACUCGGUCUUCCUGAAUCAGGAAGACCUUCGCUCACUCGCCUAACUCCCACUUCGGCUAAGCAGCACUACAAGCGGCAGGCUGGGAUUAGAACCAUCACGCUAAAGCACCCUUAGCACAACGGUCAGACAACUCAACUCCGGGGGACUCACCAACUUCAAAGCAGAGGUGCCUAACCACAUAGAAAACAGAUAGGAAAAGGAAGAAACAUAAUUCAGAACAGAACAAAGAACAGAAGGGCAGGGAAGGAUGGAGGUACUAGGUACGCUUCACUACAAUCCAGCAGUACAAACCAACCCACUAGCGCAGAACUCACUCAAGAAACUAGCUCCUCAAAAGCACUAAACUCAAUAGGCUUCGAGCAAGCAAUCGUGCCUCUAGCAAAAUAAAAACCAAAUGGGGUACGCUUGAGACAGGAAACCAAACGGGAUGCCCAAGAUCCGAAGUGAGAGUGAGAGCGAAGCGGUUGAAUAGUGCACUCAAUCUGGUAUCGACAUAAUGUCUGGGCCAGGGGCUGAGGGCGAGCUUACGGAAAAACGAAACCUAGGCCAUAACUAUGAAAUGGAAAGAAGACAACAAUUAGAACUAGAGCGCACCCUCUGUAGUAGCUGCUUGUCAGACCUCCUUCUAUGCCCGGUUCGUAGCUUGGACUAUUCCCUCGCUGCUAGAGCAGACCAGUUCUUGAGUCGCGAUACGAUAGAGGUAAGAACCUGUGGGUUAGCUGAGCCGCAAUCCCAAUAGAAGCAGUAACCCCAUUUCGCCCUUGAGGAAUAGAGAUGAACCGGGGAUAAGCGAGUGUGGAGCAUGGAACGCCCCUUUCCUGUAAAAGUAAUUCAAAGCUUCGAUAAUAGGGCUAGAUAGUUGUAUUGAAUCAGGUACAUGGUGAAUCGAUCACUUGAGAUCCUUAUACAAGGACGGAAAGAAAGGCAUCCGGCACAUGUCUCAACUCCUAAUACGGGGCAGCGCCCCUUUCGUAGUGCGAUUCGGGACAAAUCGAAGCAAAGACAAGAAAGGUUCCAGCCAUUACAUACAGAAAUUCAAGUCCUCAUGAAUAUGAUAGUUCAGGCUACGGGGAAAUAGAUCCAAAAUUCCCCUCUCUUCUCUAGCCGUGGCCGCUAGGAAUUGCUUUCGCUCUUGCUCUUCACCGGGGUGCUGGUGGUCCGGCUAAAGAUUUGGUUGGCGAAUGGGGUCACUACGUUCUCAUCCUUUUGGCCAAGCAAAACCAGCAAAAACAACAAAGUGGAAGUGCGGUCAUUGGUUCACCCGGUUCAAUUGUCGUAGGUAGUCUUUCUCCUUCCUCGUCCUCGGGCCUUUUACAAGACAUUAGAUUGAGAUGAUAGUACGCCUUAAAGCGAGCAAUACAACACGGGGGGCGCCCUGUAGCCCUAAUGAUGAAGCUAGUCCAGCUAAAGCGUCUUUCCUCUCCUCUGAUGAGAGUGAAACUACUUUCCUCUCUAUUCAAUAUGUCAAAACUUCGAUCUGGUUCAUUCUUGCCUCUCCGUUCCUUUUAUGGUUUUUCAAUCUAAUCGUGCGACUGAACCUACUAUAUUAGUCCGAAAACGCCUGUUCUUGUGUGCUCGCCUUUUUCAAUGCUAAGCUGGAAAGUGCUUUCAGCUCGAGAGGAGUUUAUGCGUAUUUGAGCUCGUUCGUCUUCAAAGUCUUCCUUUAGGCGGGUAGUGCUACUCGGUGCGUGCAAAGGACAGAAUAAACCACCGCAGAGCGUACCAGGCUACUUUCCCUCAGCUUCUGAGACAAUUAGGAGAAGAAGAAGGGAUAUAUUUGAAUGAAGACCUUUUUUCCUUUUCCUCUUUAUAUACCUCUAGGAAACGAAGACAUGCAUUGAAUAUGAAUUGAAUGGGGUUGAAUGCAUCCCCUAUUGAAUCUGAAUGCACCAAUGGGCACACCAGAUAGACGAACAAGCUAGUGGGAGUUUCUCAGCAUGAUUCAAAGACAACGAACGAGUCGGUAAUAGAAGAUCAGUUCAACCAAAGAAUAAGGGGCUAAGCUAAAGUCCUGACUCAACUAUCAUAGAUAGAGUCAAAAAGGGGAGAUAUAGAGAAAAGUCCAGCAGCACUUACAAGUAGUACAGUCCAGAGUGAAUAAGGCUUUCUCGGCCGGUUCCAAGCAGUGUGAGUAGGAGAUAGUGCCAAUCUUCUCUCCAGUCCAAGUCGUCGUUCUUCCCGGUCAAAUCCAGUCCAAUGACUCUUUUUGACUUAUAUAAGUAGAUGUGCUUCUCCCCGUUCUCGAAUCACCACUAAACUGAUGGAGUCUUGUUUUUGUAGUGGACAAUUUCUCGGUUAACAUAUACCCAAGCCCUUCUUGCAGCUCGCACUUACGUAGCGUAGCAUCUUUCCGGAAAUGAAUUCUGUGAUAAGCAGCCGUCUAGGUUUCUGAAUGAAGGACGGGACGGGGAAAUUCUUCUUUAAAUGAAAUAAUUCACUCGAGUCUAAGCUAUAGUAUAAGCUUCUGGUUUCCAGUUCACAAUAGGUGACUCUCUCUCCGACCAGUUGAAGAUUGAAUCAAUCACACUGAUACAGCAGAUUAUAUAUCGUAUGUGGAUGGGGUUUGUCAUUUAUGAACAGAUUUCUCAGGUCAAAGAUAUCGUACGUACAUGGGGCAACAACUCUUUCUCACCAGGAGACGGAGAUUAGAGAGGGACAGUAGGACCCCCUAUCAGCAACCUUUUAUACUCUACCGUCACAAUUACAUCUUGCCUGUAGGUAGGUGCUAUCCUGAUCUUGCCUGUAGGUGCUCGCUCUAUCCCGAGCAUUUGCCCUUUUUGCUGUGAAACCGGAUGUACAAAGCUAGCUAUUCCCAAAGGCCAGAAGCAGAAAUGGAUUACCGGGGCGGGGACGAAUUCGUGAAAUUGCAAACCGCCUCGGAAGAGAACAGCAUGACUGGCAGAGCAACUAACAAAAGUAAAAGUGGAAGAGAAAAAUAUCUUAACGCUAGCAGAGUUCAGAACAAAUGAAGCAAAAUAAAAAACGGAAGCAGCGUUACUGCUCCCGAUUCAUCUUGACCCCCAACUAUUUUGACAGUUCCAGAAGUGACAGAGAUGCAGAGAUCUUGGCGAGGCUCUUUACUUUACAGGGAGCGAUCUGGAGGAAAAGGAAUAAGAAAGAGGAGGAACGAACACCUACCCGGAAAACAAGAUCAUGGGCAAUAGCAGCAAGGUGAAGGUCAUUUCCUUCCUGCACGGCACCCCUAAAUAGAUGUAAAAAGUUGUAAAUGUAAAACUUCCCUAUAAAAAGCUCUUUUUCGUCGUCCACACUGCAGUUAUUAUUUUUAGGUAAUAGGGCUACCAAUCGUUACUAGUCCAUCCAUUGGGAAAUGCUUGGUCCAAGCGGGGGAACCUUAACAAUUCGCACUACUACACCUACCCUACCCUAAACUAUCAUAAGGCAUAAGGAAAACUGCUUUCGCAGCAAAGACUACCAUGAGCUACCAAUCAUAUGCGUCCUGCCUAUCAUCACUGAUAGCCAACGGCCCGAACACCGCGAUCAUUGGUGAACUUGGAAUCAGUGCGGAUAUUGAACAUCGGCGCCAGAGUUCCUGUCGUAGGAAUCCCUGUCAUCGACGAAGGCUUAGCACUGAGGAGAACCACUCUCGCUGUCCACUGCUCCCCCCAAAAGCUCCCCUUGCGGCCCAUCGAGUGUUUCAUUUUCUUGGGGGGAAGGACUCUAUUAUCACGGUUAAGCAUGAGCAAAGACUGCCCGCUGCUCCUCUGUAAACCGAGAGCUAGCCUCCCUCCCGACCCUUUUUAGAAUAGUAGGGGUUGGAUUUCUCGGUUUCUAUUCUCCUUUGAGCGGUGAUUAGGCUUUCCUAGUUAUUAGCUUGUACCUAUCGGGCCCGGGUAUUACUAUUACGAGUCCAUUAACUUCGUUUUUUCAGUCAGAAAAAGGCCAAGGCCAAUACAAAGAGAAAUUCAAAAGAAAAGGGGUUUUUGUCCAUGUUUUGUUUGAUGCCGGGAUCUCGAGUUCCGGUCCAUUCAAUCCGUAUGUCCAAACUGUGGCCACACCUGCCUGCCUAUGCCGCUUCGCCUUACCAAGUCACUGCCUGCCUACGUCAAUGCUUCUAAGAAUCAGUACACCCCUUACCAAGGGAAUCAGAACACCACUGCAAGGAGGGAACCCCGGAAGUUUGAUCCGCUGCCAAUUCCAAUCAGCGAACUCUACAAUCAACAAUCAACUGAAAGGUCAAGGCAAGCUGAGCCCGGUGCCUCCGAAGGAUUAUAAAGGCAACUAUCCCACGUGGUAUGACCCAGCUCAAAAGUGCGAAUUCCAGGCCCGGGGCUCGAAAACUGUUUCCUCUUGAAGCACAAGAUCCAAGACCUCAUCGACAGUGACCAGUUGAAGUUCCGUAUUGUACCUCGGACCUAACAUUGCGGGGAAUCCACUUCCGGGGGGAGAAAGGUGAAUGCCAUUAGAGAAGGAAGACGCCUUGUGCUUGAGUUGCUUGGGGGGAUAUUGCGGAAUUGAUAAGGCGCAAUUUGAUCAUUACGUCUGCCAGUCUCCCAGAGGAUUACUGAUGAUCCCACAAGAGGUUGCCCAUAUCACCAAGGAAUAGUUGGACACACUCUCUACCAAUGCACUGCCUUUAAAAGGAGUUAUAAUAUAAGAGAAAGCCUUCGAUCCCCCAGGAGAUGAUGGAGCUACAAGCAGACGUAAUAUGGGUGACGUGGACACGAUCACCAUCAUUGAUGUUGCUCCAACUGUGAUCACCUAUGACCCAGAAGUGGCUCGUGCAGCUGUUGAACCAAUUGUGAUAUUGACUCCCUCCAGCUUUCCGUAUGAGAGUGACAAAGCGGAACUUUGAAGCCAAAGUGUUGAAUCCAGCUGGAAAUGGAGACAAAAAAGAAGACGAAGAGAGUUCAAACUCUUUUUUUUAGGUAAUAAGCUUACCAACGAGCUUACUUACCUUAUUAUUAGAGCUAGGGGAAUGAAUGGGGCUAGAGCCAGAAUCGCUUGUUACAGAAUAGGUUGCAUCUAGUAUACUACCAGUGGAGUCAUAAGUUGUAGAUCUUCAAUGGCUGAAUCCGUUGUUCAAAUAGCGGCUGCUUGGGCUUACCUUAGUUCCUUAUCUUUAGCUUGAGAGAUGGGAAUUGAAUUAGACAAAAAAGAAUAGGCAGCUAAACUAAUUAGUUAUGCCCUGGGGGAAUGCCCCAAAGCCCCUAUUACUAUACUACUCCUUUCGAACUUCUAGCAAUAGCGAACUCGCCCCACAAAGUGGUCCAAUUCUUGUGUUUAAUGUGAAGCUUGGCUUAGGCAAAGCAAAGGGGAAACCAAUCCAAGAAGAACAAUCCGGAUGAGUGCCAAAAGGGGUAAAGAGCAACCUCAUCGACCGACCCAAUUCCUGCGUAUGUUGGUCUAGCUGUCGUGUCACCUUUAGUAAGUGAUAGAAUGCUUUUCUUCCUCUCAAAUGGGAAUUAUCUUCCUUCUCGCCUUAUCCCGUUCGUGAGGUUUUCCCGACUGGGGCAAUAUCUGUAUAUCUGUAAUCAAAUAAUUGGUUGCAUGUGCUCUUUGAUACUCAUUGGUAAAGGAAGAAGUCGUACCAGACAAGUUUAAUCAGUAAUGGCUGUGAGGCACCGAGUCUGAAUAGGCAUCAACAAGCACAUAGAUGUCCGAGGCUCGAGGUACUUGAGCAGUUGGCAAGGGGGGAAAGAAGGGUUGGAUCGGUUGCUAAUUCAUUCUCCGUCUCCGGAGAGGUCGCAUCGGCAAAAGAAGGGUACUCAUCGAUCCAAUUCCAGCUUCUGUCCCGGAUGAAGUUGUUCUUGUUGGUAUCAUAGAUGUGUUAUAAGAACUGGGCAAUGCCCUCAAAUUCAUUGAUAUCGAAGCAUUAACAUUCGUGGAUGGAAAAUGAAAGAUGUCG
rnacentral:lncRNA from 1 species